rnacentral:lncRNA from 1 species
UUUUUUAGUUGUAUCGACCCAGUCGCUCACUAAUUGAUCUUUACGGUGUUUUCUCUAUCAAUUUUAGCUUUAUCCAUAGAAUAGUAGUAUAGGCUCUACUUUCUUCCUAUUUUGAUUCUCGUGAAGUGUCCUUCCUUCCUACAGCUGAUAGGGUAAAAUCGUUGUUUUGACGAUCCCUAUGUAGAAAGCCCUCUUUUCUAGUAUUCACUAGAAAAUUUCCUCCUUUCUUUUUUUCUUCUUUCUAUAGUGGAGAUAGUCGCACGUAAUGACAGAUCACGGCCAUAUUAUUAAAAGCUUGCGGUAAUAAGGGGUUUCGUUCUAGCGCCCGGAAAUAAUAUUCCAAAGCCUUUGUAUGCUCUUCAUUGCUUGUGUGUAUAAGGCCUAUGUUAUAUAGUAUAUAACUUCGAUCAUAGGGAUUAAUUUUUAGUCGCGUAGCUUCAUAAUAAUUCUGCAAAGCUUCCGCAUAAUUUCCUUUGGAUUGAGCCAACAUCCGUUACGGUCGUUCAUUCUAUUCAAAAAAUCUCCGUUCCAAAACCGUACAUGAGGUUUUCAUCUCAUACGGCUUCUCCCUUCUAUACAUAGUACUAAGCAAAAAAUCUAUAGAAUAAAAAACGAAUUAGUCCCAUCUCAUUAUGGACUGAAGGGGGUUGGUAUUUUUCCAAGAAAUCUCUAGCCAACCUUCCCCCAAGAGGUUUUUCUUAACACCAAUGAAUUAUAUUAAUGCUAGAGGAACACGAUAGCUCCAAGAAUUUCUUUGUUCUCAACGCCUCCUAUUUAGAGGAAUUAGCCACUUCAACGACCUUUGAUGGUUAUAAGGGUAUCCAAAGUACAAACCUGAUGGUUGUUUGUUAUCCUAACCAUUCUUCCCAACCCUGAUACCAAUCAGGAAAGGGCUAAUUUCUAACAAAGUUUUUCUCUUGUUGAUUCCUAUUUCAUGGUGUAGUGCUUUUCUCCCCUAUGCUGCCUAUUGGUACUAGUAGAGUCGGAUUGCCCUGUAAUACAGAACCUAUCCUGUAGGUGUAACCUUUCGCUCAAUACUCAAAUCUACAACUGAAGCAUCUGAGGCCACAUGUAACACCCCAGGUGUUUAUAUUCCGUUCGACAAUGAGUACGAAUUUAAGCACGUAAUCAGUGGAUAAAACGGAUUUUAAAUUUUAAUCAUCUUCGCUUAUCGCGAUUUUAAUAUUGUAUCUAUUUCGUCGGACGCGAGUUCGAUAUCGUUUUUAUUUUUAUCUAUCCGGGCUUGUCCUAAAAUUUCGUAAUGUUCGGGACAUUGUUGUUCCGCAAAUUGGUGUGUCCGGUGAUUAUUUAAAAUACAUCGCUCGCGCGAAUACGAAUUCGGAAGUCCGACCCAUUGGGACGAUUUUUAUCCCGAACAAAUUAAUUUGAACUCAACGACUAAAAUGUUCGGGGCAAAAUAGUCUGAUUCGCGUGUUGUCCGAGAAAAAUCGUGCGCGAGGUUAUAAUCCACUUUAUUCAUCAGCACGCUGUUUCGACGACGAAACCGCGUAUACAUUAGCGGCUCUGGUUUUGGCUAAUUUCGAUCGAAUCACGCAGAGCAGAUUAGAAUCGCGAAGCCGAACUCGUGUCGAUCUGGUCCGUUUAUAUCGUGGUCGGACUAGUCACGAAAAUUAUCUAAACGAAUUCUAGUCAGAAUCAUAAACCUCGGAUGUUCCGUUUCGGGGUCCGAGAAAAUAAUGUGUAUAGUCAAUUGUCGUAUCACACAUCGAUUCUUUGUUCAUCGCUAAACCGUGACAGCCCGUCCGAGAAUUAUAAUGGAAAAAUCCUUCUCUAAAUAUCUCCUUCGCCUUGGAUUUUUCUUCGGAAAAAAGAUCCCACCGCUCAGCUCGCGAAAAAUCCUGCGCUCCUAUCCCCAGCCGACCUCCCCUGAGAUUUUUGCUUCACGCACCGCCUCUCAUUUAAUUACGCGCUAUCCUUCUUCUCCACAGCGCCACAGCUCCCAGCUUCUCCCUCGGCUCGCCCAAGCUCCUUCUUCUCCUCCAACUCGGCGCCUGGAUCUCUCUCCUCCCUCCACCUCUCUCCAGCCGCGCGUCUCCUUGCUCUCUGCGUUCUUCUUCCUCCCUGGCUCCUGCUCGCCCAACGACGCCGUCGGCCGGAUCUCCUCUGCUCUCUCUGCUCGCCCUGGCCCGCCGUGCUCUGCUCGUCACGGCCGCGUGAGCGGCGAGCUCUCUGCCGCGGCUUCCUUCCUCUUCCGCUCCAGCCUUCUCCUUUCUCUCUUCUCUAGCCCUGUUCGGCCCCCAGCUUGGAUCUUCCUUCCGCUCGGCCGUCUGCCUCUCGCGCUCGGCUCCCUGGAGUGGAUUUCCUCGCCGUGGAGCUCAACUUGAGUAUUGUCCGCCGGCCAACUCCCGCUCGUCUCCCUUAGCACCACCUCGAGCUCUCCUCCAAGUGCCGCGCCGCAGCCAAGCUCCCUCUACCAUGGCUGACCGUCGGGUGCCCCUGCUGCGCGCCCUUCUUCCCUGUCCCCAGAUGGCCGCCCUGCUCGAGUUCGUCCUGGUGGCCGUUGACUAGGAGCAGACUCGGCCGCGCCUCUGCUCUCUCUACCGCGCCCCUGGCUCUAACCUCCCUCCCAUGGCUGCCUGCUCGAGUUCGCCCCGGCUUCUUGUUUCCUGCUGCGCUCGCCGGCCGUCUGUUCGCCCUGGUCAUCGCUGUCGAGUCUCUGUGCGCGCAGCCGUGUCCCUGUGCUCGCCGUGGCUGGUUCCCAGCGUCGUGCCCGCGAUUUUGCCGCGCGUCCAUGCUUGACGUCUGUCCACACGUGGUGUGUGGAGCAACGAAACAAAAAUCUGUGCCCGUCAAGCUCGCGCGCCGAAUUUUUUUUAGCUUGCCGCGACGCCCGACGUCCUACCUGCUUUGCUCACCCGCGUCGGCUAUUCGCUGGUGCUCCAACUCGUCAGUUAUCGUUGUCCUAUCCGCGUCAGCACGCAACCGUGGUCGUGUUCGUCGAGUUCGCCAACACUCUGUUGCCGAUUCGACUAUUUUCGCUGUUAUGUGCCUCGCUGCAUGCUCGACGAGUGUUGUCAGUUGUACCUCAGCACCCGUGCUUGCCGCUGGCUCGCGUUAACGCUCGCGCGUCUGCUCGUUAUCACUGCGUCGCACUCGCUCUUCGUCCAUCGGGUUUCACGCGUGCUCGCGUUUGUCGUCGAGCCGUUGAACCCGUUUUACCUUGCUCGACCUCGUCUUUGCCCUUCUGGUGGCCGUCGUCAGUUUGGUGCUAGACUACGCUCCAUUAUCUAGUCGCACUGGCUGUCGACCUUGUUGGUUCUUUCCGUGUCAGACCAGCAAGCUCUGCCACCGUCACUCAAUUGCUCGCCCCGCGUGUGCUCGUAAAUUUUCUUGGUCGUGUCUGCUGAGCUGACCAACGCUCCAGCUCGCUGUUAUCGCUAAGUCCCACGCAACUGUGUUGUUCUCUCGUCGUCGUCGUUCAUUCCUAUUUUUCCCCGCCAUAUGCCGCCUCAUCAUGACGCGUGUCGUCGUCUUUAAUCCCAAUAGCUCUUACGAUACGCGCUUCGCCAUGCUUUGCCUCCUCGUGAUCAGCCCCAUCUGGGUCAUGUGGGCGGAAGAUCUCAACACCUGUCAGAUGUUCGACGACAAGCCCAAACCAGGAUUUAUCAACAUUCUCACAAGUAUUGAGUCACGUUUGAUGCUGGUAAGCUAGAUUUAUUUGUUUAGUAAUUUUAGUGCUUUGCCGUUAGGCGCUAUCGGCAUUUUAUGCGAGGAAUUUUAGUUGUGGAAUGAAGUCAGUGCUAUGCAUUCAUGUGCAUUAUGCAAAUCAUUUAGGUACGAUAGUUAAUCACGUGAUGCGGAGGAAAAGAGCCAAGUCGACCCUAAGCGCGGGCUAAUCCGCAGGAUGAUGCUGAUGGACGAACCGGAAGAUGGAUAAUCUGAACGAGUGCCAAGCCAAAGGAUGGUCGUCAAGGGGACGUCGUCUAACAAACACUAACCUAGUGUUACUCAGGCAAGCCCCGGUGCAUGCAACCCCUUGUGUUUUUAAAUAAUUUUUGCACACUUUAAGUCUAGUGAAAUGUGCAUUAGGUUUAUAGGAGUUGCUUGGAAACCCUUUGAUGCAUUGCCUUCCUUGAUAUCCAUACCUUUAUAGAUACUUCUGGUGAAGUAUCAAAAAUAUGAUUUACAAAAAUGCUUAGCCCUGCUUCGAUCUUGUGGAUAGAGGUUGUCUUUUGCAAUACUGCCUAACUCAGGGGUUAUCAUGAGGAAGGAUGGCUCCUACCUGCAAGAUAUAUUUUCAUUGAGAGCGUGGUGGGAUCUUACUGCAAAGUUCCCUAUAAUGCUCUUUUCGUUCUAAGGAAAACAAACAAUCCUAAGGAUGAAAGUACUUAAAUCGGGACUUGGGCUAGGAACAGGUGAUGUUCUACCCAGGUUGAUUAAGGAUUGGAUGCGUAUGUAGGCUUGAUGAUCGAGGACCCUUUAACUGGUCACAUGCCUCGUCAUGGGUAAGCUUUGCCUCGGGCAGACUAAGGCCAGAAUAAGAUAACACGGAAUGGGCGUGGAGCGGUGGCGAGAGUAGCGUGUACCCUCCGUGGCAAGAGGCUGGACGGUGGUGUAUCUGUGCUCUCGGUUGGCGUGAACCUGAUCUGGUCUUAAGAACCCCGGUGGCGGGUUGACAUAUGCAAGGGUUAAGUGCUACAUAUGUCGUGUGAUCGGAGAUCCUCAGCUGAGUAUAAUCGAUUCGGAUCGUCGUACCUUCACGGUUAUGAAGACUUGGUCACUGCCCUACAACCUAAGUCAGGAUGUGAACCUCAUGAAUAAAAAUGAUGUUGUAUUGAUGAGAUGGUGAAAUUAGACCAGAUGCAAACAGAGUCUAUUAAUAUUUAAUCUGGCGUUAAAAUAUUGAAAGUAAGGACUCACUUUAGUAAGCUAUUUCUGCAAAAGUAUCUAAGUUGAUUCUUGCUAAAGCCUCUCCUUGAUUCCCAAAUCCAGCAUAUCCUUGAGAGUCUUUUCUUUAGUCGGGUAAGUCUUGCUGAGUAAUUCCAUACUCAGGGUUUUAUUCCCUGUUGUUUUUUUCAGGUUAUAGUUUUGUGCUGCUGUUGAUGGUGUUAAGUGCCGGUGGGCUCGGCCUUCUUAUAUAAGUAUACCCCGUCUUUAUCUUCUUAUCGAGGAUGAUCACUUGAGCUAGCAUAUAUUUCAAACUUAUACUUUUGUAAUCACUCCGAUAAAAUAAUGUAAAAUUUUGUAACCUGUAAAAUUUGGUAAUAAGAUUUCCGCUGCAAAAAUGUUGUGUGUGUGAUUUGUGUUACUUAAUCCCACGGUUCUGGUUGUAAGUGGUUUAUCUGAUGUCCUUGGGCAAUCGGACGGAUCCUGUUAAGUUAUCUGGUGCACAUGCAUAGCUGUUUGAGGUCUUUGAGACAAGGACAAGUGCAUGUGGGCCCAAUAACUUGGGAGGUUCUGCCACAGCUGGUAUCGGAGCAGGAUUAAGUAUAUACGGUCACAUACGUAUUUUCAAAACAAAAGUUUUGGUUUCGAAAAACCUAUUUUCAACUAAAUACAUUGUUUGGUUUUGAAAAACAGUUUUGAAAAACUAUAAUGCUAGCGACAUCCUCUAUUAAGCCCUAAGUUAAGGACUAUCAGGUGGCUUAGUUCAAAACCACUAACCCACAACCGGGAGUAUUGCAUACAUGUGUAUUGUUAUUUUUGAGGCCAUUCAGUUCUGAAUGGAUCGACGCUCAGGUAAGGUGAGAUGUGAGAGCAUGACCGAACAACCGUCGGUCUAGGGAAGUGCUUAAUUGUAGCGCUUGAUUAUAUACAUGUUCCACAUAUGUAUAUAUGAAGGCUGCGAUGUGGAGUAUUUAAUUUUUUGGAAUUCAGUACCCCAUGGAUGUGUAUGGGUAUACAAACAUGGGAAUACUGAGAAGUGUAUUGUACUUGUAACGACGCACCUACGCUCAGGUAAGAAGGUGAGUUACCAUAAUGAGUUGCCCUAUGGUUAAAGUGUGGCAACAGCGCCUAUGCGUGGCUCGGCGCUUAAUGAUGAGUUGGCCUCCAUAUAGCAAUAUAUGGAGUAUAAACUGUGAUAAACUGUCAUGUGUGACUUGCAUCAUUGGGAAAUGGGCUGUGAUGGAUUUUUCUGCAGGUACACUAACCUCGAAAACGUAUGUGUAGUUGACGAUUAGCAAAAUACCGUGAGAGUCGUAAGUAUGCCACCGAGAUAGAACGUUAUUGGCACAUUAUGUUGGCAAAAACUCAGUGAGGACGAAUAAGACGAGCAUGCAUCCUGAUUGUUGCAUUAUGUUUGUCACCUAUACACCCAAAAUGCUUCUCUCAUCUUUAUUCCAGUAACCAUUGAUUGUAGAUAAUGUGGUGUAAUGCUGAAUUAUGAACUUCGAUGAAAUAGGUGUCCUCCAUUCUUUAGGUAACCUAUUAAGGUCUUAUAUGGUGUUUGCUCUUGUGCUUGAUGUGUCGAUAGAAGGUUAGUGACUUGUUUGCCUAAACCCAAAAUUAGGCCAUGUUCUUAUCUGGUAAACCUAGACCCAAAUUUGAAUUUACCAUUAUCCCUCCUUGACUAAAAUCAUGUAAAUGAAUGCUUAGAUAAUUUCCUUUGUUGUACAUAAAGUGUACCCAAGUUUAAAACAAGGAUCUCAAGUCAUGUCUCCUUCCAAAACCAUUCCCUUGUUCCGUUGGUGCAAGCUGAUAUCCCUAAUUCCAUUUUGCCUCUUCUUGAGGAUCAUGUCGUUAUUUUAUCAACCCAACCCAGAAAAGACAGGUUUGAUCAUUUUCUUGAGUUUGAUGCCUUUGGUUUCCCCAUACCUAUCGAAGGCAUACCAACUUAAUCCUUGACCUUGUGAUCUCUGCGAUGGGCAUAGAAAUAUGCUUGGGGCUGAAAUAACAGUCUCCCAUCGUACUCCUUUCAUUCAGUUUAGGUUAUGGCCAUGUCUUGUUCAUUUCAUCGGGACAUGAUCUAUUUGGCUCUCUACUUGUAACCAUUCUUAUAGGUGGAGUCUCUUUUGAAUAUUGUCAUUCAGACUCAGUCUAUUUGUGUCGUGCGAGAUUUGUUAUUGGUUACGUCUGAUAAUGGUGUUGUGACUAAAACUGAUGGUGUCGCGACCAAACCGAGGGCCUUCUGUGGAUGCAUACACAUGGUUGCGCUACUUGGCACGCGCUGGUAUCACAGUUAGUAGUUAUAAUCCAUUAUGAGACUAUAUCAAUGUGUUAUCUUGUCACAAAUUGUUCUUAGCAUGUGAGAUUCAUUAUUGGUGCCAGUUCGGUAAUGGUGUCACGAUUAACGACUUAUGGUGCCGCAGCGAAACUGAGAGCCCCUUGUGAAUGUACACGCAAGGUUAUGCUGCUUGGCGCAUGCUGGUACCGAUGUCUCUAGUCAUGAUCCAUUGUGGAACUACACUGAUGUGUGAUCUUCCGUGGAGUCCUCCCUUGAAACAAUUUCUAUGUUGUUUGUCAAGUGAUCAAGCAACAUCUAUCAUCUCUGUUGGAUCAAAAGGGCAUACCACUUCCAUGUGUGAUCUCUUAUCUCUUGAUUUUGAUGGUGACUUCACAUAUACAAGUUCCCUUUACAUCCUUUGUGUAAAGGUGAAGCCUUGGAGCUUUUUAGUGUUGCAAGACAACCAAUUAGUUCCCAAAAUGGAGAUUUGUUUCCCCUGCUGCUGAAAUGCAGGAGUUUGUUCAUUCGCUCUCUUAUUUAAUCCAUGUAUUCCCUAACCAAGUCGGUUCAUCUUGUAUAGAAGAAAUGGAUGAACAACCAGACCAAAUGAAUUUCUACCCAAAUACAUGAUCUCCUAUUAACAAAUGUGAACUCUCAACCCUUGGCUUACCGAUGGUAUUGAGAGGACAUGCCCAAUGUCAAAAGUAGUUCAACAAGUUGGUUUUGACUAACUUGUAACUGUCCAAUGAACGAAGGUUGAGUUUAGAGAUUGUUUUAUCGAGUUGUCUAAACUCACUUUAGUUCAACCCAUCCUAAGAAAGUACUUACAAGAAUCGAAAUUAAGUCGACCAGUAACCACCUAAUUAUCGCUCUAGCCAUGCCUCGAUCGUCCCACGUGUGCUUUUCCAGCAUGAGUGAUUAGGUCGAGUCAUGCUUAGUGCUCGAUAAAAUGGAUUGGUUACGAAGGCAGUAUCUACAGAUCCCUUCGCUGGUGUUUUUUUCGAGUCUAUCAUUUUCUUGGACUUGGAUUUUCUAGCUAACAUGAGUUAACUGUGAUGUUAUUCGACAUUCACACCCGUCUCGUGUGCUAUGAACUUACUAUGACCACUUGUUGGUAAACCUCCUUUUGUGUUGUCGGGGACCAUAAUUAGGGGUACCCUCAAGACUCCUAAUUCUUAGCUGGUAACCCCCAUCAGCACAAAGCUGCAAAGGCCUGAUGGGUGCGAUUAAGUCAGGGAUCGGUCCAUUCGAGGGACUCGAUCACGCCUCGCCCGAGCCCAGCCUCGGGCAAGGGCAGCCGACCCCGGAGGAUCUACGUCUCGCCCGAGGCCCCCCUCCAGCGACGAACAUACUUCCGGCUCGCCCGAGGCCCAGCCUUCGCCAAGAAGCAACCCUGGCCAAAUCGCCACGCCAACCGACCAAAUCGUAGGGGCAUUUAAUGCAAAGGUGGCCUAACACCUUUAUCCUGACGCACGUCCUCCAGUCGACAGAGCCGAAGUGACCGCACUCACUACGCUGCUCCACUGACCGGCCUGACAGAAGGACAGCACUGCCUGCGCCGCUCCGACUGCUGUGCCACUCGAUAGAGUGAGGCUGACAGGCAGCCAGGCCCGGCCUCAGGCACCGUAGGAAACUCCGCUUCGCCCGACCCAGGGCUCGGACUCGGGCUCAGCCCCGGAAGACGGCGAACUCCGCUCCGCCCGACCCAGGGCUCGGACUCAGGCUUAGCCCCGGAAGACGAUGAACUCCAUUCCGCCCGACCCCAGUGCUCGGACUCAGCCCUGGCCUCAGCCGAUGGUCUCCGCCUCGCCCGACCCAGGGGCUCGGACUCGACCUCGGCCUCGGAAGACAGACUCGACCUCGACCUCGGAGGAGCCUCCACAUCGCCCAACCUAGGGCACGAACCGACCACGUCAACAGGAGGCGCCAUCAUUACCCUACCCCAAGCUGACUCAGGCUACGGGAAACAAGACCGGCGUCCCAUCUGGCUCGCUCCGCCGGACAAGCAAUGAUGGCGCCCCGCACGCUCUAUGACGACGACGGCUCUCAGCCCCCCUUACGGAAGCAAGAGGACGUCAGCAAGGACUCGACAGCUCCGACAGCUGUCCUUCCGCCAGGCUCCAGCACUCCUCCGACGGCCACGACACCACACAAACCGGGUGCCACGAUGGCAUGUACUUAGGGCGCUAGCUCUCCUCCGCUAGACACGUUAGCACUCUGCUACACCCCCCAUUGUACACCUGGAUCCUCUCCUUACGCCUAUAAAAGGAAGGACCAGGGCCCUCUUAGAGAGGGUUGGCCGCGCGGGGAAGAGGACAGGACAGGCGCUCGCAUGAGGCCGCUCGCUCCCUCCCGCGUGGACGCUUGUAACCCCCUACUGCAAGCGCACCCGACCUGGGCGCGGGACAAACACGAAGGCCGCGGGAUUUCCACCUCUCACGCCCGUCUCCUCCCCCCUUCGCGCUCCGUCUCGCGCCGACCCAUCUGGGCUGGGGCACGCGGCGACAUUUCACUCGUCGGUCCAGGGAAACCCCCCCCCAAUCUUGAAACAUCGACAGUUGGCGCGCCAGGUAGGGGCCUGCUGCGUGUUGACGAACAGCUUCCCGUCAAGCUCCAGAUGGGCAGUCUCCAGCAACCUUUCCAGCCCGGGACGGUGCUCCGUUUCGGGAGUCUUGAGUUCAUGUCCCUCGACGGCAGCUACGACAUGAUACUCCUUCCCCCGCCGUGCGACAGCGACAAUGGCGGUCGACAGCCCGCCCGCCGACAGCGGAAUCGACGACGUCUUCCCCGCGCAGUGGAAGAACAACUUUCGAGCUCACCCCGUCCCCUCCCCCGCCGAUGGAGGAGGAGGCGGGGCGACCAAGGCCAAGCAGGAGGCGGCACCUCGUCGGCUGUCGAGCGAGUCGACGGCGCCGGCGCCCCAACGGGGGGCACGUCGAGCAUCGACCUCGCGUCUGAGACGAAGACGAGCGUCGUCUCCCCGCAACACGCCAAUCCCAAGCAAAUGAACGACGCCAGCACACUCGCGAAGGACUUGCUGGGCGUCACCCUCGUACCUGAGACGACGGUACAGUCCGUCCCUGACGUGACUUCGUCACCGCCCGUCGACCAAGAGGUACCCACCGAUUCCCAUCUCACACCUUUUGGAUUCAGCCUCGACCCGCCAAGCGACUUCGCUUUGGCGGGCGCUCUCGUAGAGGCGAGUCCAAACCCUCUGGGGUAUCGUAUGUGGUCGCCCUGGGACCAGCUGACGGACGCCUCGACCUACGGGCCCUCGGGGUCCGAGGAAGAUGACGUGCCCGACUUCUGUUGGGAUUUCUCUGGACUUGGUAACCCCAGUGCCAUGCGGGACUUCAUGACGGCAUGCGACUACUGCCUUUCCGACUGUUCCGACGGUAGCCGCAGCCUCGGCGACGAGGACUGCGGCCCAAGUUGUGAAUGUUUCCACGUCGAUCUAGGGGGUCCCUCCGAAGGCAACCAUCUUGGUAUGCCAGAGAACGGUGAUCUCCCUAGGCCUGUGCCUCACGUUGACAUCCUACGGGAGCUAGCUGUGGUCCCCGUUCAGGCGGGGGUCAUACCCACAGCUCGAGCAAAUCCGCGGGAUGCAGGCCAGGCUCGACGAGGGAGCAGGAACACUUGAGCCAAUCCGCCGGGACGUCGGGCAGGAAUGGGCGGGCCAACCUCCGGCCGGGGAAGUGCGUCAUCUACCCUAGGGUUUCCAGCACCGCAUCGCCGACGAUGUCAGGGUGAGGCCGCCACCCACUUCCAGUGGAGUCGGCCAGAACCUGGCUGCAGCGGCAAUGCUCCUCCGCGUGAUGCCGGAGCCGUCAACCACCAAGGGGCGGCGAAUCCAGGGAGAGCUCAAGAAUCUCCCAGAGGACGCCGCGGUCCGACAGGCCGAAAGCUCCGCCUCCCGAAGGCAGGGGUACCCCUCGGAACAUCGCGCCGCGACUUCCCGAUUCAUGCGGGAAGCCUCGGUCCACACCGGGCGCACGCGCAACGCAGCGCCUGUGGCCCCGGGUCGCCUCGGCGACGAGCACCAUCACCGCGAUCGUCAGGCCCACCUCGACGAGAGGGUGCGCCGAGGCUACCACCCCAGGCGUGGGGGACGCUAUGACAGCGGGGAGGAUCGGAGUCCCUCGCCCGAACCACCCGGUCCGCAGGCUUUCAGCCGCGCCAUACGACGGGCGCCAUUCCCGACCCGGUUCCGACCCCCGACUACUAUCACAAAGUACUCGGGGGAGACAAGACCGGAACUGUGGCUCGCGGACUACCGGCUGGCCUGCCAACUGGGUGGAACGGACGAUGACAACCUCAUCAUCCGCAACCUCCCCCUGUUCCUCUCCGACACCGCUCGCGCCUGGUUGGAGCACCUGCCUCCGGGGCAGAUCUCCAACUGGGACGACCUGGUCCAAGCCUUCACCGGCAAUUUCCAGGGCACGUACGUGCGCCCUGGGAACUCCUGGGACCUCCGAAGAUGCCGACAGCAGCCGGGAGAGUCUCUCCGGGACUAUAUCCGGCGAUUCUCGAAGCAGCGCACCGAGCUGCCCAACAUCACCGAUUCAGAUGUCAUUGGCGCGUUCCUCGCCGGCACCACUUGCCGCGACCUGGUGAGCAAGCUGGGUCGCAAGACCCCCACCAGGGCGAGCGAGCUAAUGGACAUCGCCACCAAGUUCGCCUCUGGCCAGGAGGCGGUUGAGGCUAUCUUCCGGAAGGACAAGCAGCCCCAGGGCCACCCAUCGGAAGAUGCCCCCGAGGCAUCAACUCAGCGCGGCGCCAAGAAGAAGGGCAAGAAGAAGUCGCAAGCGAAACGCGACGCCGCUGACGCGGACCUUGUUGCCGCCGCCGAGUACAAGAACCCUCGGAAACCCCCCGGAGGUGCCAACCUCUUCGACAAGAUGCUCAAGGAGCCAUGCCCCUAUCAUCAGGGGACCGUUAAGCACACCCUUGAGGAGUGCGCCAUGCUUCGGCGCCACUUCCACAGGGCCGGGCCACCCGCGGAGGGUGGCAGGGCUCGCGACGACGACAAGAAGGAAGAUCACCAGGCAGGAGAGUUCCCCGAGGUCCGCGACUGCUUCAUGAUCUACGGUGGGCAAGCGGCGAACGCCUCGGCUCGGCACCGCAAGCAAGAGCGUCGGGAGGUCUGUUCGGUAAAGGUGGCGGCGCCAGUCUACCUAGACUGGUCCGACAAGCCCAUCACCUUCGACCACCCCGACCACGUGCCGAGCCCGGGGAAAUACCCGCUCGUUGUCGACCCCAUCAUCGGCGACGUCAGGCUCACCAAGGUCCUCAUGGAUGGAGGCAGCAGCCUCAACAUCAUCUACGCCGAGACCCUCGGGAUCCUGCGUGUUGAUCUGUCCUCGGUCCGGGCAGGCGCUGCGCCUUUCCACGGGAUCAUCCCCGGGAAGCGCGUCCAGCCCCUCGGACAACUCGACCUUCCCGUCUGCUUCGGAACACCCUCCAACUUCCGAAGGGAGACCCUCACGUUCGAGGUGGACGGGUUCCGAGGAACCUACCACGCAGUAUUGGGGAGGCCAAGCUACGCAAAGUUCAUGGCCGUCCCCAACUACACCUACCUCAAGCUCAAGAUGUCGGGCCCCAACGGGGUCAUCACCGUCGGCCUCACGUACCGACACGCGUUCGAAUGUGACGUGGAGUGCGUGGAGUACGCCGAGGCCCUCGCCGAGUCCGAGGCCCUCAUCGCCGACCUGAAGAGCCUCUCUAAGGAGGUGCCAGACGUGAAGCGCCACGCCGGCAACUUCGAGCCAGCGGAGACGGUUAAAUCCGUCCCCCUCGACCCCAGCAGCGACGCCUCCAAGCAGAUCUGGAUCGUCUCCGAGCUCGACCCCAAAUAGGAAGCAGUGCUCGUCGACUUUCUCCGCGCAAACGCCGACGUUUUCGCAUGGAGUCCCUCGGACAUGCCUGGCAUACCGAGGGAUGUCGCCGAGCACUCACUGGAUAUCCGAGUUGGAGCCCGACCCGUGAAGCAGCCUCUGCUCCGAUUCGACGAAGAAAAGCGCAGAGCCAUAGGCGAGGAGAUUCACAAGCUAAUGGCGACAGGGUUCAUCAAAGAGGUAUUCCAUCCCGAAUGGCUUGCCAACCCUGUGCUUGUGAGAAAGAAAGGAGGGAAAUGGCGGAUGUGUGUAGACUACACUGGCCUAAACAAAGCAUGUCCGAAGGUUCCCUACCCUCUGCCUCGCAUCGAUCAAAUCGUGGAUUUCACUGCUGGGUGCGAAACCCUGUCUUUCCUCGAUGCCUACUCAGGGUAUCACCAAAUCAAGAUGAAAGAGUCCGACCAGCUCGCGACUUCUUUCAUCACACCCUUCGGCAUGUACUGCUAUGUCACCAUGCCGUUCGGCUUGAGGAAUGCGGGUGCGACGUACCAACGGUGCAUGAACCAUGUGUUCGGCGAACACAUUGGCCGGACGGUCGAGGCCUACGUCGAUGACAUCAUAGUCAAGACAAGGAAAGCCUCCGACCUCCUUUCCGACCUUGAAGUGACAUUUCGGUGUCUCAAGGCAAAAGGCGUGAAGCUCAAUCCCGAAAAGUGUGUCUUCGGGGUACCCCGAGGCAUGCUCUUGGGGUUCAUCGUCUCCGAGCGGGGCAUCGAAGCCAACCCAGAGAAGAUCACGGCCAUCACCAGCAUGGGGCCCAUCAAGGACUUGAAAGGCAUACAGAGAGUCACGGGAUGUCUUUCGGCUCUGAGCCGCUUCAUCUCGCGCCUCGGCGAAAGAGGUCUGCCUCUGUACCGCCUCUUAAGGAAGGCCGAGUGCUUCACUUGGACCCCUGAGGCCGAGGACGCCCUCGGGAACCUGAAGGCGCUCCUUACGAACGAGACCAUCUUGGUGCCCCCCGCUGCCGGAGAAGCCCUCUUGAUCUACGUCGUCGCGACCACUCAGGUGGUUAGCGCGGCGAUUGUGGUUGAGAGACGAGAAGAGGGGCAUGCAUUGCCCGUCCAGAGGCUAGUCUACUUCAUCAGCGAGGUACUGUCCGAGACCAAGAUCCGCUACCCACAAGUUCAGAAGCUGAUAUACGCGGUGAUCCUGACGCGGCGGAAGUUGCGACACUACUUCGAGUCUCAUCCGGUAACUGUGGUGUCAUCCUUCCCCCUGGGGGAGAUCAUCCAGUGCCGAGAGGCCUCGGGUAGAAUCGCAAAAUGGGCGGUGGAAAUCAUGGGCGAAACAAUCUCGUUCGCCCCUCGGAAGGCCAUCAAGUCCCAGGUCUUGGCGGACUUCGUGGCUGAAUGGGUCGACACCCAGCUCCCAACAGUACCGAUCCAGCCGGAACUCUGAACCAUGUUCUUCGACGGGUCGCUGAUGAAGACAGGAGCAGGCGCAGGCCUGCUCUUCGUCUCACCCCUCGGAAAGCAUCUACGCUACGUGCUACGCCACCACUUCCCGGCGUCCAACAAUGUGGCUGAGUACGAGGCUCUGGUCAACGGGUUACGGAUCGCCAUCGAACUAGGGGUCCGACGCCUCGACGCUCGCGGUGACUCGCAGCUCGUCAUCGACCAAGUCAUGAAGAACUCCCACUGCCGCGACCCGAAGAUGGAGGCCUACUGCGAUGAGGUUCGGCGCCUGGAAGACAAGUUCUACGGGCUCGAGCUCAACCACAUCGCCCGACGCUACAACGAGACUGCGGACGAGCUGGCUAAAAUAGCCUCGGGGCGAACAACGGUUCCCCCGGACGUCUUCUCCUGAGACCUGCAUCAACCCUCCGUCAAGAUCGACGACACGCCCGAGCCCGAGGCACCCUCGGCCCAGCCCGAGGUACCCUCGGCUCGGCCCGAGGCACCCUCAGCUCGGCCCGAGGCACCCUUGGUUCAGCCCGAGGUACCCUCGGCCCCCGAGGGUGAGGCACUGCGCGUCGAGGAGGAGCGAAGCGGGGUCACGCCUAAUCGAAACUGGCAGACCCCGUACCUGCAAUAUCUCCACCGAGGAGAGCUACCCCUCGACCGAGCCGAAGCUCGGCGGUUGGCGCGGCGCGCCAAGUCGUUCGUCUUGCUCGGAGAUGGGAAGGAGCUCUACCAUCGCAGCCCCUCAGGCAUCCUACAGCAAUGCAUUUCCAUCGCCGAAGGUCAGGAGCUCCUACGAGAGAUACACUCGGGGGCUUGCGGCCAUCACGCAGCACCUCGAGCCCUUGUUGGAAACGCCUUCCUACAAGGUUUCUACUGGCCGACGGUGGUGGCCGACGCCACUAGAAUUGUCCGCACCUGCGAAGGGUGUCAGUUCUACGCGAGGCAGACCCACCUGCCCGCUCAGGCUCUACAGACGAUACCCAUCACCUGGCCUUUUGCUGUGUGGGGUCUGGACCUCGUCGGUCCCUUACAGAAGGCACCCGGGGGCUACACGCACCUGUUGGUCGCCAUCGACAAAUUCUCCAAGUGGAUCGAGAUCCGACCACUAAACAACAUCAGGUCCGAACAGGCGGUGACGUUCUUCACCAACAUCAUCCAUCGUUUUGGGGUCCCGAACUCCAUCAUCACCGACAACGGCACCCAGUUCACCAACAGAAAGUUCUUGGACUUCUGCGAGGAUCACCACAUCCGGGUGGACUGGGCCGCCGUGGCUCACCCCAUGACGAAUGGGCAAGUAGAGCGUGCCAACGGCAUGAUUCUACAUGGACUCAAGCCUCGGAUCUACAACGACCUCAACAAGUUCGGCAAGCGAUGGAUGAAGGAACUCCCCUUAGUGGUCUGGAGUCUGAGGACAACGCCGAGCCGAGCCACGGGCUUCAUGCCGUUCUUUCUAGUCUAUGGGGCCGAGGCCAUCUUGCCCACAGACUUAGAAUACGGUUCCCCGAGGACGAGGGCCUACGCCGACCAAAGCAACCAAGCUAGUCGAGAAGACUUGCUGGACCAGCUAGAAGAGGCUCGGGACAUGGCCUUACUACACUCGGCGCGGUACCAGCAGUCCCUGCGACGCUACCACGCCCGAGUGGUCCGGUCCCGAGACCUCCAGGUGGGCGACCUGGUGCUUCGGCUGCGACAGGACGCCCGAGGGCGGCACAAGCUCACAACUCCCUGGGAAGGGCCGUUCGUCAUCGCCAAAGUUCUGAAGCCCGAAACGUACAAGCUGGCCAACAGUCAAGGCAAGGUCUACAACAACGCUUGGAACAUCCAACAGCUACGUCGCUUCUACCCUUAAGAUGCUUUCAAGUUGUUCAUAUACCUCGUUCCCACGCAAAGUUUAGUCAUCAAGGAAGGGUCAGCCUUGCCUCGGCAAAGCCCGACCCUCCCUCGGGGGCUAAAAGGGGGGAACCCCCUCUGCAUCGAAAUUUUCCUCAAAAAAAGAUCCUUUCUGCCAGAAUGUCUUUCGUGCUUUUCGACUACUUCGAAAGUGGAUCCUGAAAACGGCGGAGUACACGUAAGCAGUCAAGGCUGACCGAGCCGAGGGACUCCUACGCCUCCGGGAUACGAAUACCUCACUCAUCACCUUCUGCGAUAAGUAACUCGCGUUCGGAUAAGUGAUUCUGCGGACCGAACAAGUCUUCACGCUCGAAAGCUCCUCUGCCGAAGCGAUUCUUCGGGCCUUCUCGACUGCGUCGGUGACAGAACCCUAUGGACGGGCAAGAGUGCGCGUAAGCGGCAAGGUCGACCAAGCCGAGGGAUUCCUACGCCUCCGGGAUACGGAUACCUCACUCAUCACCUUCCGUGAAAAGCAACUCUCGCUCGCACAGACUAUUCUGUUACCGACGAAAAAGUCCAGAUACUCGAAACAAGAGGAAAAGAAGCGCAGAUUUACAACACGACGAUGGCGUGUUUGGGCCUCGGCGGCCGCAGAAAACACACGCUACAAGAUAAUCCGAUCCUGCAGGCUCGGAUCUCGACAGUUGAAGGGAGCAGCAGCACCCUGGGCGUCGACUACACCUUCGGCGAGGUCCGACCUAGCCUCGGACGGCGACGCGGUCCGAGGAUCUCCACUCUGAAGGACGACGUCAUCAUCACGCCCGGGCCAUCGCCGCCAGGGUCUUCUCCAAGAAUCCGGCUCGAGCAGGCGGCUCGGCUGGUCACCCCGAGGCCUCGACCAGCUAUCCCCCGAAGACAUCAGCCCGGCCCGAGGCCAGGCAGAUCAACUCUGGCGUCGGUCCCGCUAACGGACGACCCGGCCAGGCUCUGGCCGACCAAGUCUUCUUUUCGAGCCAACUCUGCCUCUGUCCGUGCUGACACCGCUACCCCUGGCUUCGGCUCAUCGAAGAGCGGCCGAGGGGUUCCUUUAACUAAGCAAGAGAAGCCUCGGACAGCAAGGCCGACCGAGCCAAGGGACUCCUACGCCUCCGGGAUACGGAUACCUCACUCGUCACCUUUGCACGGGGCGACUCACGCUUGGUGAAGCAGUUCAGACAACCAACAGGCGAGUCUUAGUGCUCGAAAAUGAGGAAAAAACACGGCUCCACGCCAAAAAUACAUACACGUUCAGGCCCCGACAACCACAAUGAACAAAAGACCGGCAUUCAAGGUGCCAUUACAAACAGAACUCCGGUUCCACCUCCACAGGUACGAACAACCCCACACGAUUGGGGGGCCUGCGGAGCAACAGAAGACCGACGGGUGGCUCGUCAUCGCCCGUUCCGGCAGCAGCGACAACGACCUCCGCUCCGGGUGGCCGAACUGCAGCAGCGAUGGCCUCAGGGCGGACGCUGCUACAACCUUGCCCUCGCCCACGCCGCCGCUCGAGGGGCGAGGACACGUACAAAGAGCCGGAGGCCCGAAGCGCGGAUGGUGGCGGUGAUCCCGUCGGCGACGGGGACUUCUCGAGCCGCCCCCACCUCGGCACCAACGACAGGAGCCGUCAGCCCACCGGCAGGUCCCCACUCAGAUCCUCCCGGACGAGUGGAGCACCGACCUCCGCGCGGAGGCGCCGUACCGGUGCAAAGGCAGGACUGCCCCAGAACACGAACGCCGCCCUAGCAGCGCGCAACGUCUUAGGCGGUCCUCCCGUGCGUGCAGCGCGACAACCGCCCUCGCGGCAGGAGGGGGCACCGGGAGCCAAGCCGGCGAGCCCAACGCGCUGAAGCUGACGACGCCCGCCGUCGGCCAGCCCCGCGUUAUCGAAGUCCGCCCCGCUCAUAGGGCCAGUGAGCGCCCUCUCCCUUGAAUGCUGAAGGAGAGGCUGACCCACGAACCCGCGCGGGAGGUAGAGCUCUGUCUCAGCCUGGCCUCCGUCCCAGCGAGGAUGAUGAACAUCCUUGAAGCUGAGGGCGGGACCAAGAUCGCAGCCCGACUUGCUUCUCCCCACCCAGGGGCUGGUGGUCACCGUCUUGGGUGACCACCAGCGAGGGGAUGUAGCCGAGCUGACUGAUGAAAAUCCUUGAAACCGAACGAUGGCUGAAAGGUACCAACUUCCACGAAGUUGCGUUCCUCCAACGACAAGGCGGAAGGAUUGCGGGUGUCCCCCAUCCGGGGGCUCGGAAGGUGGAAAGACACGAUGCAUAAGGGAGCGCGAAGGCAUGGUCGCCUUUUAAGGGGGUCACCCUCCUUUUAAUCGCGACUCUCCCUACUUGCGUCCCCAGCCGUCGUGGGCUGAGUCUUCUCCAACACGCUCCAAGGUCCCCCCUACGGCGCGGGGGCUGGGUCCCACGCGUCAUGCAAGCUGACCCAGAGCAGAAGGAGCCAAACCGCCGCGCGCGGUGCAUGCAACCGCCCAGCGGUUACGAGCAUUCCUCCACUUUUGCCCAGACCAGCGGGCGAAAGGGCGGGCAGCCAUGCAGGCGGCAUGCAACCGCGCCAAGUGGGCGCGCCCCUCCGACUUCCAACGCACCCAGCAUGGGGGCCCACGCCCACGCGUCAUGCAACCGGCGCGCCGGUCGCUACGUGCAAGCAACUGCACCGCCACUCGCACCACUACCACGCCUCCUCGACUGCAGAACCAGUACCGCGACUCGAGGCGACCCUGCGUACGACCCAGCAGUGCCAGCCUGGCGCGACGGUCAAUACGGCCAAAAAUGGGCCGGCAGUAAUGGCGGUGGCAGGCGGGCAGGAGCAGCGGUCACGUCGUCAGCCAAGCUUACGUCCCAUCCAGGGACAGCGAGAGAAACCUAUCUCACGGCGUGAAGAAGGCGCGCCCGUGUUCCGUUCCUCGAACGGCUCGCGCACGCGCAACGGCCACCCCGUGAACCACUCGCCCUGUCGCAUUAACUCCGCGGCGGGACAGGCGGCGCCUCUGGCAGGGGAAGCGAGCGACGCUUCGCCUUCGCCAUAAUGACCGCGUCAAAAAAGGUACGCCACAUCAUUCGAUUUCGUAUCCUUUUCCUUUUUUCUCUUUCUCUCUCUUACAAAAGGGACCGGGAAAGGGGGAUACCCCAAAAAGGAUCCUUCUCCGUGAAGGAAACAGGCUCCGAGCCUCCCUACUGAUCAGAGGUUCAAAGGCUGGCCCCUCGGAGGGGUUUAACAGCCGCCUCAGAGCGCGUGGGCUCCACACCCACUACUGGUCAGAGGUUCAAAGGCCGGCCCCUCGGAAGGGUUCAACGGCCGCCUCAGGCCACUCGGGCUCCGCGCCCACUACUGAACAGGGGUUCGUAGGCUGGCCCUCGAAGGGUUCACAGCCGCCUCAGACAUAGAGCGAGGGAUGACCCUGGGUACGUUCGAUACAUAACCAAGGCUCGGGCUACGCUCCCGAGGUACCCUAGGACAUUUCCGAGACCAGCGGGAACGAUCUUGUAACAGAAUCCCAUCAGAGGGAGGCAUCGAGCCCUCGGACCCCGUCGACAGGGGACCGGGUCCGGCAGAUCACCCGCAGGUACUUUUGAGCGCGCCUCCGGGCCUCUAGCCGACCCCUAACUAAUGGGGCACGGGCGCCCACUCGGAUUACCCGCCAGCAGCUCACCGGAGACACCAUGUUCGGCGCCCUCCGAGGGCAACAUGGCGCUUUGCCCCCUCCUCCUUGCGGAAAGGCUACGCAGGGGCGUAUGUAAAAAAGUCGAGUCUGUCCUUGACCGUCCUCUCGCCCUGUGCAGAGGCUCAGGGGCUGCUCUCGCAAACCCGGCUCCGGCCAAACCGUUGACAGCGUCAACAUACCAGCCCGAGAACUUGGGACCCGACCGUGCACCCGGGCUACGGCCAGCUCGCAUGAGGGAACGACCAGACCAACCGAAGCAUUGCGUGAGGCAUUAAGACCUCGGAGGAGUCAAACCACUCCUCCGAGGCCUCGGGGGCUACACCCGGCGGGUGCGCUCGCGCGCACCCACCAGAACAAAACGCAACCGAGAAAGGCUGAUCCCCUUGCAAAAAAGUGCGACAAAAGCCUCCAAGCGAGUGUUAACACUCCCUUCGAGGCUCGGGGGCUACUGUCGGGGACCAUAAUUAGGGGUACCCUCAAGACUCCUAAUUCUCAGCUGGUAACCCCCAUCAGCACAAAGCUGCAAAGGCCUGAUGGGUGCGAUUAAGUCAGGGAUCGGUCCAUUCGAGGGACUCGAUCACGCCUCGCCCGAGCCCAGCCUCGGGCAAGGGCAGCCGACCCUGGAGGAUCUACGUCUCGCCCGAGGCCCCCCUCCAGCGAUGAACAUACUUCCGGCUCGCCCGAGGCCCAGCCUUCGCCAAGAAGCAACCCUGGCCAAAUCGCCACGCCAACCGACCAAAUCGCAGGGGCAUUUAAUGCAAAGGUGGCCUGCCACCUUUAUCCUGACGCACGUCCUCCAGUCGAUAGAGCCGAAGUGACCGCAGUCACUUCGCCGCUCCACUGACCGACCUGACAGAAAGACAGCACCGCCUGCACCGCUCCGACUGUUGUGCCACUCGACAGAGUGAGGCUGACAGGCAGCCAGGCCCGGCCUCAGGCACCGUAGGAAACUCCGCUUCGCCCGACCCAGGGCUCGGACUCGGGCUCAGCCCCGGAAGAUGGCGAACUCCGCUCCGCCCGACCCAGGGCUCGGACUCAGGCUCAGCCCCGGAAGACGACGAACUCCGUUCCGCCCGACCCCAGGGCUCGGACUCAGCCCUGGCCUCAGCCGAUGGUCUCCGCCUCGCCCGACCCAGGGGCUCGGACUCGACCUCGGCCUCGGAAGACAGACUCGACCUCGACCUCGGAGGAGCCUCCACAUCGCCCAAUCUAGGGCACGAACCGACCACGUCAACAGGAGGCGCCAUCAUUACCCUACCCCAAGCUGACUCAGGCUACGGGAAACAAGACCGGCGUCCCAUCUGGCUCGCUCCGCUGGACAAGCAAUGAUGGCGCCCCGCACGCUCUAUGACGAUGGCGGCUCUCAGCCCCCCUUACGGAAGCAAGAGGACGUCAGCAAGGACUCGACAGCUCCGACAGCUGUCCUUCCGCCAGGCUCCAGCGCUCCUCCGACGGCCACGACACCACACGAACCGGGUGCCAAAACCUCUCCGGCUGCCACGAUGGCAUGUACUUAGGGCGCUAGCUCUCCUCCGCUAGACACGUUAGCACUCUGCUACACCCCCCAUUGUACACAUGGAUCCUCUCCUUACGCCUAUAAAAGGAAGGACCAGGGCCCUCUUAGAGAGGGUUGGCCGCGCGGGGAAGAGGACGGGACAGGCGCUCGCGUGAGGCCGCUCGCUCCCUCCCGCGUGGACGCUUGGAACCCCCUACUGCAAGCGCACCCGACCUGGGCGUGGGACAAACACGAAGGCCGCGGGAUUUCCACCUCUCAGGCCCGUCUCCUCCCCCCUUCGCGCUCCGUCUCGCGCCGACUCAUCUGGGCUGGGGCACGCGGCGACAUUUCACUCGUCGGUCCAGGGACCCCCCGGUCUCGAAACGCCGACAUGUGUGUUUUACCCAAGAUGGUGCAUCUGAUUCUGUUUGGGUAAACUCGCAUAUCUACCGCUCGCUCAACAGACUCAGAUAAUACAAUGUCAUCAAAAAAAGCAAACUGCACAUAUGGAACCUUAUUUGUUCUUCUGGCAGACAUCGUCUCUAUUGGUGGACAUUUCUAAAUUAGCCUAAGGCGAUACAUGUUAUGUCCACUAGAGAAACAACAUCCUGAGACACUCGCCUUUAUUUGGGAUUGUCUCAUGAUUAUUGCUGAUAUGGACAUGGGUUACAUGCUUCUCUACUCUUGAAAGUCUUUCGCUCCGAAUCUCGGGACGAGAUUCUUUUAAGGGGGGAGGGCUGUAACACCCCAUGUGUUUAUAUUCCGUUCGACAACGAGUACGGAUUUAAGCACGUAAUCAGUGGAUAAAACGGAUUUUAAAUUUUAAUCAUCUUCGCUUAUCGCGAUUUUAAUAUUGUAUCUGUUUCGUCGGACGCGAGUUCGAUAUCGUUUUUAUUUUUAUCUAUCCGGGCUUGUUCUAAAUUUUCGUAAUGUUCGGGACAUCGUUGUUCCGCAAAUUGGUGCGUCCGGUGAUUAUUUAAAAUACAUCGCUCGCGCGAAUACGAAUUCGGAAGUCCGACCCACUGGGACGAUUUUUAUCCCGAACAAAUUAAUUUGAACUCAACGACUAAAAUGUUCGGGGCAAAAUAGUCUGAUUCGCGUGUUGUCCGAGAAAAAUCGUGCGCGAGGUUAUAAUCCACUUUAUUCAUCAGCACGCUGUUUCGACGACGAAACCGCGUAUACAUUAGCGGCUCUGGUUUCGGCUAAUUUCGGUCGAAUCACGCAGAGCAGAUUAUAAUCGCGAAGCCGAACUCGUGUCGAUCUGGUCCGUUUAUAUCGUGGCCGGGCUAGUCACGAAAAUUAUCUAAACGAAUUCUAGUCAGAAUCAUAAACCUCGGAUGUUCCGUUUCGGGAUCCGAGAAAAUAAUGUGUGUAGUCAAUUGUCGUAUCACACAUCGACUCUUUGUUCAUCGCUAAACCGUGACAGCCCGUCCGAGAAUUAUAAUGGAAAAAUUAUUCUCUAAAUAUCUCCUUCGCCUGGGAUUUUUCUGCUGUCAUCCUCAUCCGCGUCGAACAGCUUUUCGGAAAAAAGAUCCCACCGCUCAGCUCGCGAAAAAUCCUGCGCUCCUAUCCCCAGCCGACCUCCCCUGAGAUUUUUGCUUCACGCAUGACGCACCGCCUCUGAUUCCUUUAAUUACGCGCUAUCCUUCUUCUCCACAGCGCCGCAGCUCCCAGCUUCUCCCUCGGCUCGCCCAAGCUCCUUCUUCCUCCUCCAACUCGGCGCCUGGAUCUCUCUCCUCCCUCCACCUCUCUCCAGCCGCGCGUCUCCCUGCUCUCUGCGUUCUUCUUCCUCCCUGGCUCCUGCUCGCCCAACGACGCCGUCGGCCGGAUCUCCUCUGCUCUCUCUGCUCGCCCUGGCCCGCCGUGCUCUGCUCGUCACGGCCGCGUGAGCGGCGAGCUCUCUGCCGCGGCUUCCUUCCUCUUCCGCUCCAGCCUUCUCCUUUCUCUCUUCUCUAGCCCUGUUCGGCCCCCAGCUUGGAUCUUCCUUCCGCUCGGCCGUCUGCCUCUCGCGCUCGGCUCCCUGGAGUGGAUUUCCUCGCCGUGGAGCUCAACUUGAGUAUUGUCCGCCGGCCAACUCCCGCUCGUCUCCCUUAGCACCACCUCGAGCUCUCCUCCAAGUGCCGCGCCGCAGCCAAGCUCCCUCUCCCAUGGCUGACCGUCGGGUGCCCCUGCUGCGCGCCCUUCUUCCCUGUCCCCAGAUGGCCGCCCUGCUCGAGUUCGUCCUGGUGGCCGUUGACUAGGAGCAGACUCGGCCGCGCCUCUGCUCUCUCUACCGCGCCCCUGGCUCUAACCUCCCUCCCAUGGCUGCCUGCUCGAGUUCGCCCCGGCUUCUUGUUUCCUGCUGCGCUCGCCGGCCGUCUGUUCGCCCUGGUCGUCGCUGUCGAGUCCCUGUGCGCGCAGCCGUGUCCCUAUGCUCGCCGUGGCCGGUUCCCAGCGUCGUGCCCGCGAUUUUGCCGCGCGUCCCUACUUGACGUCUGUCCACACGUUGUGCGUGGAGCAACGAAAAAAAAAUCUGUGCGCGUCGGGCUCGCGCGCUAAAUCUUUUUCUAGCUUGCCGCGACGCCCGGCGUCCUACCUGCUUUGCUCACCCGCGUCGGCUAUUCGCUGGUGCUUCAACCCGUCAGUUGUGUUGUCCUAUCCGCGUCAGCACGCGACCGUGGUCGUGUUCGUCGAGUUCGCCAACACUCUGUUGCCGAUUCGACUAUCGUCGCUGUUAUGUGCCUCGUUGCGUGCUCGACGAGUGUUGUCAGUUGUACCUCAGCACUCGUGCUUGCCGCUGGCUCGCGUUAACGCUCGUGCGUCUGCUCGUUAUCACUGCGUCGCACUCGCUCUUCGUCCAUCGGGUUUCACGCGUGCUCGCGUUUGUCGUCGAGCCGUUGAACCCGUUUUACCUUGCUCGACCUCGUCUUUGCCCUUCUGGUGACCGUCGUCAGUUUGGUGCUAGACUACGCUCCAUUAUCUAGUCGCACUGGCUGUGGACCUUGUUGGUUCUUUCCGUGUCAGACCAGCAAGCUCCGCCACCGUCACUCAAUUGCUCGCCCCGCGUGUGCUCGUAAAUUUUCUUGGUCGUGUCUGCUGAGCUGACCAACGCUCCAGCUCGCUGUUAUCGCUAAGUCCCACGCAACUGUGUUGUUCUCUCGUCGUCAUCGUUCAUUCCUAUUUUUCCCGCCAUAUGUCGCCUCAUCAUGACGCGUGUCGUCGUCUUUAAUCCCAAUAGCUCUUACGAUAUGCGCCUCGUCAUGCUUUGCCUCCUCGUGAUCAGCCCCAUCUGGGUCAUGUGGGCGGAAGAUCUCAACACCUGUCAGAUGUUCGACGACAAGCCUAAACCAGGAUUUAUCAACAUUCUCACAAGUAUUGAGUCACGUUUGAUGCUGGUAAGCUAGAUUUAUUUGUUUAGUAAUUUUAGUGCUUUGCCGGUAGGCGCUAUCGGCAUUUUAUGCAAGGAAUUUUAGUUGUGGAAUGAAGUCAUUGCUAUGCAUUCAUGUGCAUUAUGCAAAUCAUUUAGGUACGAUAGUUAAUCACGUGAUGCGGAGGAAAAGAGCCAAGUCGACCCUAAGCGCGGGCUAAUCCGCAGGAUGAUGCUGAUGGACGAACCGGAAGAUGGAUAAUCUGAACGAGUGCCAAGCCAAAGGAUGGUCGUCAAGGGGACGUCGUCUAACAAACACUAACCUAGUGUUACUCAGGCAAGCCCCGGUGCAUGCAACCCCUUCCUUGUGUUUUUAAAUAAUUUUUGCACACUUUAAGUCUAGUGAAAUGUGCAUUAGGUUUAUAGGAGUUGCUUGGAAACCCUUUGAUGCAUUGCCUUCCUUGAUAUCCAUACCUUUAUAGAUACUUCUGGUGAAGUAUCAAAAAUAUGAUUUACAAAAAUGCUUAGCCCUGCUUCGAUCUUGUGGAUAGAGGUUGUCUUUUGCAAUACUGCCUAGCUCAGGGGUUAUCAUGAGGAAGGAUGGCUUCUACCUGCAAGAAUAUAUUUUCAUUGAGAGCGUGGUGGGAUCUUACUACAAAGUUCCCUAUAAUGCUCUUUUCGUCCUAAGGAAAACAAACAAUCCUAAGGAUGAAAGUACUUAAAUCGGGACUUGGGCUAGGAACAGGUGAUGUUCUACCCAGGUUGAUUAAGGAUUGGAUGCAUAUGUAGGCUUGAUGAUCGAGGACCCUUUAACUGGUCACAUGCCUCGUCAUGGGUAAGCUUUGCCUCGGGCAGACUAAGGCCAGAAUAAGAUAACACGGAAUGGGCGUGGAGCGGUGGCGAGAGUAGCGUGUACCCUCCGUGGCAAGAGGCUGGACGGUGGUGUAUCUGUGCUCUCGGUUGGCGUGAACCUGAUCUGGUCUUAAGAACCCCGGUGGUGGGUUGACAUAUGCAAGGGUUAAGUGCUACAUAUGUCGUGUGAUCGGAGAUCCUCAGCUGAGUAUAAUCGAUUCGGAUCGUCGUACCUUCACGGUUAUGAAGACUUGGUCACUGCCCUACAACCUAAGUCAGGAUGUGAACCUCAUGAAUAAAAAUGAUGUUGUAUUGAUGAGAUGGUGAAAUUAGACCAGAUGCAAACAGAGUCUAUUAAUAUUUAAUCUGGCGUUAAAAUAUUGAAAGUAAGGACUCACUUUAGUAAGCUAUUUCUGCAAAAGUAUCUAAGUUGAUUCUUGCUAAAGCCUCUCCUUGAUUCCCAAAUCCAGCUUAUCCUUGAGAGUCUUUUCUUUAGUCGGGUAAGUCUUGCUGAGUAAUUCCAUACUCAGGGUUUUAUUCCCUGUUGUUUUUUUCAGGUUAUAGUUUUGUGCUGCUGUUGAUGGUGUUAAGUGCCGGUGGGCUCGGCCUUCUUAUAUAAGUAUACCCCGUCUUUAUCUUCUUAUCGAGGAUGAUCACUUGAGCUAGCAUAUAUUUCAAACUUAUACUUUUGUAAUCACUCCGAUAAAAUAAUGUAAAAUUUUGUAACCUGUAAAAUUUGGUAAUAAGAUUUCCGCUGCAAAAAUGUUGUGUGUGUGAUUUGUGUUACUUAAUCCCACGGUUCUGGUUGUAAGUGGUUUAUCCGAUGUCCUUGGGCAAUCGGACGGAUCCUGUUAAGUUAUCUGGUGCACAUGCAUAGUUGUUUGAGAUCUUUGAGACAAGGACAAGUGCAUGUGGGCCCAAUAACUUGGGAGGUUCUGCCACACCACAUCAAUCGAGGAUACACGACAGAAGGAAUUGUUAGUUCACCUCACCUUCCCCAAGCGCGGGUUUCCUUUACUAAUUUUGUUCUCUCUAUGUGAACCCUCUCUCUUUCUCGUAAGAAUGAGAUAUAGGUAGGGCUAAAAAAGAGUCAAAUCGCACCAUCUCUAUAAUAAGGAAAUGCCCUUUUUUCCCCGGAGGUUGUCGGAAUUAUUUGCAAUAAAAUACUGGCUACAAUCAAGGAGGUCUUAUCAAUGAAAUUUCCAUUUAUACGGGAUCUAGGCAUAAUUCCCAACCCAUUCUAUAUAGAAUUCUUUUCAUUCUAUCACAAAAUAACAUAAAAACAAAACAUUCGAUUCUUAUAAAUCGAUCCAUAUGCUCUAAAUGGAUAAGAGAGAUAUGGAUUUUCCGCUCAGCUCAAAUUGUCUCCUUUUCCUUCUGUUUGGACAAGAAGAGAAGAGAUAUGAAAUAUUUGACUAAGACUGGAUUUCAUUCCACUUUCCUAUUUCUCAACAACAACUUCCCUCAUCAGUUAUUUUGCGUUUUCAAAGUCAUUAAUUGCCCCAUACCCCUUUUUAUUUAGAUUGUAUGGCGUAAUGUACCUUAUGCAAAUGGAAUUCUAGGGUUCCUUUAUUUUCUUAUGGAAUAAGAAGAAUUCUUCCAUUCUCUUUUUAUUUUGGUUUUCCCCAAAGAAAAACUUUUCGAGGGAGCAGAAUUCCUAGUAAAAAAAUACAGGAUCCUUCCACUUAGAUGAAAAGGAAUUUUUCCAUCCAAUCCAAUAGAGCCAUGGAAUUCCUGAGCCGUUGUGGCUGUACCUGUACUGCAGGAAUACGAAAACUCGCUAUUCACUCAGUUUAUUUUCCAUAAUAAGAUUAUGUAGGAGAGAUGGCCGAGCGGUUCAAGGCGUAGCAUUGGAACUGCUAUGUAGACUUUUGUUUACCGAGGGUUCGAAUCCCUCUCUUUUCGUUUCUCUUAAUUCAUCAAUGUUAGCGAUCACAAUGUAUCAAAUUAAAUAACAAUUUAUUCCAACAAUAAUACCUUUAAUUAAUAGAAAUUCUCUAUAGCAAAUUAAUCCUUAUGUCAUAAUAGAUCCGAACACUUGCCUCGGAUUGACUUCAAUAUAUAAUUGCUCCAGUGAAUAACUAAAACAAAAUAGAAGGACGGUAGAUAGUAAAGAAAAGAACUAAUCAUAAUAUCUAUCUUUAAAAGAUUCAAUAAAAAGACAGUUGGCGGGUCUCUUUGUAUGUCUUGUCCGGAAAGAGGAGGACUUAAUGAUUAUUCGUUCGUCAGAACCAGAAGUUAAAAUUGUUGUGGAUAGGGAUCCUAUAAAAACAUCUUUUGAGGAAUGGGUCAGACCCGGGCAUUUCUCAAGAACAAUAGCUAAGGGAAGCACAUGAAGAACAUGAUAAGGAGGAAGAAGCGUCACAAGUUCCUCCAACUCAAGUCCAGUCAACUAUUCAAAGAAAUCAUCCGGUGGAUCAGAUUCUGGGUGAUAUCAGCAAGGGAGUAACCACUCGCUCACGCCUAGCUAAUUUUUGUGAGCAUUACUCGUUUGCAAAAUGUUGUGGGAACCAAGUGGGUGUUCCACAACAAGCAGGACGAACAUGGUGUGGUGACAAGGAACAAGGCUCGACUUGUGGCAAAAGGUUAUGCCCAAGUCGCAUGUUUGGAUUUUGAGGAGACUUUUGCUCCUAUAGCUAGGCUAGAAUCAAUUCGAAUAUUAUUGGCCUAUGUUGCUCACCACUCUUUUAAGUUGUUUCAAAUGGACGUGAAGAGCGCCUUCCUUAAUGGACCAAUCAAGGAGGAAGUGUAUGUGGAACAAGCCCCUGGUUUUGAGGACGACAGGUAUCCCGACCACUUCUACAAGCUCUCUAAGGCGCUCUAUGGACUUAAGCAAGCCCCAAGAGAAUGGUAUGAAUGCCUUAGAGAUUUCCUUAUUUCUAAUGCUUUCAAGGUUGGGAAAGUUGGUCCUACUCUCUUUACUAAGACGUGUAAUGGUGAUCUUUUUGCAUCCAAAUAUAUGUCGAUGACAUUAUAUUUGGUUCUACUAAUCAAAAGUCUUGUGAAGAGUUUAGCAGGGUGAUGAUGUAGAAAUUCGAGAUGUCUAUGAUGGGCGAGUUGAACUACUUCCUUGGAUUUCAAGUGAAGCAACUCAAGGAAGGUACCUUCAUCUUCCAAACGAAGUAUACUCAAGAUUUGAUCAAGAGGUUUGGGAUGAAGGACGCAAAGCUCGCCAAGACACCGAUGGGAACGGACGGACAUCUGGACAUCAACAAAGGAGGUAAGUCUGUUGAUCAAAAGGCAUACCGAUCUAUGAUAGGAUCUUUGCUUUUAUCUUUGUGCUAGUAGACCGGAUAUUAUGCUAAGUGUAUACAUGUGUGAUAGGUUUCAAUCCGACCCCAAGGAGUGUCACCUUGUGGCCGUUAAGCGAAUUCUUAGAUAUUUGGUUUCUACGCCUUGUUUCGGGCUCUGGUAUCCAAAGGGGUCUACUUUGACUUAAUCGGAUACUCAGAUUCCGACUAUGUCGGGUGCAAGGUUGAUAGGAAGAGCACAUCAGGGAGUUGUUAGUUUCUGGGAAGGUCUCUGGUGUCUUGGAGCUCUAAGAAAUAAACUUAUGUUGCCCUAUCCACCAUUGGGGGCGAGUAUGUUGCCGCAGGACAGUGUUGCGUGCAACUGCUUUGGAUGAGGCAAACCCUCUAGGACUUUGGCUACAAUUUGAGCAAAGUCCCACUCCUAUGUGAUAAUGAGAGUGCAAUCCGCUUGGCGGAUAAUCCUGUUGAACACAGCCGCACUAAGCACAUAGACAUUCGACAUCCCUUUUUAAGAGACCACCAGCAAAGAGGAGAUAUCAAUAUUUAUCAUAGUAGCACCGAGAACAAGCUAACCGAUAUCUUCACCAAGCCUUUAGAUGAGAAAAUGUUUUGCAGGUUGCAUAGUGAGCUAAAUGUCUUAGAUUCGCGUAACUUGGAUUGAUCUACAGCAUACAUGUGCUCUAUGCCUUUGAUCAUGUUACUUUAAGCAUUAAUGUCUUUAAUUGCUUAUUUUUGGUGCUCAAGUUGUACAAGUCAUCCCCGGACCUCACAAGUUCAUAUGCAAAUGAUGCACAUGUUUAGGGGGAGGAUGUGCUACAACUUGACCCCUUUUAGACUAACUUGUUUGUUGAGUACUCUUUAAAUAGUCUCAAAGGUAUAUUGAAAGGGAAAAGUGAACUUGGACAAAGAAAGGGCUUCCACUGCAUUUCUGUAUAAAUGUAUCUUGUCCCAAGCUCGCACUUGUGUUCUCAUUGCCUUUUGCGCUUAUUUGACAUUUUGGUGAGGCAAUAGGGUUAAAGGGCCAAAAAGUUCUCCUGUUUUGGUGCUUAAUGCCAAAGGGGGAGAAAUUAAGGCCAGAGCAAAUGGAUCAGCCAAUCACUUGUGAAAUUUCAAAAAAUGUAGAGUUAGAAUCUUUAUGUUUGAUCAAAACCCUCUUAUUGCAAAAAGUGUUCUCUUAUGGGGGAGAAUGUUCAUUAUGGAAAAAGGGAGAGUUUGUGGCAUUUGAUCAAAUUUACUCUUGAAAGAUCUCUUGAUUUACCAAAACAAGUGCUUUUGAUAUAGAGAUAGGAAAAAGGAUUUGUUUUGUGAAAAUAAACCAAAUGGUGGCAAAAAUGAUCCAAAUAUGCCAGAUCCUAUGUGAGAUAAAUUGGUCUUCAAUUUGCACUCUUUAGCUUCUCUUUGAAAAUGAUGUUGCACUUUGAGUUGCUUUUAAUGUGUUGGCAUAAAUCACCAAAAAGGGGAGAUUGAAAGGGAAAUGUGCCCUUGGGCAAUUUCUAUAAAUGUUUUGGUGAUUAGAUGCCCAACACACAUUGUUUUAAGGUGAGGUGUACUAAGUGUUAAAGAAAUGCAAAUCAAGAAUCAAGGUAUGACUCUAGCUUUAGUGAAUUGUUUUGGGUACUAACAUAUUCCUCUAAGUGCUAGGAACCUUGUCAAAACAAAUGAGAUUGGAUUGGAGAAGUUUGGCUAAGUACAGCCAGACUUGCACCAACCUUCGGUGCACCGGACUGUCCGGUGUGCACCGGACAGUGUCCGGUGCCCAGGCUGGCUCAGUUGUGAACUCACUGCUCUCGGGAAUUGCCGAGGGCACUACGGCUAAAAUUCAUCGGACUUUCCGGUGUGCACCUGACUGUCCGGUGUGCACUGGACUGUCCGGUGAGCCAACAAUGCCCGUGCCAAUGGUCGGCAGCGCGAUCAACGGGCGACGCGUGGCUAGAGCCAACGAUCACCAGGCCGCACCGGACUAUCCGGUGUGUCAAGUGGACCGAGGGUUCAACGGUCGGCUUCGCCAGAGAAGGAAAGAAAUCGUGCAUUGUUCAUGUCCGGUGGUGCACCAUAUUGUCCGGUGCGCCAACCGACAGAAGGCAAGAAUUGCCUACCAAAUGGAGAUCCAACGACUCCUAGCUGCCUUGGGGAUAUAAAAGGGACCCCUAGGCGCAUGGAGCAAUAUACCAGGCCUCCAUUGAACAUCCUAAGAUGCCUAGACACCGCAAGCACGCAUCUGGAUCACUAUGAUUAAGAUUUGAGCACUUGUUGAGUUGUAAAUUCGUUGCGUCGUGUUUGUGUGCUCGUUUCUUGACUUGUGUGCAUGUCAUUGCUGCGACUUUAGCUCUUGCGUGUGUUUCUUUCCCUCCUUUACUCUUGUGGUUUUUAACUAUGAUCAAUAUUGUAAGGAGCAAUUAAUUGCUCUAAGUUUAAUACUCACUUUGUAAAGAGCAAUUAAGUGAAUAAGUCAUCUCUUUCUCUCUAGACAUAGCACCUUGGUUUUGUUUUCACUAACAUUUCAUAAUCCAAGUUUGUGCUAUUUAGUGUUGAUUUUUAUAGGAUCACCUAUUCACCCCCUCUAGGUGCUCUCACAUUCCCAAGUGCUCAUACACCCAAGUGUUUAAUAGAAUCACUCGGUGAUUAGCAUAGGUGCUUUACGAAGUGCUUAGGUUAGUUAGACCGCUUUAGCGCUUUCUCUAGGUGAAACCUAGUUAGUUGAGAGAGUUUAGGAAAACCACACAACCCCUUGGCUCUUGAGCGAGCCAUUGUAAUUAUACCGAGUGGAGCGAGAGUCUUGCGAGACCGUGACAACCACGUUUGUGUCACGACCGCCACCAUGUACCGGAGGGAACGAGGCUCGCGGUGUUUUCGGCCGGAAGCUCGAUAGUGGAGACGUUGGGGAGCAUCCGAGAGGAGCCGGAAGUGGAGCACCACUUGCGCGUGGAGAAGGCCCGUGGCUCUCUACGGAGUUACUCGACCGUGGUGCUUGGCCCUCGCAUGGGCUUCCCUUUGCGUAGGGGCAUCAAUGAGGAUAAGUCGGGACCUUGCGUGGUUCCGGAUACCUCAGUAAAAAAACAGGCAUCAUCCAAGAAGAGUUUGCAUCUCUACCUUGCUCUUUAGCUUCCACAUUUAUAUUAAGCAUUUCAUUUUCAAUCUUGUCUUUAUAGUUAGAUUGUUUAGGAUUGAAACUUAGACAUUGCGGUAGAGAUAGUAACACUUAGACAAAACCUAGUUUGUACAUUCUAGUUUGAUUAAUUGCAUAGGUUUUGCUCUAGGGAUUUAUUAGUGGCCUAGUUUAGAGAAAGUUUUAAAAGUCCUAAUUCACCCCCUCUUAGGUGUCACAUGUUUCCUUCAGACGUGAUAGCUCCUACCACAAGAAGUCACUUGUAUCUAGCCCCCUCCUUAGUCUAUAAAAGGGGACGGUUGGCCCGAGGCGAAGACACACAAACAAACACGAAGACACAAGACACAUGGAGGACUACGCAUGCCAAAGUCGAGGAGCACACCGCCGUGACGCCCAAUGCUUAGCUAGGUACAGAACACCAGAUUCGUAGUCCUUAGGUCCUUCCAUACAUAAGAGGCUUGGGAGCAUGUCACACCCGGUUUUGGAAGGCAAACCAAAUGUGAACUAUGUACGUGACAGGAUCAGAAAUUCACGUACAUAGUGAUUACAUAAAUGACUCAUCAUAGCAUAAUGCUUCGAAUACUAAUAAAGAGUCAUUUACAUAAUAUGAAUCAAAGUGCACAUAAUAGAAACGUACCCAACGUAUACAAACCCACCACAAGCAGCUGACUGGGAGGUCACUAGCCUAAUCCUCGAACUCGUCGAAGUCCUGGAACUCCUGGAGAUCUGCCUCGACGCCUUCUUCUUCUUUACCUGAGCAUAGGUUGCACCAAAGGCAGCCUGGUGUUUUGUGAAAGCAAGGGUGAGUACACAUCAACAUACUCAACAAAUGUCUCGUUUGGCUAAGAUGGACUAGCUUUAUGUGGGGUUAGGAUCAAAGCAGUUGCUUUUAGUUCGUCAGUUAUUUAUUAUUAGUAGAAGCCAAGUUUUAGCAAUAACCAACCUGUGAAUCAUUUCCUCAUCGAGGAACAUCAUUAUCAUCAUCGAACCACAACACAAAUAGAACCAUAACAUCUCGAAUCAUCAGUAUCUCUAAUCAAAGGAGCUCCCAAAGCCGCUCAUAACCGUGAGCACGACUGAUAUAUCAGUUUCAUUCCUCUAUAGAGGUCGCACGCUUUACCCAUGAGUCGUGAUUCCCAUUCUGCCCGGGGAUCAUGGCUCCCCAUUGAUCACUUCCAAGGUGAACUGGCAGGGUCUCGAGAUGUAGCUUUUACAAAGAUUCCCUAGAGGUCAUAGUCAUCCGUUAGGUUUCUAUAGUUUGAUAAAAACGGUAAAUCUCCCCAUAGGAAGAGUGACCAACAACAUCACUCAGCCUCGGCAGAGCAAGUACAUGUGCCCGGACCCCAUUGACGGCACGACGGCGAAGCAAACUACACCUCAAGUUCCUCUAAUUAAUCAGCUUAGGGUCCCAUACCACCCUCAUGGUUGCACUGUUUUCCUGGGUGGUCAUCCAACGAACAGGUCCUUAUGAAGAAGUACUCGAGAAACAGCCCGAACCUCCUUUAGUAUCACAAGAUCAUAAUCAUAAUCAGAAUGUAAAGCAUCGUAUCAUAAUCGUAUCUCAUCAUGUUCAUGGAUUAAAAUAGAGCAAUAGCAUAAAGCUAACUUGUCGGCGUUUUGACCCCGGGGGGUCCCUGGACCGACGAGUAAAUUGUCGCUGCGUGUCCCAGCCCAGAUGGGUCGACGCGAGACGGAACACAAAGGGGGGAGAAACAGUAAGGGGAAACCGUGGCCUUCGUGUUGUCCUACGCCCAGGGCGGAUGCGCUUGCAGUAGGGGGUUACAAGCGUUUGCGUGGGGGAGAGAGAGAGAGCCUUGUGUGUCGGCCCGUUCUCCCGCGCGGCCAACCUUCUCGUACGAGAGCCCUGGACCUUCCUUUUAUAGGCGUAAGGAGAGGGCCCAGGUGUACAAUGGGGGGUGUAGCAAUGUGCUAACGUGUCUAGCAAAGGGGAGCCAGAGCCCUAUGUACGUGCCGUCGUGGCUGUCGGAGAGGUUUUGGCGCCCUGUUCAUGUGAUGUCAUGGCCGUCGGAGGAGCGCUUGAGCCCCGUGGAAGUACAGCUGUCGGGGCUGUCGGAUCCUUGCUGACGUCUCCUUGCUUCCGUAAGGGGCUGAGAGCCGCCGUCGUCAUGGAGCACGCGGGGUGCCAUCAUUACUUGUUUACCAGGGCGAGCCGGAUGGGACGCCGGUCUUGUUCCCCGUAGCCUGAGCUGGCUAGGGGUAGGGUAAUGAUGGCUCCCCCCUGUGACGUGGUCGGUCCGAGCCCGGGGUCGGGCGAGGCGGUGACUCCUCCGAGGUCGAGGUUGAGUCCGAGCCCUGGGGUCGGGCGAGGCGGAGUCCGUCGUCCGAGGUCGAGGUUGAGUCCGAGCCCUAGGGUCGGGCGAGGCGGAGUCCGUCGUCCGAGGUCGAGGCUGAGUCCGAGCCCUAGGGUCGGGCGAGGCGGAGUCCAUCGUCCGGCGUCGAGGUUGAGCCCAAGCCCUGGGGUCGGGUGAGGCGGAGUCCGUCGUCCGAGGUCGAGGUUGAGUCCGAGCCCUGGGGUCGGGCGAGGCGGAGUCCGUCGUCCGAGGUCGAGGCUGAGUCCGAGCCCUGGGGUCGGGCGAGGCGGAGUCCAUCGUCCGGCGUCGAGGUUGAGCCCGAGCUCUGGGGUCGGGCGAGGUGGAGCUUCCUAUGGCGCCCGAGGCUGGACUUAGCUGCUGUCAGCCUCACUUUGUCGAGUGGCACAGCAGUCGGAGCAGGGCAGGCGGCGCUGUUUUCCUGUGAGGUCGGUCAGUGGAGCGGCGAAGUGACUGCGGUCACUUCGGUCCUGUCGACUGAGGAGCGCGCGUCAGGAUAAGAUGUCAGUCGAUCCUUGCAUUAAAUGCUCCUGCGAUACGGUCGGUUGGCGUGGCGAUUUGGCCAAGGUUGCUUCUCCGCGAAGCCUGGGCCUCGGGCGAGCCGAAGGUGCGUCCGUUGCUUGAUGGGACCCUCGGGCGAGACGUGAAUCCUCUUGGGUCGGCUGCCUUUGCCUGAGGCUGGGCUCGGGCGAGGCGGGAUCAUGUCCCUUGAGGGGACAGAGCCUUGACCUGAAUCGCGCCCAUCAGGCCUUUGCAGCUUUGUGCUGAUGGGGGUUACCAGCUGAGAUUAGGAGUCUUGGGGGUACCCCUAAUUAUGGUCCCCGACAGUAGCCCUCGAGCCUCGAAGGGAGUGUUGGUACUCGCUUGGAGGCUUUUGUCGCACUUUUUUGCAAGGGGAUCGGCCUUUCUCGGUUGCGUUUCGUUCCGGUGGGUGCGCGCGAGCGCACCCGCCGGGUGUAGCCCCCGAGGCCUCGGAGGAGUGGUUUGACUCCUUCGAGGUCUUAGCGCGUUUCGUGAUGCUUCGGCCGGUCUGGUUGUUCCCUCAUGCGAACUGGUCGUAGCCCAGGUGCAUAGUCAGGUUCCAAGUUCUCGGGCUGGUAUGUUGACGCUGUCAACGGUUUGGCCGGAGCUGGGUUUGCGAGAGCAGCCCCCGAGCCUCCGCACAGAGCGAGAGGACGGUCAAGGACUGACUUGGCUUUUUUCAUACGCCUCUGCGUCGCCUUUCCGCAAGGAGGAGGGGGAAAGCACCAUGUUGCCCUCGGAGGGCGCCGAACAUGGUGUCUCUAGUGAGUUGCUAACGGGUGAUCUGAGUGGACGCCCGUGCCCCGUUCGAUAAGGGUCGGCUAGUGGCCCAGAGGCGCGCUCCAAAAGUACCUGCAGGUGAUUUGCCGGACCCGGUCCCGUUUGAUAGGGUCCGAGGGCUCGAUGCCUCCCUCUGAUGGGAUUCCGUUACAGAAUCGCUCCUGUCGGUCUCAGAAAUGUCCUAGGGUACCUCGGGAGCGUAGCCCGAUCCUCGGCCAUGUAUCGGACGUACCCAGAGUCAUCCCUCGCUCUGCGUGCUCUGAGGCGGCUGUCGAACCCUUUGGGGGCCAGCCUACGAACCCCUGAUCAGUAGUGGGCGCGGAGCCCGAGUGGCCUGAGGCGGCUGUCGAACCCUUCCGAGGGGCCAGCCUUCGAACCUAUGACCAGUAGUGGGCGCGGAGCCCGAGGGGCCUGAGGCGGCUGUCGAACCCUUCCGAGGGGCCAGCCUUCGAACCUCUGACCAGUAGUGGGCGCGGAGCCCGAGGGGCCUGACGUGGCUGUCAAACCCUUCCGAGGGGCCAGCCUUCGAACCUCUGACCAGUAGUGGGCGCGGAGCCCAAGUGCUCUGAGGCGGCUAUUGAACCCUUCCGAGGGGCCGGCCUUCGAACCUCUGAUCAGUAGGAGGGCUCGGGGCCCGCUUCCUUCACGGAGAAGGAUCCCUUUUGGAGUAUCCCCUUUCCCGGUCCCUGUAGCAAGAGAGAGAAAGAGGAAGAGAAAAAGGAUACGAAAUCGAACGGCGUGGCGCACCUUUUUUGACGCGGUCAUUAUGGCGGAGGUGAAGCGUCGCCUGCUUCGCCUGCCAAAGGUGCCGCCUGUCCUGCUGCAGAGUUAAUGCGACGGGACGAGUGGUUCGCGGGGCAGCCGUUGUGCGUGCGCGAGCCGUUCGAGGAACGGAACACGGGCGCGUCGCCUUCACGUCGUGGGAGAGGGCUCUCUCGCUGUCCCUAGAAGGGACGUGUGCCUGCAGACGUCUUGACCGCUGCUUCCGCCCGCCUGCCGCUGCCAUUACUGCUGGCCCACUUUUGGCCAUAUCGACCAUAGCGCCUUCUCCCGCGGCUGACUGACCCGUGAUCGAUGUGCUCGGUUGGCACUGUUGGGCCAUGCGCAGGGUUGCCUCGAGUCGGGCACCGGUUCCACAGUCGAGAAGGCGCGAUACUAGCGCAAGUGGCGGUGCAGUUUCCCGCAUGUAGUACCGGCGCGCCGGUUACAUGAUGUGUGGGCCUGGGCCCCCAUGUCGGAUGCGUCGGAGUCGAAAGGGUGCGCCCCCUUGGUGCGGUUGCAUGUCGCCUGCAUGGCGGUCCGCCCUUUCACCCGCCGGUCUGGGCGAAAGUGGAGGAGUGCUUGUAACCGCUGGGCAGUUACGCGUUCCGCGCGUGGCGGUUUAGCUUCUUCUGCCCUGGGCCAGCUUGCAUGACGCGUGGGACCCAGCCCCCGUGUCGUAGGGGGAAGACCUUGGAGCGUGUCGGUGAAGACUCAGUUCGCGACGGCUGAGGACGCAAGUGGGGAGAGUCGCCUUUAAAAGGAGGGCAACCCCCUUGGAUGGCAACCAUGUCUUCGCACUCUCCUCAUGCAUCGCGUCCUUCCACCUUCCGAGCCCCCGGAUGGGGAGCGCCCGCAUCACUUUCGUCUUAUCCUCAUUGGAGGAACGCAACUUCGCGGAAGUUGGUACCUUUCAGCCAUCGCUCGGCUUCAAGGAUUUUCAUCAGGCAGCCCGGCUGCAUCCCCUCGCCGGUGGUCACCCAAGACGGUGACCACCAGUUUGAUGGUGGGGAGAAGCAAGCCGGGCUGCGGCCUCUACCCCGCCUUCAUCUUCAAGGAUCUUCAUCAUCCUUGCUGGGGCGGAGGCCGGGCUGAGCCGGAGCUCUACCUCCCACGCGGGUUCGUGGGUCACCUUCUCCCUCAGCACUCAGGGGAGAGGGUGCUCACCGGCUUAGCGGAAGGGGCGGACUUCGACAACGCGGGGCCGAGCGGCCGCAAGCGUCGCCAGCUCCCGCGUGCCCGGUUCGCUGGCUCAGCUGGCUCUGGCGCAGCUUCCGGUGCCACCUUCCAUCACUGGGCGGAGCGUGGCUAUCUACCCGACGUACGGGCGGCUGUCGCGCCGCGCGCACCGGGGGACCGCCCAAGAUGUCGCGCGCUGCUAGGGCGGCGUUCGUGUUCUUGGGCUGUCCUGCCUUUGCUCCGGUACGACACCCCGGCGCGGAGGUCGGUGUUCGCCCGUUCGGGAGGACCCGAGUGGGGAUCUGCCGGUGGGCAGACGGCUGCCGUCAUUGGUGCCGAGGUGGUGGUGGCUGAAGAAGUCCUCGUCGCCGACGAGAUUGCCGCCACCAUCCAUGCUCCGGGCCUCUGGCUCUUUGGCUUUGAUAGCUUGUCCUUGCCCCUCGAGUGGGGAUGCGGGCGAGGACCUUAUCGCAGCAGCGUCUGCCCUGAGGUCAUCGCUGCUGCUGUUUGGCCGCCCGGAGUGGAGGUCGUCGUCGCUGCUGCCGGAGCGGGCGGCGGCGAGCCACCUCGGGUUUUGUCGCCCCGCAGGCCCUCCAAUGUGGGGGGUUGUUCGUACCAGCGGGAGUGGAACCGAAGUUCCGUUUGUAAUGGCACCUUGAGUGCCGGUGUCUGUUCAUUGUGGCUGUUGGGGCCAGAACAUGUGUGUAUUUUGGCGUAAAGCCGUGUUUCUUCCUCAUUUCGAGCACUAGGACUCGCCCGUCGGCUAGCUGAACCGCUUAACCAAGUGUGAGUUGCCUCGUGCGGAAGGUGACGAGUGAGGUAUCCGUAUCCCGGAGGCGUAGGAGUCCCUCGGCUCGGUUGGCCUUGCCGCCCGAGGCUUCUCUUGCUUAGUUAAAGAAACCCUCGGCCGCUCUGCGAUGAGCUGGAGCCGGAGGCAGCAGUGCCAGCACAGGCAGAGGCAGAGUUGGCUCGAAAAGAAGCUUCGUCGGCCAGAGCCUGGCCGGGCCAUCCACUGGCGGGACCGACGCUGGAGUCGGGUUGCCGAUGCCAUGAGCCGGGCUGAUGUCCUCGGGGGACAGCUGGCUGAGGCUACGGAGUGGCCGGUCGAGCCAUCUACCCGGGCCGGGUUCCUGGAGGAGACCCCGGCGACGAUGGCCCAGGCGUGGUGCUGACAGGUUCCUUCGAGGUGGAGACCCUCCGACCGUGUCGCCGUCCGAGGCUGGGUCAGACUCCGCCGAAGGUGGAGUCGAUGCCGAGGGUGCUGCCGCUCCCAUUGCUGAUGUCCGAUCCUGCAGGAACAGUUUAUCUGUAGUGUGUGUAUGUUUUUUGGCGGCCGCCGAGGCCCAAACAUAUCGUCGUCGUGUUGUAGAUCUGCGUUUCUUUUCCCCUUGUUUCGAGUAUCAGGACUUACUUGUCGGUAACAGAAUUGUUUGUCCGAGCGAGAGUUACUUUUCACGGAAGGUGAUGAGUGAGGUAUCCAUAUCCCGGAGGCGUAGGAGUCUCUCGGCUCGGUCGGCCUUGCCGCUUACGUGUACUCUUACUCGUCCGUCGGAUUCUGUUAUCGAUAUAGUCGAGAAGACACGAAAAAUCGUUUCGGCAGAAAAGUUUUCGAGCGUUAAGACUUGUUCGGUCAGCGGAAUCGCUUAUCCGAGCAUGAGUUACUUAUCGCAGAAGGUGAUGAGUGAGGUAUCCGUAUCUCGGAGGCGUAGGAGUCCCUCGGCUCGGUCGGCCUUGUCUGCUUACGUGUACUCCGUCGUUUUCAGGAUCCCACUUUCGAAGUAGUCGAAAAGCACGAAAGAUGUUCUGGCAGAAAGACUUUUUCCGAGGAAAAUUUUGACGCAGAGGGGGUGCCCCCCUUCUAGCCCCCGAGGGAGGGUCGGGCUUUGCCGAGGCAAGGCUGACCCUUCCUUGAUGGUUAGACUUUGUUGGCGUAUGUAGACGAGGUAUAUGAACGACUUGAAAACAUCUUAAGGGUAGAAGCGACGUAGCUGUCGGAUGUUCCAAGCGUUGCUGUAGACCUCGCCUUGAUUGUUGGCCAGCUUGUAUGUUCCGGGCUUCAAAAUCUUGGCGAUGAUGAGUGGCCCUUUCCAGGGAGGCGUGAGCUUGUGGCGCCCUCGGGCGUCUUGUCGUAGCUGAAGCACCAAGUCACCCACCUGGAGGUCUCGGGACCGAACCCCUCGGGUGUGGUAGCGUCGCAGGGACUGCUGAUACCGCGCCGAGUGUAGUAAGGCCAUGUCCCGAGCCUCUUCCAGCUGGUCCAGUGAGUCUUCUCGGUUAGACUGGUUGCUUCGGUCGUCGUACGCCCUCGUCCUCGGGGAUCCGUAUUCCAAGUCCGUGGGCAAGAUAGCUUCGGCCCCAUAGACUAGAAAAAACGGCGUGAAGCCCGUGGCUCGGCUUGGCGUCGUUCUCAGACUCCAGACCACCGAGGGGAGUUCCUUCAUCCAUCACCUGUCGAAUUUGUUGAGGUCGUUGUAGAUCCGUGGCUUGAGUCCUUGCAGAAUCAUGCCAUUGGCACGCUCUACUUGCCCAUUCGUCAUGGGGUGAGCUACGGCGGCCCAGUCCACCCGAUGUGGUGAUCCUCGUAGAAGUCCAGGAACUUUCUGCCGGUGAACUGGGUGCCGUUGUCGGUGAUGAUGGAGUUUGGGACCCCGAAGCGAUGGAUGAUGUUGGUGAAGAACGCCACCGCCUGUUCGGACCUGAUGCUGUUUAGGGGUCGGACCUCGAUCCACUUGAAGAAUUUGUCGACAGCGACCAGGAGGUGCGUGUAGCCCCCGGGUGCCUUCUGCAAGGGACCGACGAGGUCCAGACCCCACACAGCAAACGGCCAGGUGAUGGGUAUCGUUUGCAGAGCCUCAGCGGGCAGGUGGGUCUACUUUGCGUAGAAUUGACACCCUUGGCAGGUGCGUACAAUCCUUGUGGCGUCGGCCACCACGGUUGGCUAGUAGAAAUCUUGUCGGAAGGCGUUUCCAACAAGGGCUCGAGGCGGUGCGUGAUGACCGCAAGCCCCCGAGUGUAUUUCUUGUAAUAGUUCCUGACCUUCGGCGAUGGAUAUGCAUCGCUAGAGGAUGCCUGAGGGGCUGCGGUGGUAGAGCUCCUUCCCGUCACCCAGCAAGACGAACGACUUGGCGCGCCGUGCCAGUCGUCGAGCUUCGGCUCUGUCGAGGGGUAGCUCUCCUCGGUGGAGAUAUUGCAGUUAUGGGGUCUGCCAGUUUCGAUUAGGCGUGACCCCAUUCCGCUCUUCCUCGAUGCGCGGUGCCUCACCCUCGGGGGCCGAGGGUGCCUCGGGCUGAGCCGAGGGCACCCCGGGCUCGGGCGUGUCAUCUGUCUUGACUGAGGGUUGAUGUAGGUCUCAGGAGAAGACGUCCGGGGGAACCGUUGUUCGCCUCGAGGCUAUCUUAGCCAGCUCGUCCGCAGUCUCGUUGUAUCGUCGGGCGAUGUGGUUGAGUUCGAGCCCAAAGAACUUGUCCUCCAGGCGCCGAACCUCAUCACGGUAGGCUUCCAUCUUCGAGUCGCGGCAAUGGGAGUUCUUCAUGACUUGGUCGAUGACAAGCUGCGAGGCGCCACGAGCGUCGAGGCGUCGGACCCCUAGCUCGAUGGCGAUGCGCAACCCGUUAACCAGAGCCUCAUACUCGGCCACGUUGUUGGACGCCAGGAAAUGGAGGCGCAGCACGUAUCGGAGGUGCUUCCCGAGGGGUGAGAUGAAGAGCAGGCCCGCGCCCGCUCCUGUUUUCAUCAACGACCCGUCGAAAAACAUGGUCCAGAGUUCCGGUUGGAUCGGAGCUGCUGAAAGCUGGGUGUCGACCCAUUCAGCCACAAAGUCUGCCAAGACUUGGGACUUGAUGGCCUUCCGAGGGGCGAACGAGAUUUUCUCACCCAUGAUCUCCACCGCCCACUUUGCAAUCCUACCCGAGGCCUCUCGGCACUAGAUGAUCUCUCCCAGGGGGAAGGAUGACACCACAGUCACCGGAUGAGACUCGAAGUAGUGUCGCAACUUUCGCCGCGUCAGAAUUACCGUGUACAGUAGCUUCUGGAUUUGCGGGUAGCGGAUUUUGGUCUCGGAUAGUACUUCACUGAUGAAGUAGAUUGGCCUCUGGACGGGCAAUGCAUGCCCCUCUUCUCGUCUCUUGACCACGAUCGCGGCGCUGACCACCUGAGUGGUAGUGGCGACGUAGAUCAAGAGGGCUUCUCCAGCAGCGGGGGGCACCAAGAUGGGCGCGCUUGUAAGGAGCGCCUUUAGGUUCCCGAGGGCUUCCUCGGCCUCGGGAGUCCAAGUGAAGCGCUCGGUCUUCCUCAAGAGGCGGUACAGAGGUACUCUUUCACCGAGGCGCGAGAUGAAACGGCUCAGGGCCGCAAGACAUCCCAUAACCCUCUGUACUCCUUUCAAGUCCUUGAUGGGCCCCAUGUUGGUGAUGGCCGCGAUUUUCUCCGGGUUGGCCUCGAUGCCCCGCUCGGAGACGACGAACCCCAGGAGCAUGCCUCGGGGGACUCCGAAGACACACUUCUCAGGAUUGAGUUUUACGCCUUUCGCCUUGAGACACUUGAAUGUCGUUUCAAGGUCGGAGAGGAGGUCGGAGGCCUUCCUCGUCUUGACUACGAUGUCAUCGACGUAAGCCUCGACCGUUCGGCCAAUGUGUUCUCCGAACACGUGGUUCAUGCACCUUUGGUAUGUCGCACCCGCAUUCCUCAAACCGAAUGGCAUAGUAACGUAGUAGUACAUGCCAAAGGGUGUGAUGAAAGAAGUCGUGAGCUGGUCGGACUCUUUCAUCCUGAUUUGGUGAUACCCUGAGUAGGCAUCAAGGAAAGACAGGGUUUCGCACCCAGCAGUGGAAUCCACGAUUUGAUCGAUGCGAGGCAGAGGGUAGGGAACUUUCGGACAUGCUUUGUUUAGACCAGUGUAGUCUACACACAUCCGCCAUUUCCCUCCUUUCUUUCUCACAAGCACAGGGUUGGCAAGCCAUUCAGGAUGGAAUACCUCUUUGAUGAACCCUGCAGCCAUCAGCUUGUGGAUCUCCUCGCCUAUGGCUCUACGCUUUUCUUCGUCGAAUCGGCGAAGAGGCUGCUUCACGGGUCGGGCUCCAGCUCGGAUGUCCAGCGAGUUCUCGGCGACAUCCCUCGGUAUGCCAGGCAUGUCCGAGGGACUCCACUCAAAAACCUCGGCGUUCGUGCGGAGAAAGUCGACGAGCACUGCUUCCUAUUUGGGGUCGAGCUCGGAGCUGAUCCGGAUCUGCUUGGAGGCGUUGUUGCUAGGGUCGAGAGGGACGGACUUAACCGUCUCAGCUGGCUCGAAGUUGUCGGCGUGGCGCUUCCCAUCUGGCGCCUCCUUGGAGAGGCUCUCCAGGUCGGCAAUGAGGGCCUCGGAUUCGGCGAGGGCCUCAGCGUACUCCACGCACUCCACGUCGCAUUCGUACGCGUGUCGGUACAUGGAGCCGACGGUGAUGACCCCGAUGGGGCCCGGCAUCUUGAGCUUGAGGUAGGUGUAGUUGGGGCGACCAUGAACUUGGCGUAGCACGAUCUCCCCAGCACUGCGUGGUAGGUUACUCGGAACCCGACCACCUCGAACGUGAGGGUUUCCUUUCGGAAGUUGGAGGGAGUCUCGAAGCAGACGAGCAGAUCGAGUUGCCCAAGGGGUUGGACGCGUUUUUCGGGGAUGAUCCCGUGAAAGGGCGCCGCGCCGGCCCGGAUCGAGGACAGAUCGAUCUGCAGGAGCCCGAGGGUCUCGGCGUAGAUGAUGUUGAGGCUGCUGCCUCCGUCCAUGAGAACCUUGGUAAGCUUGAUGUUGCCGAAGACGGGAUCGACAACAAGCGGGUACUUUCCUGGGCUCGGCACGCGGUCGGGGUGGUCGCCCUGGUCGAACGUAAUGGGCUUGUCGGACCAGUCUAGGUAGACUGGCGCCGCCACCUUUACCGAGCAGACCUCCCGGCGCUCUUGCUUGCGGUGCCGAGCCGAGGCGUUCGCCACUUGCCCACCAUAGAUCAUGAAGCAGUCGUGGACCUCAGGGAACUCCUCUGCCUUGUGAUCCUCCUUCUUGUCGUUGUCGGGGGCUCUGCCACCUUCCGCCGGUGGCCCGACCCUGUGGAAGUAGCGCCGAAGCAUGACACACUCCUCAAGGGUGUGCUUGACGGGACCCUGAUGAUAGGGGCACGACUCCUUGAGCAUCUUGUCGAACAGGUUGGCGCCUCCGGGAGGCUUCCGAGGGUUCCUGUGCUCGGCGGCGGCGACAAGGUCUGCGUCGGCGGCGUCGCGUUUUGCUUGCGACUUCUUCUUGCCCUUCUUCUUGGUGCCGCGCUGAGCGAACGCCUCGGAGACGUCUUCCGGCUGGCGCCCCUGAGGCUGCUUGUCCUUCCGGAAGAUGGCCUCGAACGCCUCCUGACCAGAGGCGAACUUGGUGGCAAUGUCCAUCAGCUCGCUCGCCCUAGUGGGAGUUUUGCGACCCAGCUUGCUCACCAGGUCGCGGCAAGUGGUGCCGGCGAGGAACGCACCGAUGACAUCCGAGUCGGUGAUGUUGGGUAGCUCGGUGCGCUGCUUCGAAAAUUGCCGGAUGUAGUCCUAGAGGGAUUCUCCCGGCUGCUGGCGGCAGCUUCGGAGAUCCCAGGAGUUCCCAGGACGCACGUAUGUGCCCUGGAAGUUGUCGGCGAAGGCUUUGACCAGGUCGUCCCAGUUGGAGAUCUGCGCAGGAGGCAGAUGCUCCAGCCAGGCUCGGGCGACGUCGGAGAGGAACAGGGGAAGGUUGCGGAUGAUGAGGUUGUCAUCGUCCGUUCCACCCAGCUGGCAGGCCAGCCGGUAGUCCGCGAGCCACAGUUCCGGCUUUGACUCCCCCGAGUACUUGGUGAUGGUAGUCGGGGUUCGGAACCGGGUCGGGAACGGUGCCCGUCGUAUGGCCCGGCUGAAAGCUCAUGGACCGGGUGGUUCGGGCGAGGGGUUCCGAUCCUCCUCACUGUCGUAGCGUCCCCCACGCCUGGGGUGGUAGCCUCGACGCACCUUCUCAUCGAGGUGGGCUCGACGGUCGCGGUGGUGGUGCUCGUUGUCGAGGCGACCCGGGGCCACAGGCGCGGUGUUCUGCGUUUGCCCAGUGUGGACCGAGGCUUCCCGCCUGAAUCGGGAAGUCGCGGCGCGAUGCUCCGGGGGGUACCCCUGCCUUCGGGAGGCAGAGCUCUCGGCCCGUCGGACCGCGGCAUCUUCCAGGAGAUUCUUGAGCUCUCCCUAGAUACGCCGCCCCUCGGUGGUGGAUGGUUCCGGCAUCGCUCGGAGUAGUAUCGCUGCUGCAGCCAGGUUCUGGCCGACCCCACUGGAAGCUGGGGGCAGCCUUGCCCUGGCAUCGUCGGCAAUGCGGUGCUGGACGUCCUGGGCCAGAUGACGCGCUUCUCCGGCCGGUGCUCGGCCUGCCCACUCCUGCCCGAUAUUUUGCUGAAGCUGCACAAGUUGUCCUGCUUCCUCGUCGAGCCUGGCCUGCAUCUCGCGGAUUUGCUCGAGCUGUGCGUCCUGACCCCCCGUAGGGACUGGGACCACAGCUAGCUCCCGAAGGAUGUCAACGUGAGGCGCAGGCCUAGGGGGAUCACCGUCCUCCGGCAUACCAAGAUGGUUGUCUUCGUCGAGACCCCCUAGAUCGACGUGGAAGCAUUCGCGACUUGGGCCACAGUCCUCGUCGCCGAGGCUGUGGCUACUAUCGGAGCAAUCGGAGAGGUAGUAGUCGCAUGCGGUCAUGAAGUCCCGCAUGGCACUGGGGUUAUCGAGCCCGGAGAAAUCCCAACCAGAGUCGGUCUCGUCAUCUUCCUCGGAACCCAGGGGCCCGUAGGUUGAGACGGCCGUCAGUCGGUCCCAGGUUGACCGCAUAUGAUACCCCGGAGGGUUUGGACAUGCCUUUAUGAAAGCGUCCACCGAAGCGGGGUCGCUUGGUGGGUCGCAGCUGAAUCUAAAAGGCAUGGAACAGGAAACGGACGGUACCUCUUGAUUGACGGAUGGCAACGAAGUCGCGUCAGGGACUGUCGGGGACUAUAAUUAGGGGUACCCCCAAGACUCCUAAUCUCAGCUGGUAACCCCCAUCAGCACAAAGCUGCAAAGGCCUGAUGGGCGCGAUUCAGGGCAAGGCUUCGUCCACUCAAGGGACACGAUCCCGCCUCGCCCGAGCCUAGCCUCGGGCAAAGGCAGCCGACCCAGGAGGAUUCACGUCUUGCCCGAGGGUCCCCUCAAGCAACGGAUGCACCUUCGGCUCGCCCGAGGCCUAGGCUUCGCGGAGAAGCAACCUUGGCCAGAUCGCCACGCCAACCGACCGUAUCGCAGGAGCAUUUAAUGCAAGGAUCGACUGACACCUUAUCCUGACGCGCGCUCCUCAGUCGACAGGACCAAAGUGACCACAGUCACUUCGCCACUCCACUGACCGACCUGACAGGAAAACAGCGUCGCCUGCCCUGCUCCGACUGCUGUGCCACUCGACAGAGUGAGGCUGGCAGCAGCUAAGUCCAGCCUCGGGCGCCAUAGGAAGCUCCGCCUCGCCCGACCCUAGAGCUCGGGCUCAACCUCGACGCCGGAUGACGGACUCCGCCUCGCCCGACCCUAGGGCUCGGACUCAGCCUCGACCUCGGACGACGGACUCCGCCUCGGCCGACCCCAGGGCUCGGACUCAGCCUCGACCUCGGACGAUGGACUCCGCCUCGCCCGACCCCAGGGCUCGGACUCAGCCUCGACCUCGGACGACGGACUCCGCCUCGCCCGACCCCAGGGCUCGGACUCAGCCUCGACUCCGGACGACGGACUCCGCCUCGCCCGACCCCAGGGCUCGGACUCUACCUCGACCUUGGACGAUGAUCUUCGCCUCGCCCGACCCAGGGCUCGGACUCAGCCUCGACCUCGGAGGAGUCACUGCCUCGCCCGACCCCGGGCUUGUACCGACCACGUCACAGGGGGGAGCCAUCAUUACCAUACCCCUAGCCAGCUUAGGCUACGAGGAACAAGACCGGCGUCCCAUCCGGCUCGCCCCGGUAAACAAGUAAUGAUGGCACCCCGCGUGCUCCAUGACGACGACGGCUCUCAUCCCCUUACGGAAGCAAGGAGACGUCAGCAAGGAUCCGACAGCCCCGAUAGUUGUACUUCCACGGGGCUCAAGCGCUCCUCCGACGGCCAUGACAUCACAUGAACAGGGCGCCAAAACCUCUCUGACAGCCACGAUGGCACGUACAUAGGGCUCUGGCUCCCCUUUGCUAGACACGUUAGCACAUUGCUACACCCCCCCCAUUGUACACCUGGGCCCUCUCUUUACGCCUAUAAAAGGAAGGUCCAAGGCUCUCGUACGAGAAGGUUGGUCACGAGGGAGAACGGGCCGACGCACAAGGCUCUCUCUCUUUCUCCCACGCGAACGCUUGUAACCCCCUACUGCAAGCGCAUCCGCCCUGGGCGCAGGACAACACGAAGGCCACGGUUUCCCCUUACUGUUUCUCCCCCCUUUGUGUUCCGUCUCACGCCGACCCAUCUGGACUGGGACACGCAGCGACAAUUUACUCGUCGGUCUAGGGACCCCCCGGGGUCGAAACUCCGACAAUUGGCACACCAGGUAGGGGCCUGCUGCAUGUUGACGAACAGCUUCCCUUCAAGCUUCAGAUGGGUAGUCUCCAGCAACCACUCCAACCUGGGACGGUGCUCCGUUUCGGGAGUCUUGAGUUCAUGUCCCUCGACGGCAGCUACGACAUGAUACUCCUUCCUUCGCCGCGCGACAACGACAAUGGCGGCCGUCAGCCCGCCCGUCGGCGGCGGAAUCGACGACGUCUUCCCCACGUGGUGGAAGAACAACAUCCGGGUCUGUCCCGUCACCUUCCCCGCCGACGGAGGAGGAGGCGGGGCAGGCAUGGCGAAGCAGGAGGCGGCACCUCGUCGGCUGUCGAGCGAGUCGACGGCGCCGGCGCCCCAACGGGGGACACGUCGGGCGUUGACCUCGUGUCUGAGACGAAGACGAGCGUUGUCUCCCCGCAACACGCCAACCCCAAGCAGACGGACGACGCCAGCACGCUCGUGAAGGACAUGCUGGGCGUUAGCCUCGUACCUCAGACAACGGUGUAGUCUGUCCCUAACGCGACUUCGUCACCAUCCGUCGAACAAGAGGUACCGUACGUUUCCCAUCCCAUGCCUUUUAGAUUCAGCUGCGACCCACCAAGCGACCCCGCUUCGGUGGACGUUUUCAUAAAGGCAUGUCCAAACCCUCCGGGGUAUCAUAUGCGGUCAACCUGGGACCGACUAACGGCCGUCUCAACCUACGGGCCCCUGGGUUCCGAGGAAGAUGACGAGCCCGACUCUGGUUGGGAUUUCUCUGGGCUCGAUAACCCUAGUGCCAUGCGGGACUUCAUGACCGCAUGCGACUACUACCUCUCCGAUUGCUCUGAUAGUAGCCACAGCCUCGGCGACGAGGACUGUGGCCCAAGUCGCGAAUGCUUCCACGUCGAUCUAGGGGGUCUCGACGAAGGCAACCAUCUUGGUAUGCCGGAGGACGGUGAUCCCCCUAGGCCUGCGCCUCGCGUUGACAUCCUUCGGGAGCUAGUUGUGGUCCCAGUCCCUGCGGGGGGUCAGGACGCACAGCUCGAGCAAAUCCGCGAGAUGCAGGCCAGGCUCGACGAGGAAGCAGGACAACUUGUGCAGCUUCAGCAAAAUAUCGGGCAGGAGUGGGCAAGCCGAGCACCGGCCGGAGAAGCGCGUCAUCUGGCCCAGGACGUCCAGCACCGCAUUGCCGACGAUGCCAGGGCAAGGCUGCCCCUAGCUUCCAGUGGGGUCGGCCAGAACCUGGUUGCAGUAGCGAUACUACUCCGAGCGAUGCCGGAACCAUCCACCACCGAGGGGCGGCGUAUCUAGGGAGAGCUCAAGAAUCUCCUGGAAGAUGCCACGGUCCGACGGGCCGAGAGCUCUGCCUUCCGAAGGCAGGGGUACCCCAGGAGCAUCGCGCCGCGACUUCCCGAUUCAUACGGGAAGCCUCGGUCCACACCGGGCGAACGCGGAACACCGCGCCUGCGGCCCCGGGUCGCCUCGACAACGAGCACUGCCGCGUUCGUCGAGCCCACCUCGACGAGAAGGUGCGCCGAGGAUACCACCCCAGGCGCGGGGGAUGUUACGACAGCGGGGAGGGUCGGAGCCCCUCGCCCGAAUCACCCGGUCCACGAGCUUUCAGCCGGGGCAUACGACGGGCGCCGUUCCCGACCCGGUUCCGAACCCCGACUACCAUCACCAACUACUCGGGGGAGUCAAAGCCGGAACUAUGGCUCGCGGACUACCAACUGGCCUGCCAGCUGGGUGGGACGGACGAUGACAACCUCAUCAUCCGCAACCUUCCCCUGUUCCUCUCCGCCGCCGCUCGAGCCUAGCUGGAGCAUCUGCCUCCUGCGAAGAUCUCCAACUGGGACGACCUGGUCAAAGCCUUCGCCGACAACUUCUAGGGCACAUACGUGCGCCCUGGGAACUCCUGGGAUCUCCGAAGCUGCCGCCAGCAGCUGGGAGAAUCCCUCCGGGACUACAUCAGGUGAUUUUCGAAGCAGCGCACCGAGCUGCCCAACAUCACCGACUCGGAUGUCAUCGGCGCGUUCCUCGCCGGCACCACUUGUCGCGACCUGGUGAGCAAGCUGGGUCGCAAGACUCCCACCAGGGCGAGCGAGCUGAUGAACAUCGCCACCAAGUUCGCCUCUGGUCAGGAGGCGGUCGAGGCCAUCUUCCGGAAGGACAAGCAGCCUCAGGGGCGCCAGCCGGAAGACGUCCCCGAGGCGUCCGCUCAGCGCGGCACCAAGAAGAAGGGCAAGAAGAAGUCGCAAGCGAAACGCGACGCCGCCGACGCAGACCUUGUCGCCGCCGCCGAGCACAGGAACCCUCGAAAGCCUCCCGGAGGCGCCAACCUGUUCGACAAGAUGCUCAAGGAGUCGUGCCCUUAUCAUCAGGGUCUCGUCAAGCACACCCUUGAGGAGUGCGUCAUGCUUCGGCGCUACUUCCACAGGGUCGGGCCACUAAUGGAAGGUGGCAGAGCCCCUGACAACGACAAGAAGGAGGAUCACAAGGCAGAGGAGUUCCCCGAGGUCCACGACUGCUUCAUGAUCUAUGGUGGGCAUGUGGCGAACGACUCGGCUCGACACCGCAAGCAAGAGCGCCGGGAGGUCUGCUCGGUAAAGGUGGCGGCGCCAGUCUACCUAGACUGGUCUGACAAGCCCAUCACCUUUGACCAGGGCGACCACCCCGACCGCGUGCCGAGCCCGGGAAAGUACCCGCUCGUUGUCGAUCCCGUCAUCGGCAACAUCAGGCUUACCAAGGUCCUCAUGGACGGAGGCAGCAGCCUCAACAUCAUCUACGCUGAGACCCUCGGGCUCCUGUAGAUCGAUCUGUCCUCGAUCCGGACCGGCGCGGCGCCCUUUCACGGGAUCAUCCCGAGAAACGCGUCCAACCCCUUGGGCAACUCGAUCUGCCCAUCUGCUUCGGAACUCCCUCCAACUUCCGAAAGGAAACCCUCAUGUUCGAGGUGGUCGGGUUCCGAGGGACCUACCACGCAGUGCUGGGGAGACCAUGCUACGCCAAGUUCAUGGUCGUCCCCAACUACACCUACCUCAAACUCAAGAUGUCGGGCCCCAACGGGGUCAUCACCGUCGGCUCCACGUACCGACACGCGUACGAAUGCGACGUGGAGUGCAUGGAGUACGCCAAGGCCCUCGCCGAAUCCGAGGCCUUCAUUGCCGACCUAGAGAGACUCUCCAAGGAGGCGCUAGAUGCGAAGCGCCACGCCGGCAACUUCGAGCCAGAUGAGACGGUUAAGUCCGUCCCUCUCAACCCCAGCAACGACGCCUCCAAGCAGAUCCGGAUCGGCUCCGAGCUCGACCCCAAAUAAGAAGCAGUGCUCGUCGACUUUCUCCGCGCAAACGCCGAGGUUUUUGCGUGGAGUCCCUUGGACAUGCCUGGCACACCGAGGGAUGUCGCCGAGCACUCGCUGGAUAUCCGACCUGGAGCCCGACCCGUGAAGCAGCCUCUGCACCAAUUCGACGAAGAAAAGCGCAGAGCCAUAGGCGAGGAGAUCCACAAGCUGAUGGCUGCAGGGUUCAUCAAAGAGGUAUUCCAUCCCAAAUGACUUGCCAACCCUGCGCUUGUGAGAAAGAAAGGAGGGAAAUGGCAGAUGUGUGUAGACUACACUGGUCUAAACAAAGCAUGUCCGAAAGUUCCCUACCCUCUGCCUCGCAUCGAUCAAAUCAUGGAUUCCACUGCUGGGUGCGAAACCCUGUCUUUCCUCAAUGCCUACUCAGGGUAUCACCAAAUCAGGAUGAAAGAGUCCGACCAGCUCGCGACUUCUUUCAUCACACCCUUUGGCAUGUACUGCUACGUUACUAUGCCAUUCGGUUUGAGGAAUGCGGGUGCGACAUACCAAAGGUGCAUGAACCACGUGUUCGGAGAACACAUUUGCCGAACGGUUGAGGCUUACAUCGAUGACAUCGUAGUCAAGACGAGGAAGGCCUCUGACCUCCUCUCCGACCUUGAAACGACAUUCAAGUGUCUCAAGGCAAAAGGCGUAAAACUCAAUCCCGAGAAGUGUGUCUUUGGAGUCCCCCGAGGCAUGCUCCUGGGGUUCGUCGUCUCCGAGCGGGGCAUCGAGGCCAACCCGGAGAAAAUCGCGGCCAUCACCAACAUGGGGCCCAUCAAGGACUUGAAAGGAGUACAGAGGGUUAUGGGAUGCCUUGUGGCCCUGAGCCGUUUCAUCUCGCGCCUCGGUGAAAGAGGCCUACCUCUGUACCGCCUCUUAAGGAAGACCGAGCGCUUCACUUGGACCCCAAGGCCGAGGAAGCCCUCGGGAACCUAAAGGCGCUCCUUACAAGCGCGCCCAUCUUGGUGCCCCCCCGCUGCUGGAGAAGCCCUCUUGAUCUACAUCGCCGCUACCACUCAGGUGGUCAGCGCCGCGAUCGUGGUCGAGAGACGAGAAGAGGGGCAUGCAUUGCCCAUCCAGAGGCCGGUCUACUUUAUUAGUGAAGUACUGUCCGAGACCAAAAUCCGCUACCCGCAAAUCCAGAAGCUACUGUACGCGGUAAUUCUGACGCGGCGAAAGUUGCGACACUACUUCGAGUCUCAUCCGGUGACUAUAGUGUCAUCCUUCCCCCUGGGAGAGAUCAUCCAGUGCCGAGAGGCCUCGGGUAGGAUUGCAAAGUGGGCGGUGGAGAUCAUGGGCGAGACAAUCUCGUUCGCCCCUCGGAAGGCCAUCAAGUCCCAAGUCUUGGCAGACUUUGUGGCUGAAUGGGUCGACACCCAGCUUCCAGCAGCUCCGAUCCAACCAGAACUCUGGACCAUGUUUUUUGACGGGUCGUUGAUGAAAACAGGAGCGGGCGCGGGCCUGCUCUUCAUCUCACCCCUCGGGAAGCACCUCCGAUACGUGCUGCGCCUCCAUUUCCCGGCGUCCAACAACGUGGUCGAGUACGAGGCUCUGGUUAACGGGUUGCGCAUCGCCAUCGAGCUAGGGGUCCGAGCUGUGACACCCCAGGUGUCAGUUUCGUGUUACGUCGCGAGAUUUAUCCUAAUCUCGGAUGCUCAGUAAAAAUUUCUAUUUCCCGCUCGCGUAUGUCCCUGAUUAUCCAGAUUAUUCAUUCACGUUUCACCGAAUUCGGAGUUACUCAGUCUCACAGAAGGCCAAUUUUGGAGCCUGUUAAAACUUUUAUCCUCGGCACGGAUGCGAACUCAAAAAUCAUUCUCGAAUUAUAAAUCUCAUCUGAAGCUCAUUUAAUCAAACUCUCGACGACUGUUAUUUGAUCUAAGCCCGAGUCUAAUUCCUCGAACCUCGAUCGAUGUCCGACUAUUUUAAUCCGAGUCCGUACUCUCAGACGGAAUACUCAGUAUGUCGUCCUCUAAUCAAUUUUAUCUGACUCGGCCAAAUAUUUCAUGUCCGAAUCGAACUUAAAACCCCGUAUCGACAACAAUUUUAAAAUAUCACGAUUCGCCUUCUCCGACUACGAAUCCGAAACUAAUCGGCCUCAAUUCAUUUUGUUCCUAAUUGGGUGCGAGGAAUUAUUUUUACGAGCGACGCUAAACAAAUCAAAUUCUUAGUACGGAUAAUCCGUCAUUCUGUCCGACCGAGCACCAGCUCGCUCUGUUUUUACACAGACGACUUCCGCGAGAGCAUUUUUAUUCCGAGAAAUAUUUUAGCGCAGCUCGAUUAAGUGUUUUGGGCCGAAUCCAGCCCGGCCCAUUUGGCCCAUGAGAAAAUCCUAACCCUAGUGCCCCUCUAUAAAUAGCAGCCCUCUCCUAGCAAAUGGAGGCAUUUUUGCACUCCCACCCCUCAAUUUUUCCCAGCCGCCACAGCCAUUCUUCCUCCCUGUCUUCUUCUCUCACGCAGCAGCUCCCCCAUUCCUCCUACACGGCAGCAUGCAGGGAGCCGAGCUCCAAGCCCCCAUGCCGCCGAGCUCCUCCCAGGACGCUGGCCUCUCUCCCCUGGCCGGCCCUCUGCUCCUUGCGCUCGGUAUCCCUGCAGCAGGACGCCCCUCUUCCUCGGCGCGCUGAAGCUGCUCCCAUGGCGCCCAUCUCUUCCUCCCUCUCUCUGUUGUCCAUGGUAAGCAGCCGAGCGCCCUCCCUGUUCUCCUCUUGGCGUGAGCUCCCUGCUCCUUGCUCGACGGCCAACAGAGGACAGCGACGCCCUUCUUCCCCGAUAGCAUGGAGCAGCGGCUUCCCUCUCCCAGCUCGUCCUCGCCAUCGCGCAGGGAAGAGCCAGCGCCCAACAGCAGCUCACCCCAUGGAUGGCGCCCAGAAAAUUCCAGCCGGCGCCCCUUCUUUUUCCCCUGCUCGUUCUCCCUCGCGCAGCAGCAGCUCGCCCCACCUCCCCUCGCUGCGCAGCUCCUCGGCGAAACGCCGCUGUUCCUGCAGCCCCGGCACAUCCCCCAGCUUCCUCGCUGCUACCGCUGCGUGCAUGCCAAGUGCUCGGCAUAAUGUCGAGGGAGACGUGUUGUUGCAGCACGCCGUGACGCUCGCUGGGUGUUCAAUGUUUUUGGCGCAGCCCCGCUCGCGACGCCGUCGAAACCCGUGGUGAGAAACCCCCGCUGUCCUUGCUGCUAUUAUAUUUUUUUAUUUUAUUUUUGGGCUCGGUAAAAUUGUUGAACGGUUGUGUGUGUCUAAUCGCAGCUAGCCGGCAAUUGCCAUUCAUCACGCACGCGUGUUCGAUACACGACCGGUCGGGUGAACCACGUGCUUGCACAGCUCAACUCUGAUCCCGUUCAGGUUGAUUGAUUUAUAAUAAUACAUAUGCUUUGUUUGAUAUCGGGCAGUGCAUGUAUAUAUGUGGAUGUGUGUAAUAUGUUUCGGCUAUACACGUUGGUAGGAUCGCAUUUGCGAAUAAGAGAACAAGAGGUUGUUGAUGUGUGCGAUUUGUAGUUUGUCUAAUUACGUUUUGGUCGAUGUGAUGUAUAGUGGUGUUUGACUAGAUGUGGGUAUAAAAUGUUUUGAUUUUAUGCCGUGGCAAGGUCGCAUUCACGUUUUGGUAAACACGUGUGUCAUGCUUGUUUUAUGUGAUGAGUAAGUUUGGAAAUACAUGGGAUGCGAGGAUUUAAUUAGUGCACGUAGGUGUGUGUGUGUGCCGUGGUGUGAUAUAGUAGCGGUGGCGUGAGAUAUUUAUUUGAGGUGCGCGGGUAUAUGUCGUAAUAUGGUUAUACUCGUGAUGAGGAAAGAUGCCUGUAUUGUGUAACACGAUGCUUAGGUCGCUAUUAUAUAAACGUGUGAAGGAUGCUCGUGAGGGGUGUGUGAUUGAGGAGUGACGUAGUGGCAAGCGGGAAGUAAGUUUAGUUUUUCAACGGUUAGUGGAUAGUAUCUGUCAGUGUUGUCAUGAAUUUUGGUCGUAUGACGGAUCAAUGCGUAGCUUUAUAAAUUAUUGCAUUCCAUUCCCUUUUGAUAAAUAAAUGUCUUAUUGAUCGAUUAGAAGUCUUAUAUGAGCGUUAUCGCAGCCCAAUAAUUAUUGGAGGCGAGUAGCGUUCAUAAGUCGGUCCUUGUUAAAAUUGAAGAACAAUCCGUUAAGAUAUGCACAUAAGUGCUUCAGGUCCUUCAGUAGCAAAUGUAGUCUUAUGGAGUUUUACGCCAUGUGUAAUUGCCUCUAUGUUAGAUCCCAAAAAUGUGCCAUUUUAAGUGACCUGUGUAGUAACAACUUUAAGUUGAGCAAUGAUUAGGAAAAGCUGAUUAAUCUGCUCCAACCCAUGUUUUUGAGUUGUGAUGUCUAAAAUGGUUCGCUAAGUCCAAUACUGCGAUUAACCAACUCAUGUUAAGUAGGAGUCGAUUUCGUUAAGUGAUUGUCAUAUACAUGUUGUGUCUCAAAUUUCGAUAAUAAUAGACUAGCCGACGCGUGUGAUGUAUAGCGGCCUAUAUUGUUUCUCUGGCUAGCUGACUUGUUAGAUGGCUUUGGUUAAGUUUGUAGUCGCGAUGAAUUGCUUGUUGUGGUCUAAAUGUGUAUGGUUAUGGUUGCGAAUGAAAAGUAGUAGUGCUCAAGUGAUGUCUAAAUUAAAAUGCAAACUAUUGGUGAAAAGCGCUUUGAUAUUGAUUGUUAUAGAGAAUGCAUUGUUAAUUGAGUAUGGUACUUCUAGUGCGCAAAAUAACUUGUAUAAAAAUUAGUAAGUCUACAUGUUAGUUCUCACUUAGUUAUUUUAACUCUAACAAUUGUCAAAGUGUUAGAAUGAUUUAAGUCUCUAGAACAUGGCAAUUCUUGAAUUGUAUAGGAGCUGAAAUUUAUUAAUUUCUGUUUUGGGCUGCACACACUGUUUUAGUUGUGCUGUAUGUUUGAUAAACCAAAUUGUAUUUUCUGUAGAUAUGUGCUAUAGAAAAGUGGUAGAUAACUUUAUUAUCUUGCUGGUGUUAAAAUUUGACAGCCAUAGGUCUGACAGUUUAGGAGUUAUGUUUUUUACAAAUUCAGUAACUGAAUCUGUCCAAUUUCUGUACAGAUUUCAGAGACUGUACUGUUUGCUUAAGUUAAUGUUUGAAUCAGUCCUUGUAGAUUAUAAGAAAGUUGUAGAUGCUUUUCUUAUCUUGCUUGUGUUAAAAUUUCAUAACUAAAGGCCUGACGGUUUAAGAGUUAUGAAUUUUACAACUUGGUUGUUGUGUUCUGUCCACUGACAGAACAGAUUUCGAAAACUGAAUUGUUUGAUUCAGUUCAACAUAGAAUCAAUUCUUGGUGAUUAUAAAAGUUAUGUAGUGCUUUUGCUGAGCUUUCCAAAAAGUCUUAGAUCACUCUUUUUGGUGGUCUGAAGCUUAAGUUAUGAAUGUUUCAAAUAUGAAGACUGAAUAUGUCCAGUUCUGGACAGCAAAGUCUUUUAGUGAUGUUUAUCCAUAGUUAAAUAUUGAAUCACCUUGAGAUGUUUAUAAAUGAUAUGUAGAAAAUUUUAUUAUCUUUCCAGAAAGUCUAGAAUCAAUUUGUUUGGAUGUCUGAAUCUUUAGUUGUGAAUUUUUGAAGCUGCAAGUCUGAAUCUGUCCAAAUCUGGACAGAGCUGCUGUGUUUGCACAAUUCGACCUUGCUAAGUGUCUAAUCAUAUUGAGAUGAUAAUACCAAAAUUGUAGAACACUUUCUAAGCUUUCCAGAAAGUCCUAGUUUAAUAUUUUUGAACUAAUAAUUGAAAAGUUAUGAUCAAAACAAGUGACUGAUGUAUUGCUGUCCAAAAAUUCUGCUAGUGCCUAUUUCAUUGUUAGUUCACCCUUUUGGCUAAAAAUAGUUGGUUAGCACUAAAUUAAUAUAGACUUGCCAUGACUAAGCUAGUGAUGACAUGCGUGUCUUGUUUUAUAUGUUUCCUUCUCUAGUUGGUUGUGAUAUAGGAGUUUCCAUAGCCCUUGAUGCAUAGGUCCUAUGUUAAAUCGGUGUUUGUGAUGCUUUUGUGUGAUUAAUAGAAGAACUAAUAGAAAGCCGUAUCCAUUAAAUAAAUGCUUGUACGUGUGAUGUCGUGUUGCAUUGGUUAAUUAUAGGUAGUAAUCGUCGCCCUUUCUAGUGGUGUUGAUGUGGUGCGCUCGAUGAAGUGUAGAUAGCUAAUGCUAGCAUGUGGUUGUUUACGGUGUCUUAUAAUUUAGUGCUUAGUUCACUACCGUGUAUUUGUAUAUCUUGUGAUAUUUUUCAUUAUAUUCAUACAUAUGCACCUUGCAUCUCAUUUAGGACCGAGAGAUGACGAUCAUGCAAGUGAUGUGGUGCCACCCACAAGAUGCAGUCGGUGGACAACCCAAAGAAGGAUGGACAUAACCAGUGGAUGCUCGCCAAGCGAGUACCCACCCCAACAAACACAAUCUAAGUGUUAAAUUAAAGGCAAGCCCCGGUUUUAUGCAUAAUCUUUAUAUAUGCUAUUUUACUACACUUAAUGUUUGUAGGCUUGUACUGUGCACUUAAGUAUAGGAGUUGACUGAAACCUUAGUUGCAUGAACUCAGGAUUCCUUUGAGAUGAAUACUAGUAUGCUAGGUCGAGUAGCUGCUUUACUAAUUAGGGAUCUCGGUAGAAGUCGAGUGAUUUUUCUAGCACUCGCGCGAGGUCAGGAAAUUGGUUGUAUCCACUUUCAUAUCAUAUUGAUGUUGGUCUGUGGACACGGAUCCAUGGGGAUGCGUUGUCUACGAGACGAAAAUUGGAAUAAGGAUUAACGUGCGGAUACCUGUGUCAAGCGUUUGAACGUACUAAACACAUACCGAGAAAUAUGGUAAAUCGGUAAGCCUAGUACCUGAGUGAACCUGCCCGCAGACAUAUCCCCUCACGCGACCUGAGACGUGGUCUCACAUUCCGGUUAUGGUGGGUACAAGUGCGGUCACUGCACGACGGCAGUCGGGGUCAGUGAGGCAUUGUACGCCAAGGCGGUGAGCCCUGAUCUGUUGCCGGGGAAUCGAUGAGGACGGUUGAUGUGUGUGGGGACGGAGUGCCCCUACAUGUCGUGUGUUUAGGUUUACCUUGCAAGGAUAAAAACUCGAUUCAAAUCGUCUGCUUCUCGCAGCUAAUGAGACUGCUUGAUCCAUUAUACUGCAUUGAGUAAUAAGUGGAAAUGAGGUGACUGGCAAAAAGAUGUUGAUUGGUAAAAAUGUUUGAUACCAUGUAUGAGUAGCUAGGUACUCACCUAGUUUAAAAAGGAGCAUACUAAAACUUGAAAAGCUAAAAUAUGAUUUUAGACUCAGCUAGUGCUUUUGGCAAACCAAACCCCUCAGCCAAACAGCUGCAUGUCUAGAGGUAGAGGAGUAGACUCCUCACACCGGGUAAGUCUAGCUGAGUAUUAGUAUACUCAGCCUUGCUUGUGGCAUAAUUUUUGCAGGUACUCCUUAGGAUUAUUUGUUGAUGGUGUGACUUGGCCUUCAUCCCUGCCACCGGGAUAGACGGUCGAGUGGGUUACUGCUUCCGCAGGAGAGGACCAGGAGGAGUAGCGUGGCCAGGCUUCGGCAUGUUACUCGGUUUUCUCCGUUAGUUAUUUCCGCUGCAAUAAAUUUAUGUUUAUCAUUUUUUGAAACUCCGAUAAUGUUAUCACUAAUGAUACUUAUUAAAUUGUGGUAUUAUGUUUUAUUGUAUUUCUCUGUGCCUCACCUUCGAGUGAGCUAGUGGUGUUCGGUCCUGGUUAAGUGGCUUUAUCGGACUAGAUCCGAGGGACUGACGAUUUAUUCCUAUUUAAGUGUGGUCUAGCCUCUAAGGCGGGACUUAGGCACUUAAGUUGGAAUAAUUCGGGCGGUUCCGCCACACGACGCCUCGACGCUCUUGGCGACUCGCAGCUUGUCAUCGACCAAGUCAUGAAGAACUCCCAUUGCCGCGACCCGAAGAUGGAAGCCUACUGCGAUGAGGUUCGGCGCCUGGAGGACAAGUUCUUUGGGCUCGAACUCAACCACAUCGCCCGAUGAUACAACGAGACUGCGAACGAGCUGGCUAAGAUAGCCUCGGGGCGAACAACGGUUCCCCCGGACGUCUUCUCUUGAGACCUACAUCAACCCUCAGUCAAGACCGACGACACGCCCGAGCCCGAGAAGGUCUCGGCCCUGCCCGAGGCGCCCGAGGCUCAGCCCGAGGCGCCCUCCGCUCAGCCCGAGGCACCCUCGGCCCCCGAGGGUGAGGCAUUGCGCGUCGAGGAAGAGCGGAAUGGGGUCACGCCUAAUCGAAACUGGCAGACCCCGUACCUGCAAUAUCUCCACCCAGGAGAGCUACCCCUCGACAGAGCUGAAGCUCGGCGACUGGCGCGGUGUGCCAAGUCGUUCGUCUUGCUGGGUGACGGGAAGAAGCUCUACCACCGCAGCCCCUCAGGCAUCCUCCAACGAUGCAUAUCCAUCACCGAAGGUCAGGAGCUAUUACAAGAAAUACACUCGGGGGCUUGCGGUCAUUGAAAGGGAAUUAGGCUUACACCUAUUUCCUAAUUGAUUUUGGUGGUUGAAUUGCCCAACACAAAUAAUUGGACUAACUAGUUUACUCUAGUGUAUAAGUUAUACAAGUGCCAAAGGUUCACACUUAGCCAAUAAAAAGACCAAGAAAUGGGUUCAACGAAAAGAGCAAGGGAUAACCGAAGGCUGCCCUGGUCUGGCGCACCGGACUGUCCGGUGUACCACCGGACAGUGUCCGGUGCACCAGGGAACUCCAAGCCAAACUCUUCACCUUCGGGAAAACUCAGAGGCGCUCCGCUAUAAUUCACCGGGCUGUCCGGUGUACACCGGACAGUGUCCGGUGCUCCAAGGAAGAGCGACUCUGAACUCUCCAGCUUCGGGAAUCCGCUCCGCUAUAAUUCAUCGGACAUGUCCGGUGAGCCAGCGGAGCAACGGCUACUUCGCGCCAACGGUCACCUGCGAAGCAAUUAAUGCGCGCCAGAGCGCGCAGAAGUCAGACACGCGCGUAGUAGCACACCGGACACUCUACAGUACAUGUCCGGUGUGCCACCGGACAUCCAGGCGGGCCCAGCAGUCAGAGCUCCAACGGUCGGAACCCAACGGCCUGGUGACGUGGCUGGCGCACCGGACACUGUCCGGUGUGCACCGGACUGUCCGGUGCACCAUGCGACAGACAGCCUCCACCAAACGGCUAGUUUGGUGGUUGGGGUUAUAAAUACCCCCAACCACCCCACAUUCAAGUCAUCCAAGUUUUCCACCUUCCAACUACUUACAAGAGCUAAGCAUUCAAUACAAGACACACCCAAGUGAUCAAAUCCUCUCCCAAUUCCACAAAAGCUUUAGUGUUAAGUGAGAGUGAUUUGUUGUGUUCUUUUGAGCUCUUGCGCUUGGAUUGCUUUCUUCUUUCUCAUUCUUUCUUGAGAUCAAUACUCACUUGUAACCGAGGCAAGAGACACCAAUUGUGUGGUGGUCCUUGCAGGGAAGUUUUGUUCCCGGUUGAUUUGAGAAGAGAAAGCUCACUCGGUCCGAGGGACCGUUUGAGAGAGGGAAGGGGUUGAAAAAGACCCGGCCUUUGUGGCCUCCUCAACGGGGAGUAGGUUUGCGAGAACCGAACCUCGGUAAAACAAAUCCGCGUGUCACACUCUUUAUUCGCUUGCGAUUUGUUUUGCACCCUCUCUCUCGGACUCGAUUAUAUUUCUAACGCUAACCCGGCUUGUAGUUGUGAUUAACUUUGUAAAUUUCAGUUUCGCCCUAUUCACCCCCCUCUAGGCGACUUUCAAUUGGUAUCGGAGCCCGGUGCUUCAUUAGAGCCUAACCGCUCGAAGUGAUGUCGGGAGAUCACGCUAAGAGGGAGAUGGAGACCGGCGACAAACCCAUCGGCGACAAGCCCACUACAAGUCACGGGAAGGCUUCAUCGGAAGAGUCCCGCAACAAAAAGAAAGGGAAGGAAAAGAAAUCCUCUUCCCACAAGUCGCAUCGGAGUGGCGAUAAGAAAAAGAAGAUGAGGAAGGUGGUCUACUAUGAGACCGAUACUUCAUCACCUUCCACCUCCGGCUCCGACGCGCCCUCCAUAACUUCUAAGCGCCAUGAGCGCAAGAAGUUUAGUAAGAUCCCCUUACACUACCCUCGCAUUUCUAGACACACUCCAUUACUUUCCGUUCCAUUAGGCAAACCGCCAACCUUUGACGGUGAAGAUUAUGCUAGGUGGAGUGAUUUAAUGAAAUUUCAUCUAACCUCACUCCACAAAAGUAUAUGGAAUGUUGUUGAGUUUGGGGCACAGGUACUGUUGGGGGCCUUCGGCUUCCGAAGGUCCUCAAAAACAUGAUUUAACAGUGUUUCUAGAGUGUAAUGUGUGAACAGGUACCUUCGGACUUAUGUCAAAGAGGGAGAACCUCAAAAGAUACGAAGGUUGGCAGUGCCGAAGCUGUGAAGCAGGAAAGCUUCGGCAUGUUCGCAGAAAAGGGAACCGACUUAAAGAUGAAAAGGCCAUUUAGACCUCGAUAGAUUGCUAUGGAAUUAUCACCAAAUGUAAAGGGCAUGUAUGUAAUUUUGUAUGGGUUGUAUCCCGUGCCUAUAAAUAGGUGAACAGUACCCCCGUACUGUUCACGCUGACUUGGCAUUUGCUUUUGCGUCACGCUUGUACUUUUUAUCUUCUCUCGGGACCGAAGGUACAUUUGUAAUUUGAAAUCAUUUCUAUUUUUCCAUGUUAAUAAAAUAGAAAUGAUUCUAUGAUGAUGCUUAUAUUAUAUUUCAUACUUUAUAUGAAUCCUUCGUCAUUACUUGUUAUGUUCACGAAGGUAUGUCUCUUAUGACCUUCGUCCGAAGCUCAUUAUUUCCCGAAGGGGCAUAAUGCUUCGAAGGACGAAGGACUUUAACACUUAACACUUUUUAUGUUGCCUUGUUCUUAACUCUUAGCAUUUGAGAACAAGUCCCCAACAUUGGCGCCCACCUCCGGUGAACUCACUUCCAUUCCCUGAGCUUUUCGACACCUUCGGCAAGCAUCAGCUUCGUCAUGCCGCCGAAGAAGGCUUCAGCACCAGGGGCUGGCACGCUGCAGCCGCUGGACCCCAAUCAAGACGUCCUUUCUCUCAGAGAGGCACGAAGCCAGAAGAGGAAGGCUACCAGUCCAACACAUCCGGAGGAUGAUCUAGAUCAGGAGAUUCAGAAUCUGGAAAUCCUUCAGCAGCAGGUUCAACGCAGGAAGGAGAAGAUGGCCAGGCUAGCUGAACUGCAGAGGCAGAUAGAUGAAGCCUCUGAAGAAGUUCGUCAUCUUGCUCAGGAUGAGCAACACCGAAGGCCUCAGCAUCAAGACCUUCAUCAGGAGGGCUUUCACAACGAAGACGACUGGUAUGACAAUUUCCAUCGUGGGAAUUUUGUUUUUGAUGAUACUUCUCCCCUGUCCGCUGAGUUACAGGCUACACCUUGGCCUCCGUCCUACAAGCCGCCUCAGCUCCCCGUAUUUGAUGGCCAUUCAGACCCGAAGCAGUUCUUGAUGAGCUACGAAGCAACAGUGUCUUCGUACGGUGGCAAUGCUUCAGUCAUGGCCAAAUCUUUCGUUAUGGCUGUCAGAAGUGUUGCUCAAACCUGGUAUUCCUCCCUUCGACCAGGAACGAUCACUUCAUGGCAGAAGCUGAAGGAUUUGUUGUUAACCAGUUUUCAAGGAUUUCAGACGAAGCCGGUCACUGCUCAGGCUCUGUUCCAGUGCACUCAGGACCACGAAGAAUACCUUCAGGCAUAUGUCCGAAGGUUUCUGCGUCUAAGGGCACAGGCGCCGACAGUGCCCAAUGAGAUUGUCAUUGAGGCCAUGAUCAAGGGGCUUCGGCCAGGGCCAUCAGCGCAGUAUUUUGCCAGGAAGCCACCACAAACGCUGGAGAAGCUGCUCCAGAAGAUGGAUGAAUAUAUUCGAGCUGACAAUGAUUUUCGCCAAAGAAGGGAGGAGGCCUUCAGAUUUUCUGAGAUGACCAGGGGCUUCGGAGGAAGAUUCUAUCCGAAGCAUGUCAGAUCAAUUCAUAAUUCCAAUCAAAAUGAUGAUAAGGGGAGCCAGCAGCAAAGGCCACAGUACUCCUCACAGACUUCGGGGCAACAGCAAAGCUCCUUUCGACCACCAGCUCCAAGAGGCAGAGGCGCCAGGGGCUUCGGCGGAAGAUUCGGGGAUCAACCCAGAAGAAUAUUUUGCUUAUUCUGUGGUGAAAACAAAGGUCAUACUACCAGGAUGUGUCAUGUUACCAUUCAGAAGCAAAAAGAGAUAGCCGAAGCUGCCGCGCAACAGGCUCAGCCGAAGCAGGUUAUGCACACUGCUUCGUAUCAUUCGCCCUACAUCCCAGAAUAUGUGGGCAACCAUCCUGUAGUCUCUGCUGCUUCGGCAAGUCAGCCUUCAGCUUCCUGGCAACAGCCCCCGCCUCCACCUCCGUUGCAACAAGGCCAGCAGCCAGAAGGGAGCCAAUAUGCUCCACAUCAAAGGGACUUCAGAGAACAGUCCGAAGCUCGCACGGUCAACAGCACCGUGCCAGAGUCAAAACACAUCUAUUGACAAAUAUCCUACCUUAAUAGCAAUCUUUUUCAUUCAGUUUUAUUUUUUCUAAUAAAGGACAUUGUUUAGGUUUCAUGUAAUUAGUUUCGUUGAUUCCUACAAGAAAAAUAUGUUUUCUUCACAGGUUUGUGAUAAUAAAAAGGACCUUCGGACUAUCGAAAAUCCUUCGAAGCAACAAAAAGUCGUUCUAAGGAACGCAGAGUAAGUCUGACGAAGUCACAAAAAGUCGUUCCGAAGGGAGCGCAGUGUAAGUUUUCUGCUCCAAAGUCGUUCCAAAAGGAAUGCAGAGCAUACAGCGAAAAGUCAACGCUGAUACCGCCUAAGUAAAAGGCGAAGAAGCUCCAAAGACGUUCCUAAGGGAAUGCAGAGCUUAUACCGCCUAAGUAAAAGGCGAAGAAGUUCCAAAGACGUUCCUAAGGGGAUGCAGAACUUACAGCGAAAAAUAAACGCUGAUUCCGCUGAAGUAAAAGGCGAAGAAGCUCCUAAGGGAGGCUUAUAAUGAAAAAGUCAGUAUUGAUACAAAAGAUUGUGCCCCAUUGCAGGAAUGUGUGUAUCUUCGGCACAAAAUAUCAUUUUGCAUAACAUAACAUCAUCACAUCAUUUUGCAUAGCAUAAUCAUCAUACAUCAUGCUGCAUGUGGCACAAGAAGGGGGCAUGUUAUCGAUCUUCGGAAAAUGCUUUGAAAAGGGGCAAAUCAUGCCAAGUUACAGGGAGAAACAAUAUUGAUUUUCGAGGUAUAGCUUCGGAGAUUAUUUUUACGAAGCUUGGAUAUUUCUUAUCAGAACACUAUGGAUAUUGUCGUGAUAAAUGAUAAAUUCUUCUUCACGAAGCAUGAAAAGAAGGGAAGGUGUUUUUUCGUCGAAGACUCAAAAAUGGUACGUGUUUAAAGUUUCAUGCAUCGUAAAGAAUUGAAUCAUAAAACAAGUAUAUUACAUACAGGAUUACAGAAUAUUACACAAAUCAUAUAUCAAAUGUUUUUUGCAAUAGCACUUAGUCUUCCCUAAGUACUAUCUCUGCAGCUUCGUUCAGCAGUCGAUCGACAACCUGAUCCAUGAUAGCUUCGGCCAUCUUUUUAAUUUCGUCGUCAUCUUUAGGCUGAGGGCCCUAAGAUGCUUGAGUAGGAUCUGAGUGAGGACGGGACACGACUACAUUACUAUUACAAAUCGCAAACAGGUCUUAAAAGCCAAAAGAUUACAACACGGUAAAAACUAUUAUUUAGUACCUAAUUGACCUUCGGGCUCUGUGCUCUUUUUAGCAGCCUUAGCCACUUCUCUAGCAUCAUGGAUGCCCCUUUCACUUCUCUGAAUAAUUUCUCUUGCCAUUUCUCGGCCACCGUUAUCCCAGAUAUCAGUAAAAAACUUUCCACCAAUUAUGCUAGCUUCGGCCGAAGGAUCUUUUGUAUCUUCAAAGGACAAAGCAGCUUCGGACUGUGCUAAAAUUUUCACAUGCUCACAGCCCUUCUUCUCUAAAAUGGUGGCAAUCCCUCUGGCGCCAGAGAAGGCACAUAUAUCUCCUCGGCUAUUUAAAAUUUCUUCGAAGGCUUCAGCUUCGUGGUCAAUCCAUUCAAUGACACUUUCGGGAUUGCCCCUCAAAAAAUUUUCUUCACUUGAGAAUGCGCCGACUUUGGCGAAGCUAGCCUUUAAUUUUUUAACACAAUCUACAGAUUUAUUGUAGCAUUUCUUUUUGGACGAACGAAGCUCUUCAACAGUCACUUCUAGAUGAUCUGCCCAUUGAUCGCUGAGUUCACGCUUUGUUUCUUCAAGUAUACGUUCUUCUUUGGCUCUGGCCAGUUGUUUCCGAAGGUCUUCAAUUUCGCGUUUCUGAGCUUCAGCUUGACUUUUGAAAGCAGCUUCGUCCUCCUUUAUUUUAUCUAUCAAUGAGUAUAAUAUUUUGUCUUUUUCGAGACCUUCGUUCCUCAGUUCAAUUACUUCGGAACGAAGGUUGCUCAGGGCUAUAGUACAUCCUUCGUCCUCAGCAUCUUUCUGUGCUCUGAGGGCAUUGCUGAGUAUCAGGCCCUGCAGACAGGAAUAUGUCUGUGUCAAUAGUUUUAAACAAACGGAAAAUUUUGAAUUCAACAAAAAUAUAAGAAUUCCAUUUGUCGCACCUUUAAACUGUUGUAAGCUAGGCUGUCAGCCAGAUCGUUCUUUGACAGCACCGAAAGUCCGUCUUCUAAAGUUGGAAAUCCGAAGCUUCUGCUCAUCUCCCGACAGACAGAAAUUUCCUUGCUGUCGGGGAGGCAAUACAAGAAAUCUUCUUCUCCACUGCCAUUAAAUAUCAACGCCCCCUUUGGAUAUUUCAACUUUUGGGCAUAGUGUUGGGCCUCUUGUUCUUCUUUUUCUGUUAAUUUUUUCCCCGAAGCAUGACGAAAAAUAUAAUCACGAAUUUUGGAUGCUUCGGGGGUAACAACACCAGUUCCUUCAGCAAAAGUUGGCUUUGUUAUUUUUUCUGCCUCACUUUCCAAGGUUUUUGCCUUUGAGGGCUCUGAGGGCCCAGCUUCGGCUUCAGUAUCUUGCUCUGGAGCUUUAGAACCCGAAGCUUCGACUGUUGUUUCAGGAGUGACGGCAGCCUUCUUCGGAGGGGUGCUUGAAGAUUUGAUCGUUUCCAGCACAUCUAGCACAUUAGCCAUUCUCCUUCUUUUCGGAGUCACUGCUGGCACUUUUUGAUUACUUACUGUUUCAAUGUUUGCCACAGGACUCAAAACUUCUGAUGUUUUGGAGUCCUCGGUUGCUUCCUUUACCUCUUCCAUUUUUUCUGUGAAUGGCGCUUCGGCCUUCUCUUUCGUUUCUGGUAACAAAAUUUUUGAUUGCUCCAAUUUUGUCUUCGUUGGUAUUUCGGCUGUUUCUGUGACUUCUGGCAGCAAAGUUGGCUCGGCUGGUUUUUCAGCUUCGGUGGCCGAAGAAGUCUCUCCGGUAAACUCAGGCACCGAAGCUGGUUCAAUAUAACGCGGUCGAUAAGUAAGAACCUUUAUCUUCUUCCUUUUCGGUUCUGGCUCGCUAGGAGCAGCUGCAGUUUCUUCUUUUGCAGAGGUUGUAUUUUUUCUCUUCUGCCUUCGAAUGGGGUAGCAAUAGUCAGGGUAGACAAACCCGAUGGCAUCAAAUACCCGAUUCAGCCUUUUCUUUUUUCGGCCUCCGAAGGCUGCUGACAUUGCAGUAUCUUCGGCCUUCGAGUAUGUCCCAAGCAGCUCAUCACUUAAAUUGUCAAUGCUUUUCAACCACUCAUCGUCUGGCUCAAUAAAUUUAUCUUCAAAUUUAAAAGUGUACUUAAACCUGACAAGUCCACCUUCGUCGGCCUCUUUAACGGUUUCUUGUGGCAUUUCCCAUUUCUCCGCAAGCGGCCACACCCUGAAGGCAAUAUGCUCUUGUACUAAGUCCCUUGUUCCUAUAAAAGAGCAGACAACGCCGAAGGCUCUUUGGCACUCUUCGGCGGCUUCGUUCAUUUCAACCUUCGGCCUCCGAAGGCCGAAGCUUUGCCAAAUAGGACGCAUAAUUAUACCUUUGAUGUCUUCUCGUGCUGAUAAGUCAUUCUUCACAUAAAACCAUUCUGUCAUCCAAUCCCCGGGCCAUCUCUUCCGAAAGGUUGGUACGGGACAGCUUGCCCCGGACCGAGAGACGAAGCUGUAGCAGCCAAAGUUGUUAUGGUACUGUUCUUUGCCCCAAGGCUUUGUUUCAUAUAAUAAUUCAUGAACAUUACAGAAGCUUCUGGCGUCAGGCUUCAGACCUUGGCUUCUCGCGGCCCACACGAAGAUAUUUAGCCUUAUAAUUGCCUCGGGAGUAAGUUGAUGAAGAUAGACUUCGAAGAUUUUCAACACCUCCACGACGAAGCUGCUCAAGGGGAAUCGCAAUCCAGCUUUCAAAAAGCUUCGAUACACCACAACUUCAUUUUCUUCAGGGUGUGGACAAGUUUUUUCCCCUUCGUCCGCCCUCACAAUGGACAGAUCCCGGAAAUACCUUCCUCUCAUAUUAACAAGAUGAUUCUCUUUGAUAGUUGAUUUACCAUAAACUGAAUGGCUUGGUCGCCAGGGGCGAUCUUCGGAGUCUUCGCCACCGCUGUCCACAUCAUAACUUUCACUGUCACCAGUAUCUUCAGACAGCCCUUCUAGAAUUUCCCUGGUGAUCUUUUCUGUGUUGGUCUUCGACAUUGCUAUAAGAAACCCUAAGUUCUUCUCUUCAUCAAGACUCAGCUUCAUCUCAGCAGCAGCCUUCUUAGCAGCUUCAGACAUCUUCGGAAACACUAAAAAACUGUUUUUAAAAGCCGAAGCUUCAAAGCUAAAAACUUAGCAGAUCACAGUGCACAAGAGCUAAAAAAUGAGUGAGCAGGAGUGGUUGGCCAGAAAGCGUGCAAAAUAAGUUUGCGGUAUGGCCGUAUUUAUACGCUUGAUGCGUUGAAAGUUGAAAGACCCCACUUGUCAUUGAAUGUUGCUAUUCUAGCAAAGGGAAGGUGUUUUUUCGGACCUUCGGCAUAAAGCCUUCGUUCAUAUCGCAAUCUGAAUUUAUUAUUUCAAACAAAUUAAUAUUGCGAGGGGCUACUGUUGGGGGCCUUCGGCUUCCGAAGGUCCUCAAAAACAUGAUUUAACAGUGUUUCUAGAGUGUAAUGUGUGAACAGGUACCUUCGGACUUAUGUCAAAGAGGGAGAACCUCAAAAGAUACGAAGGUUGGCAGUGCCGAAGCUGUGAAGCAGGAAAGCUUCGGCAUGUUCGCAGAAAAGGGAACCGACUUAAAGAUGAAAAGGCCAUUUAGACCUCGAUAGAUUGCUAUGGAAUUAUCACCAAAUGUAAAGGGCAUGUAUGUAAUUUUGUAUGGGUUGUAUCCCGUGCCUAUAAAUAGGUGAACAGUACCCCCGUACUGUUCACGCUGACUUGGCAUUUGCUUUUGCGUCACGCUUGUACUUUUUAUCUUCUCUCGGGACCGAAGGUACAUUUGUAAUUUGAAAUCAUUUCUAUUUUUCCAUGUUAAUAAAAUAGAAAUGAUUCUAUGAUGAUGCUUAUAUUAUAUUUCAUACUUUAUAUGAAUCCUUCGUCAUUACUUGUUAUGUUCACGAAGGUAUGUCUCUUAUGACCUUCGUCCGAAGCUCAUUAUUUCCCGAAGGGGCAUAAUGCUUCGAAGGACGAAGGACUUUAACACUUAACACUUUUUAUGUUGCCUUGUUCUUAACUCUUAGCAUUUGAGAACAAGUCCCCAACAGGUACCAUCCGUAGGGGAUGAGGAUUAUGAUGAGGACGAGGUGGCCCAAAUCGAGCACUUCAACUCCCAAGCCACAACCAUACUCCUCGCUUCUCUAAGUAGAGAGGAGUACAACAAGGUGCAAGGAUUAAAGAGCGCCAAGGAAGUUUGGGACGUGCUCAAGACCGCGCACGAGGGAGACGAGCUAACCAAGAUCACCAAGCAGGAAACGAUCGAGGGGGAGCUCGGUCGCUUCCGGCUUCGCAAAGGGGAAGAGCCACAACACAUGUACAACCGGCUCAAAACCUUGGUGAACCAAGUGCGCAACCUCGGGAGCAAAAAGUGGGAUGAUCACGAGAUGGUUAAGGUUAUUCUUAGAUCACUUAUUUUCCUUAACCCUACUCAAGUUCAAUUAAUUCGUGGUAAUCCUAGAUACACACUAAUGACUCCCGAGGAAGUAAUCGGGAAUUUUGUGAGCUUUGAGUACAUGAUCAAGGGCUCAAAGAAAAUCAAUGAGCUAGAUGAUCCCUCCACAUCCGAAGCACAACCAGUCGCAUUUAAGGUGACGGAGGAGAAGAAGGAGGAGUCUACACCAAGUAGACAACCAAUCGACGCCUCAAAGCUCGACAACGAGGAAAUGGCGCUCGUCAUCAAGAGCUUCCGCCAAAUCCUCAAGCAAAGGAGGGGGAAAGAUUACAAGCCCCGCUCCAAGAAGGUUUGCUACAAGUGUGGUAAGCCCGGUCACUUUAUAGCAAAAUGUCCUAUUUCUAGUGACAGUGACAGGGGCGACGACAAGAAGGGGAGAAGAAAGGAGAAGAAGAAAUACUACAAGAAGAAGGGUGGCGACGCCCAUGUAUGCUGCGAAUGGGACUCGGACGAGAGCUCCUCCGACUCCUCCUCCGACGAGGACGCCGCCAACAUCGCCAUCAACAAGGGCCUUCUCUUCCCCAACGUCGGCCACAAGUGCCUCAUGGCAAAGGACGGCAAAAAGAAGAAGGUUAGAUCCAAAUCCUCCACUAGAUAUGAGUCCUCUAGCGAUGAUAAUGCUAGUGAUGAGGAAGAUAAUUUGCAUACUCUUUUUGCCAACUUAAACAUGCAACAAAAAGAAAAAUUAAAUGAAUUGAUUAGUGCUAUCCAUGAGAAGGAUGAUCUCUUGGACUCCCAAGAGGACUUCCUUAUUAAAGAAAACAAGAAGCAUGUUAAAGUUAAAAAUGCUUACGCUUUAGAAGUAGAAAAAUGUGAAAAACUAUCUAGUGAGCUAAGCACUUGCCAUGAGACUAUAGACAACCUUAGAAAUGAAAAUUCUAAUUUGUUAGCUAAGGUUGAUUUAAAUGUUUGUGAUGUUUCAAUUCCCAAUCUUAGAAAUGAUAAUGAUAAUUUGCUUGCUAAGAUUGAAGAAUUAAACAUCUCUCUUACUAGCCUUAGGAUUGAGAAUGAAAAAUUAUUUGCUAAGGGUAACGAACUAGAUGUUUGCAAUGUUACAAUUCCCGAUCUUAGAGAUAAAAAUGAUAUAUUGCGUGCUAAGAUUGUUGAACUUAAUUCUUGCAAACCCUCUACAUCUACCACUGAGCAUGUCACUAUUUGCACUAGAUGUAGAGAUGUUGAUAUUGAUGCUAUUCAUGAUCAUAUGGUAUUAAUUAAGCAAAAAAAUGAUCAUAUAGCAAAAUUAGAUGCUAAAAUUGCCGAGCAUGAACUUGAAAAUGAAAAAAUUAAAUUUGCUCGUAGUAUGCUUUAUAGUGGGAGACGCCCUGGCAUUAAGGAUGGCAUUGGCUUCCAACAGGGAGACAAUGUCAAACUUAAUGCCUCUCCUAAGAAAUUGUCCAACUUUGUUAAGGGCAAGGCUCCCAUGCCUCAGGAUAACGAGGGUUACAUUUUGUACCCUGCCGGUUAUCCUGAGAGCAAAAUUAGGAGAAUUCAUUCUAGGAAGUCUCACUCUGGCCCUAACCAUGCAUUCAUGUAUAAGGGUGAGACAUCUAGCUCUAGGCAACCAACCCGUGCUAAGUUGCCUAAGAAGGAAACUCCUAGUGCAUCAAAUGAUCAUGACAUUUCAUUUAAAACUUUUGAUGCAUCUUAUGUUUUAACUAACAAAUCCGGCAAGGUAGUUGCCAAGUAUGUUGGGGGCAAACACAAGGGAUCAAAAACUUGUGUUUGGGUACCCAAAGUUCUUGUAUCUAAUGCCAAAGGACCCAAAACCAUUUGGGUACCUAAAGUGAAGAACUAAACUUGUUUUGUAGGUUUAUGCAUCCGGGGGCUCAAGUUGGGUAAUCGACAGCGGGUGCACAAACCACAUGACAGGGGAGAAGAAGAUGUUCUCCUCCUACGAGAAAAACCAAGAUCCCCAACGAGCUAUCACAUUCGGGGAUGGAAAUCAAGGUUUGGUCAAAGGAUUGGGUAAAAUUGCUAUAUCACCUGACCACUCUAUUUCCAAUGUUUUUCUUGUAGAUUCAUUAGAUUACAAUUUGUUUUCCGUUUCUCAAUUAUGCAAAAUGGGCUACAAUUGUCUUUUUACUGAUGUAGGUGUCACUGUCUUUAGAAGAAGUGAUGAUUCAAUAGCAUUUAAGGGAGUGUUAGAGGGUCAGCUAUACUUAGUGAAUUUUGAUAGAGCUGAACUCGACACCUGCUUAAUUGCUAAGACUAACAUGGGCUGGCUCUGGCAUCGCCGACUAGCACAUGUUGGGAUGAAGAAUCUUCAUAAGCUUCUAAAGGGAGAGCACAUUUUAGGAUUAACAAAUGUUCAUUUUGAGAAAGACAGGAUUUGUAGCGCAUGCCAAGCAGGGAAGCAAGUUGGUGCCCAUCAUCCACAUAAGAACAUCAUGACGACUGACAGGCCACUGGAGCUCCUACACAUGGACCUAUUCGGCCCGAUAGCUUACAUAAGCAUCGGCGGGAGUAAGUACUGUCUAGUUAUUGUGGAUGAGUAUUCUCGCUUCACUUGGGUAUUCUUUUUGCAGGAAAAAUCUCAUACCCAAGAAACCUUAAAGGGAUUCUGGAGACGAGCUCAAAAUGAGUUCGGCUUAAGGAUCAAGAAAAUUAGAAGCGACAACGGGACGGAGUUCAAGAAUUCUCAAAUUGAAGGCUUCCUUGAGGAGGAGGGCAUCAAGCAUGAGUUCUCUUCUCCCUACACGCCACAACAAAAUGGUGUAGUGGAGAGGAAGAAUAGAACUCUAUUGGACAUGGCAAGAACCAUGCUUGAUGAGUACAAGACACCGGACCGGUUUUGGGCCGAGGCAGUCAACACCGCCUGCUACGCCAUCAACCGGUUAUAUCUACAUCGAAUCCUCAAGAAGACAUCAUACGAACUCCUAACAGGUAAAAAGCCCAAUAUUUCAUAUUUUAGAGUCUUUGGUAGCAAAUGCUUUAUACUUGUUAAAAGAGGAAGAAAAUCUAAAUUUGCUCCUAAGACUGUAGAAGGCUUUUUACUAGGAUAUGAUUCAAACACAAGGGCAUAUAGAGUCUUUAACAAGUCCUCUGGACAAGUUGAAGUUUCUUGUGACGUUGUGUUUGAUGAGACUAACGGCUCUCAAGUAGAGCAAGUUGAUCUUGAUGAGAUAGGUGAUGAAGAGGCUCCGUGCAUCGCGCUAAGGAACAUGUCCAUUGGGGAUGUGUGUCCUAAGGAAUCAGAAGAGCCCCUAAAUGCACAAGAUCAACCAUCCUCCUCCACGCAAGCAUCUCCACCAACUCAAAAUGAGGAUGAGGCUCAAGUUGAUGAAGGAGAAGAUCAAGUAAAUGAGCCACCUCAAGAUGACGGCAAUGAUCAAGGGGGAGAUGCAAAUGAUCAAGACAAGGAGGAUGAAGAACCAAGGCCGCCACACCCAAGAGUCCACCAAGCAAUCCAACGAGAUCACCCCGUUGACACCAUCCUCGGCGACAUUCAUAAGGGGGUAACCACUAGAUCUCGUGUUGCACAUUUUUGUGAGCAUUACUCUUUUGUUUCCUCUAUUGAGCCACACAGGGUAGAGGAAGCACUUCAAGAUUCGGAUUGGGUGGUGGCGAUGCAAGAGGAGCUCAACAACUUCACUAGGAAUGAGGUAUGGCAUUUGGUUCCACGUCCUAAUCAAAAUGUUGUAGGAACCAAGUGGGUUUUCCGCAACAAGCAAGAUGAGCAUGGUGUGGUGACAAGGAACAAAGCCCGACUUGUGGCCAAAGGAUACUCGCAAGUCGAAGGUUUGGAUUUCGGUGAAACCUAUGCACCCGUAGCUAGGCUUGAAUCAAUUCGUAUAUUAUUGGCCUAUGCUACUUACCAUGGCUUCAAGCUUUAUCAAAUGGACAUGAAGAGUGCCUUCCUCAAUGGACCAAUCAAAGAAGAUGUCUAUGUUGAGCAACCUCCUGGCUUUGAAGAUAGUGAGUACCCUAACCAUGUUUAUAAACUCUCUAAGGCGCUUUAUGGGCUCAAGCAAGCCCCAAGAGCAUGGUAUGAAUGCCUUAGAGAUUUCCUUAUAGAUAAUGGCUUCAAAGUCGGAAAGGUCGAUCCUACACUCUUCACUAAAACUCUUGAAAAUGACUUGUUUGUAUGCCAAAUUUAUGUUGAUGAUAUUAUAUUUGGUUCUACUAACGAGUCUACAUGUGAAGAAUUUAGUAGGAUCAUGACAUAAAAAUUCGAGAUGUCUAUGAUGGGGGAGUUGAAGUAUUUCUUAGGAUUUCAAGUGAAGCAACUCCAAGAGGGCACCUUCCUAAGCCAAACGAAGUAUACUCAAGAUAUUCUAAGCAAGUUUGGGAUGAAGGAUGCCAAACCCAUCAAGACACCCAUGGGAACCAAUGGGCAUCUCGACCUCAACGAAGGAGGUAAACCCGUCGAUCAAAAGGUAUACCGGUCGAUGAUAGGCUCUUUGCUAUAUUUAUGUGCAUCUCGACCGGAUAUUAUGCUUUCCGUAUGCAUGUGUGCAAGAUUCCAAGCCGACCCUGAGGAAGCUCACCUUACGACCGUAAAACGAAUCUUGAGAUAUUUAGUUUAUACUCCUAAGUUUGGGCUUUCGUAUCCUAGGGGAUCCACUUUUGAUUUGAUUGGUUACUCGGAUGCCGAUUGGGCGGGGUGUAAAAUUAAUAGGAAGAGCACAUCGGGGACUUGCUAGUUCUUGGGAAGAUCCUUGGUGUCUUGGGCUUCAAAGAAGCAAAAUUCCGUAGCUCUUUCUACCGCCGAAGCCGAGUACAUUGCCGCAGGCCAUUGUUGCGCGCAACUACUUUGGAUGAGGCAAACCCUUAGGGACUACGGUUACAAAUUAACCAAAGUUCCUCUUCUAUGUGAUAAUGAGAGUGCAAUCCGCAUGGCGGAUAAUCCCGUUGAGCAUAGCCACACUAAACACAUAGCCAUUCGGUAUCACUUUCUAAGGGAUCACCAACAAAAGGGAGAUAUCGAGAUAGCUUACAUUAAUACUAAAGAUCAAUUAGCCGAUAUCUUUACCAAGCCUCUUGAUGAACAAACCUUUAACAAACUUAGACAUGAGCUAAAUAUUCUUGAUUCUAGGAACUUCUUUUGUUGAUUUGCACACAUAGCUCAUUCAUAUACCUUUGAUCAUGUCUCUUUUAUAUAUGCUAUGACUAAUGUGUUUUCAAGUAAAUUUCAAACCAAGUCAUAGGUGUAUUGAAAGGGAAUUGGAGUCUUCGGCGAAGACAAAGGCUUCCACUCUGUAACUCAUCAUUCGCCGUCGCUCCGAGCAACUCUCCGUUUUGGUAUAAUCUUCUCUUAUAUCUUUUACCAAAGGGGGAGAGAGUAACAAAAAGGGCUCUAAUGACUCCGUUUUUGGCGAUUCAUGCCAAAGGGGGAGAGAGUAUUAGCCCAAAGCAAAAGGACCGCACCACCACCUAAUUUUAAAACUAAGGAUUUUCAAUUGGUAAAUUUCAAAUUGGUACCUUAUUGUGUUCAAAAAGGGAAGUAGUAGUAUUUUCAAAACUGAUAUCUUAAAAAACACUCUUGAACACUAAGAGGAGGAUUUCAUUUAGGGGGGGUUUUGUUUAGUCAAAGGAAAAGCAUUUGAAACAGGGGGACACAAUUUCAAAUCUUGAAAAUGCUUCGCAAAAUAUUAUUCAUUUACCUUUGACUAUUUGCAAAAGAACUUUGAAAAGUAUUUACAAAAGAAUUUGCAAAAACAAAACAUGUGGUGCAAGCGUGGUCCAAAAUGUCAAAAAUUAAAGAAACAAUCCAUGCAUAUCUUAUGAGUAGUUAUAUUGGCUCAAUUCCAAGCAACCUUUGCACUUACAUUAUGCAAACUAGUUCAAUUUUGCACUUCCAUAUUUGCUUUGGUUUGUGUUGGCAUCAAUCACCAAAAAGGGGGAGAUUAAAAGGGAAUUAGGCUUACACCUAUUUCCUAAUUGAUUUUGGUGGUUGAAUUGCCCAACACAAAUAAUUGGACUAACUAGUUUACUCUAGUGUAUAAGUUAUACAGGUGCCAAAGGUUUCACACUUAGCCAAUAAAAAGACCAAGAAAUGGGUUCAACGAAAAGAGCAAGGGAUAACCGAAGGCUGCCCUGGUCUGGCGCACCGGACUGUCCGGUGUACCACCGGACAAUGUCCGGUGCACCAGGGAACUCCAAGCCAAACUCUUCACCUUCGGGAAAACUCAGAGGCGCUCCGCUAUAAUUCACCGGACUGUCCGGUGUACACCGGACAGUGUCCGGUGCUCCAAGGAAGAGCGACUCUGAACUCGCCAGCUUCGGGAAUCCGCUCCGCUAUAAUUCACCGGACAUUUCCGGUGCACACCGGACUGUCCGAUGAUUUAGCGGAGCAACGGCUACUUCGCGCCAACGGUCACCUGCAGAAGCAAUUAGUGCGCGCCAGAGCGCGCAGAAGUCAGACACGCGCGUAGUGGCACACCGGACACUCUACAGUACAUGGCCGGUGUGCCAUCGGACAUCCAGGCGGGCCCAGCAGUCAGAGCUCCAACGGUCGGAACCCAACAGCCUGGUGACGUGGCUGGCGCACCGGACACUGUCCGGUGUGCACCGGACUGUCCGGUGCACCAUGCGACAGACAGCCUCCACCAAACGGCUAGUUUGGUGGUUGGGGUUAUAAAUACCCCCAACCACCCCACAUUCAAGUCAUCCAAGUUUUCCACCUUCCAACUACUUACAAGAGCUAAGCAUUCAAUACAAGACACACCCAAGUGAUCAAAUCCUCUCCCAAUUCCACAAAAGCUUUAAUGUUAAGUGAGAGUGAUUUGUUGUGUUCUUUUGAGCUCUUGCGCUUGGAUUGCUUUCUUCUUUCUCAUUCUUUCUUGAGAUCAAUACUCACUUGUAACCGAGGCAAGAGACACCAAUUAUGUGGUGGUCCUUGCGGGGAGUUUUGUUCCCGGUUGAUUUGAGAAGAGAAAGCUCACUCGGUCCGAGGGACCGUUUGAGAGAGGGAAGGGGUUGAAAAAGACCCGGCCUUUGUGGCCUCCUCAACGGGGAGUAGGUUUGCGAGAACCGAACCUCGGUAAAACAAAUCCGCGUGUCACACUCUUUAUUCGCUUGCGAUUUGUUUUGCACCCUCUCUCUCGGACUCGAUUAUAUUUCUAACGCUAACUCGGCUUGUAGUUGUGAUUAACUUUGUAAAUUUUAGUUUCGCCCUGUUCACCCCCCUCUAGGCAACUUUCAGUCAUCACGCAGCACCUCAAGCCCUUGUUGGAAACGCCUUCCGACACGGUUUCUACUGGCCAACUGUGGUGGCCGACGCCACAAGGAUUGUACGCACCUGCCAAGGGUGUCAAUUCUACGCAAAGCAGACCCACCUGCCCGCUCAGGCUCUGCAGACAAUACCCAUCACCUGGUCGUUUGCUGUGUGGGGUAUGGACCUCGUCGGUCCCUUGCAGAAGGCACCCGGGGGCUACACGCACCUGCUGGUCGCUAUCGACAAAUUCUCCAAGUGGAUCGAGGUCCGACCCCUAAACAGCAUUAGGUCCGAACAGGCGGUGACAUUCUUCACCAACAUCAUCCAUCGCUUCAGGGUCUCGAACUCCAUCAUCACCGACAACGGCACCCAGUUCACCGGCAGAAAGUUCCUGGAUGCGAGGAUCACCACAUCCGGGUGGACUAGGCCGCCAUAGCUCACCCCAUGACGAAUGGGCAAGUAGAGCGUGCCAACGACAUGAUUCUGCAAGGACUCAAGCCACGGAUCUACAACGACCUCAACAAAUUCGGCAGGCGAUGGAUGAAGGAACUUCCCUCGGUGGUCUGGAGUCUGAGAACGACGCCAAGCCCAGCCACGGGCUUCACACCGUUUUUUCUAAUCUAUGGGGGCCGAAGCUAUCUUGCCCACGGACUUGGAAUACGGAUCCCCGAGGACGAGGGCAUACGACGACCGAAGCAACCAGUCCAACCGAGAAGACUCACUGGACCAGCUGGAAGAGGCUCGGGACAUGGCCUUACUACACUCGGUGCGGUAUCAGCAGUCCCUGCGACGCUACCACGCCCGAGGGGUUCGGUCCCGAGACCUCCAGGUGGGCGACUUGGUGGUUCGGCUACGACAAGACGCUCGAGGGCGCCACAAGCUCACGCCUCCCUGGGAAGGGCCAUUCAUCAUCGCCAAGAUUUUGAAGCCCGGAACAUACAAGCUGGCCAACAAUCAAGGCGAGGUCUACAGCAACGCUUGGAACAUCCGACAGCUACGUCGCUUCUACCCUUAAGAUGUUUUCAAGUCGUUCAUACACCUCGUCUACAUACGCCAACAAAGUCUAACCAUCAAGGAAGGGUCAGCCUUGCCUCGGCAAAGCCCGACCCUCCCUCGGAGGCUAGAAGGGGGGCACCCCCUCUGCGUCAAAAUUUUCCUCGAAAAAAGUCUUUCUGCCAGAAUAUCUUUCGUGCUUUUCGACUACUUCGAAAGUGGGAUCCUGAAAACGACGGAGUACACGUAAGCAGGCAAGGCCGACCGAGCCGAGGGACUCCUACGCCUCCGGGAUACGGACACCUCACUCAUCACCUUUUGCGAUAAGUAACUCACGCUUGGAUAAGCGAUUCCGCUGACCGAACAAGUCUUAACGCUCGAAAACUUUUCUGCCGAAACGAUUUUUCGUGUCUUCUCAACUAUAUCGAUAACAGAAUCCGACGGACGAGUAAGAGUAUACGUAAGCGGCAAGGCCGACCGAGCCGAGGGACUCCUAUGCCUCCGGGAUACGGAUACCUCACUCAUCACCUUCCGUGAAAAGUAACUCUCACUCGGACAAACAAUUCUAUUACCGACAAAUAAGUCUUGAUACUCGAAACAAGGGGAAAAGAAACGCAGAUCUACAACACGACGACGAUAUGUUUGGGCCUCGGCAGCCGCCAAAAAACAUACACACACUACAGAUAAACUGUUCCUGCAGGAUCAGACAUCAGUAGGGGGAGCGGCAGCACCCUCGGCAUCGACUCCACCUUCGGCAGAGUCCGACCCAGCCUCGGACGGCGACACGGUCGAAGGGUCUACACCUCGAAGGAACCUGUCAGCACCACGCCUGGGCCAUCGUCGCUGGGGUCUCCUCCAGGAACCCGGACCGAGCAGACGGCUCGACCGACCACUCUGUAGCCUCAGCCAGCUGUCCCCCGAGGACAUCAGCCCGGCUCGUGGCCUCGGCAAUCCGACUCCGGCGUCGGUCUUGCCAGUGGACGGCCCGGCCAGGCUCCGGCCGACGAAGCUUCUUUUCGAGCCAACUCUGCCUCUGUCCGUGCUGGCACCACUGCCUCUGGCUCCGGCUCAUCGCAGAGCGGCCGAGGGUUUCUUUAACUAAGCAAGAGAAGCCUCGGGCGGCAAGGCCAACCGAGCCGAGGGACUCCUACGCCUCUGGGAUACGGAUACCUCACUCGUCACCUUCCGCACGAGGCAACUCACACUUGGUUAAGCGGUUCAGCUAGCCGACGGGCGAAUCCUAGUGCUCGAAAUGAGGAAGAAACACGGCUUUACGCCAAAAUACAUACAUGUUCAGGCCCCGACAGCCACGAUGAACAGACACCGACACUCAAGGUGCCAUUACAAACGGACUCCGGUUCCACUCCCGCAGGUACGAACAACCCCCCACAUUGGAGGGCCUGCGGGGCGACAAAACCCCAGGUGGCUCGUCGUCGCCCGCUCCGGCAGCAGCGACGGCGACCUCCGCUCCGGGCGGCCAAACAGCAGCAGCGAUGACCUCAGGGCAGACGCUGCUGCGAUAAGGUCCUCGCCCGCAUCCCCACUCGAGGGGCGAGGACAAGCUAUCAAAGCUAAAGAGCCAGAGGCCCGGAGCGCGGAUGGUGGCGGCAAUCUCGUCGGCGACGAGGACUUCUUCAGCCGCCACCACCUCGGCACCAACGACGGCAGUCGUCUGCCCACCGGCAGAUCCCCACUCGGGUCCUCCCGGACAGACGAACACCGACCUCCAUGCAGGGGCAUCGUACCGGAGCAAAGGCAGGACAGCCCAAGAACACGAACGCCGCCCUAGCAGCGCGCGACAUCUUGGGCGGUCCCCCGGUGCGCGCGGCGCGACAGCCGCCCGUACGUCGGGCAGAUAGCCGCGCUCCGCCCAGCGGUGGAAGAUGGCGCCGGAAGCUGCGCCAGAGCCAGCUGAGCCAGCGAACCGGGCACGCGGGAGCUGAUGACGCUUGCGGCCGCUCGGCCCCGCGUUGUCGAAGUCCGCCCCUUCCGCUAAGCCGGUGAGCACCCUCUCCCCUGAGUGCUGAGGGAGAAGGUGACCCACGAACCCGCGUGGGAGGUAGAGCUCCGGCCUCUGCCCUAGCAAGGAUGAUGAAGAUCCUUGAAGCUGAAGGCGGGGCAGAGGCCGCAGCCCGGCUUGCUUCUCCCCACCAUCGAACUGGUGGUCACCGUCUUGGGUGACCACCGGCGAGGGGAUGCAGCCGGGCUGCCUGAUGAAAAUCCUUGAAGCCAAGCGAUGGCUGAAAGGUACCAACUUCCGCGAAGUUGCGUUCCUCCAACGACGACAAGAAGAAAGCGACGCGGUCGCUCCCCAUCCGGGGGCUCGGAAGGUGGAAGGACGCGAUGCAUGAGGAGAGUGCGAAGACAUGGUUGCCAUCCAAGGGGGUCGCCCUCUUUUUAAAGGCGAUUCUCCCCUCUUGUGUCCUCAGCCGUCGCGAACAGAGCCUUCACCGACACGCUCCAAGGUCUUCCCCCUACGACACGGGGGCUGGGUCCCACGCAUCAUGCAAGCCGGCCCAGGGCAGAAGAAGCCAAACCACCACGCACGGAACGCGUAACUGCCCAGCGGGUACAAGCACUCCUCCACUUUCGCCCAGACCGGCGGGUGAAAGGGCAGACCGCCAUGCAGGCGGCAUGCAACCGCACCAAGGGGGCGCACCCUUUCGACUCCGACGCGUCCGGCAUGGGGGCCCAGGCCCACACGUCAUGUAACCGGCGCGCCGGUUACUACGUGCGGGAAACUGCACCGCCACUUGCGCCAGUAUCGCGCCUUCUCGACUGCGGAACCGGUGCCGCGGCUCGAGGCAACCCUGCGCAUGGCCCAACAGUGCCAACCGAGCACAUCGAUCACGGGUCAGUCAGCCGCGGGAGAAGGCUCACCCCAUGACGAAUGGGCAAGUAGAGUGUGCCAAUGGCAUGAUUCUGCAAGGACUCAAGCCACGGAUCUACAACGACCUCAACAAAUUCGACAGGUGAUGGAUGAAGGAACUCCCCUCGGUGGUCUGGAGUCUGAGAACGACGCCAAGCCGAGCCACGGGCUUCACGCCAUUUUUUCUAGUCUAUGGGGCCGAAGCUAUCUUGCCCACGGACUUGGAAUACGGAUCCCCGAGGACGAGGGCGUACGACGACCGAAGCAACCAGUCUAACCGAGAAGACUCACUGGACCAGCUGGAAGAGGCUCGGGACAUGGCCUUACUACACUCGGCGCGGUAUCAGCAGUCCCUGCGAUGCUACCACGCCCGAGGGGUUCGGUCCCGAGACCUCCAGGUGGGUGACUUGGUGCUUCAGCUACGACAAGACGCCCGAGGGCGCCACAAGCUCACGCCUCCCUGGAAAGGGCCAUUCAUCAUCGCCAAGAUUUUGAAGCCCGGAACAUACAAGCUGGCCAACAAUCAAGGCGAGGUUUACAGCAACGCUUGGAACAUCCGACAGCUACGUCGCUUCUACCCUUAAGAUGUUUUCAAGUCGUUCAUAUACCUCGUCUACAUAUGCCAACAAAGUCUAACCAUCAAGGAAGGGUCAGCCUUGCCUCGGCAAAGCCCGACCCUCCCUCGGGGGCUAGAAGGGGGGCACCCCCUCUGCGUCAAAAUUUUCCUCGGAAAAAGUCUUUCUGCCAGAACAUCUUUCGUGCUUUUCGACUACUUCGAAAGUGGGAUCCUGAAAACGACGGAGUACACGUAAGCAGGCAAGGCCGACCGAGCCGAGGGACUCCUACGCCUCCGGGAUACGGAUACCUCACUCAUCACCUUCUGCGAUAAGUAACUCACGCUCGGAUAAGCGAUUCCGUUGACCGAACAAGUCUUAACGCUCGAAAACUUUUCUGCCGAAACGAUUUUUCGUGUCUUCUCGACUAUAUCGAUAACAGAAUCCGAUGGACGAGUAAGAGUACACAUAAGCGGCAAGGCCGACCGAGCCGAGAGACUCCUACGCCUCCGGGAUAUGGAUACCUCACUCAUCACCUUCCGUGAAAAGUAACUCUCGCUCGGACAAACAAUUCUGUUACCGACAAAUAAGUCCUGAUACUCGAAACAAGGGGAAAAGAAACGCAGAUCUACAACACGACGACGAUAUGUUUGGGCCUCGGCGGCCGCCAAAAAACAUACACACACUACAGAUAAACUGUUCCUACAGGAUCAGACAUCAGCAGGGGGAGCGGCAGCACCCUCGGCAUCGACUCCACCUUCGGCGGAGUCUGACCCAGCCUCGGACGGCGACACGGUCGGAGGUUCUCCACCUCGAAGGAACCUGUCAGCACCACGCCUGGGCCAUCGUCGUCGGGGUCUCCUCCAGGAACCCGGCCCGGGUAGAUGGCUCGACCGGCCACUCCGUAGCCUCAGCCAGCUGUCCCCCGAGGACAUCAGCCCGGCUCGUGGCAUCGGCAACCUGACUCCAGCGUCGGUCCCGCCAGUGGAUGGCCCAGCCAGGCUCUGGCCGACGAAGCUUCUUUUCGAGCCAACUCUGCCUCUGCCUGUGCUGGCACUGCUGCCUCCGGCUCCAGCUCAUCGCAGAGCGGCCGAGGGUUUCUUUAACUAAGCAAGAGAAGCCUCGGGCGGCAAGGCCAACCGAGCCGAGGGACUCCUACGCCUCCGGGAUACGGAUACCUCACUCGUCACCUUCCGCACGAGGCAACUCACACUUGGUUAAGCGGUUCAGCUAGCCGACGGGCGAGUCCUAGUGCUCAAAAUGAGGAAGAAACACGGCUUUACGCCAAAAUACACACAUGUUCUGGCCCCAACAGCCACAUUGAACAGACACCGGCACUCAAGGUGCCAUUACAAACGGAACUCCGGUUCCACUCCCGCUGGUACGAACAACCCCCCACAUUGGAGGGCCUGCGGGGCGACAAAACCCGAGGUGGCUCGCCGCCGCCCGCUCCGGCAGCAGCGACGACGACCUCCACUCCGGGCGGCCAAACAGCAGCAGCGAUGACCUCAGGGCAGACGCUGCUGCGAUAAGGUCCUCGCCCGCAUCCCCACUCGAGGGGCAAGGACAAGCUAUCAAAGCCAAAGAGCCAGAGGCCCGGAGCAUGGAUGGUGGCGGCAAUCUCGUCGGCGACGAGGACUUCUUCAGCCGCCACCACCUCGGCACCAAUGACGGCAGCCGUCUGCCCACCGGCAGAUCCCCACUCAGGUCCUCCCGAACGGGCGAACACCGACCUCCGCGCCGGGGUGUCGUACCGGAGCAAAGGCAGGACAGCCCAAGAACACGAACGCCGCCCUAGCAGCGCGCGACAUCUUGGGUGGUCCCCCGGUGCGCGCGGCGCGACAGCCGCCCGUACGUCGGGUAGAUAGCCGCGCUCCGCCCAGUGAUGGAAGGUGGCACCGAAAGCUGCGCCAGAGCCAGCUGAGCCAGCGAACCGGGCACGCGGGAGCUGGCGACGCUUGCGGCCGCUCGGCCCGCGUUGUCGAAGUCCGCCCCUUCCGCUAAGCCGGUGAGCACCCUCUCCCCUGAGUGCUGAGGGAGAAGGUGACCCACGAACCCGCGUGGGAGGUAGAGCUCCGGCUCAGCCCGGCCUCCGCCCCAGCAAGGAUGAUGAAGAUCCUUGAAGAUGAAGGCGGGGUAGAGGCCGCAGCCCGGCUUGCUUCUCCCCACCAUCAAACUGGUGGUCACCGUCUUGGGUGACCACCAGCGAGGGGAUGCAGUCGGGCUGCCUGAUGAAAAUCCUUGAAGCCGAGUGAUGGCUGAAAGGUACCAACUUCCGCGAAGUUGCGUUCCUCCAAUGAGGAUAAGACGAAAGUGACGCGGGCGCUCCCCAUCCGGGGGCUCGGAAGGUGGAAGGACGCGAUGCAUGAGGAGAGUGCGAAGACAUGGUUGCCAUCCAAGGGGGUUGCCCUCCUUUUAAAGGCGACUCUCCCCACUUGCGUCCUCAGCCGUCGCGAACUGAGUCUUCACCGACACGCUCCAAGGUCUUCCCCCUACGACACGGGGGCUGGGUCCCACGCGUCAUGCAAGCUGGCCCAGGGCAGAAGAAGCUAAACCGCCACGCACGGAACGCGUAACUGCCCAGCGGUUACAAGCACUCCUCCACUUUCGCCCAGACCGGCGGGUGAAAGGGCGGACCGCCAUGCAGGCGACAAGCAACCGCACCAAGGGGGCGCACCCUUUCGACUCCGACGCGUCCGACAUGGGGGCCCAGGCCCACACAUCAUGUAACCGGCGCGCCGGUACUACGUGCGGGAAACUGCACCGCCACUUGCGCUAGUAUCGCGCCUUCUCGACUGUGGAACCGGUGCCCGACUCGAGGCAACCCUGCGCAUGGCCCAACAGUGCCAACCGAGCACAUCGAUCACGGGUCAGUCAGCCGCGGGAGAAGGCGCUAUGGUCGAUAUGGCCAAAAGUGGGCCAGCAGUAAUGGCGGCGGCAGGCGGGCGGAAGCAGCGGUCAAGUCGUCUGCAGGCACACGUCCCUUCUAGGGACAGCGAGAGAGCCCUCUCCCACGGCGUGAAGGCGACGCGCCCGUGUUUCGUUCCUCGAACGGCUCGCGCACGCACAACGGCUGCCCCGCAAACCACUCGUCCCGUCGCAUUAACUCUGCGGCAGGACAGGUGGCACCUUUGGCAGGCGAAGCAGGCGACGCUUCACCUCCGCCAUAAUGACCGCGUCAAAAAAGGUGUGCCACGCCGUUCGAUUUCGUAUCCUUUUCCUCUUCCUCUUUCUCUCUCUUGCUACAGGGACCGGGAAAGGGAUACUCCGAAAGGGAUCCUUCUCCGCGAAGGAAGCGGGCCCCGAGCCCUCCUACUGAUCAGAGGUUCAAAGGCUGGCCCCUCGGAAGGGUUCAACAGUCGCCUCAGAGCACUCGGGCUCCGCGCCCACUACUGGUCAGAGGUUUGAAGGCUGGCCCCUCGGAAGGGUUCGAUAGCCGCCUUAGGCCCCUCGGGCUCCGCGCCCACUACUAAUCAGGGGUUCGUAGGCUGGCCCCCGAAGGGUUCGACAGCUGCCUCAGAGCACGCAGAGCGAGGGAUGACUCUGGGUACGUCCGAUACAUGGCCGAGGCUCGGGCUACGCUCCCGAGGUACCCUAGGACAUUUCUGAGACCGGCAGGAGCGAUUCUGUAACGGAAUCCCAUCAGAGGGAGGCAUCGAGCCCUUGGACCCUAUCAAACGGGACCGGGUCCGGCAAAUCACCUGCAGGUACUUUUGGAGCGCGCCUCUGGGCCACUAGCCGACCUUUAUCGAACGGGGCACGGGCGUCCACUCGGAUCACCCGUUAGCAACUCACUGGAGACACCAUGUUCGGCGCCCUCCGAGGGCAACAUGGUGCUUUCCCCCCGUCCUCCUUGCGGAAAGGCGACGCAGGGGCGUAUGAAAAAAGCCGAGUCAGUCCUUGACCGUCCUCUCGCUCUGUGCGGAGGCUCGGGGGCUGCUCUCACAAACCCGGCUCCGGCCAAACCGUUGAUAGCGUCAACAUACCAGCCCGAGAACUUGGAACCUGACUAUGCACCCGGACUACGACCAGUUCGCAUGAGGGAACCACCAGACCGGCUGAAGCAUCACGAAACGCGCUAAGACCUCGAAGGAGUCAAACCACUCCUCCGAGGCCUCGGGGGCUACACCCGGCGGGUGCGCUCGCGCGCACCCACCGGAACGAAACGCAACCGAGAAAGGCCGGUCCCCUUGCAAAAAAGUGCGACAAAAGCCUCCAAGCGAGUACCAACACUCCCUUCGAGGCUCGGGGGCUACUGUCAGGGACCAUAAUUAGGGGUACCCCCAAGACUCCUAAUCUCAGCUGGUAACCCCCAUCAGCACAAAGCUGCAAAGGCCUAAUGGGCAUGAUUCAGGUCAAGGCUUCGUCCACUCAAGGGACACGAUCCCGCCUCACCCGAGCCCAGCCUCGGGCAAAGGCAGCCGACCCAGGAGGAUUCACGUCUCGCCCGAGGGUCCCCUCAAGCAACGGACGCACCUUCGGCUCACCCGAGGCCUAGGCUUCGCGGAGAAGCAACCUUGGCCAGAUCGCCACGCCAACCGACUGUAUCGCAGGAGCAUUUAAUGCAAGGAUCGACUGACACCUUAUCUUGACGCGCGCUCCUCAGUCGACAGGACCGAAGUGACCGUAGUCACUUCGCCACUCCACUGACCGACCUGACAGGAAAACAGCGCCGCCAGCCCUGCUCCGACUGCUGUGCCACUCGACAGAGUGAGGCUGACAGCAGCUAAGUCCAGCCUUGGGUACCAUAGGAAGCUCCGCCUCGCCCAACCCCAGAGCUCGGGCUCAACCUCGACGCUAGACGACGGACUCCGCCUCGCCCGACCCUAGGGCUCGGACUCAGCCUAGACCUCGGACGACGGACUUCGCCUCGCCCGACCCCAGGGCUCGGACUCAGCCUCGACCUCGGACGACGGACUCUGCCUCGCCCGACCCCAGGGCUCGGACUCAGCCUCGACUCUAGACGACGGACUCCGCCUCGCCCGACCUCAGGGCUCGGACUCUACCUCGACCUUGGACGGCGAUCUCCGCCUCGCCCGACCCAGGGCUCGGACUCAGCCUCGACCUCGGAGGAGUCACCGCCUCGCCCGACCCCGAGUUCGGACCGACCACGUCAGAGGGGGGAGCCAUCAUUACCCUACCCCUAUCAAGCUCAGGCUACGGGGAACAAGACCGGCGUCCCAUCCGGCUCGUCCCGGUAAACAAGUAAUGAUGGCACCCCGCGUGCUCCAUGACGACUGCGACUCUCAGCCCCUUACGGAAGCAAGGAGACGUCAGCAAGGAUCCGACAGCCCCGACAGUUGUACUUCCUCGGGGCUCAAGCGCUCCUCCGACGGCCAAGACAUCACAUGAACAGGGCGCCAAAACCUCUCUGACAGCCACGAUGGCACGUACAUAGGGCUCUGGCUCCCCUUUGCUAGACAUGUUAGCACAUUGCUACACCCCCAUUGUACACCUGGGCCCUCUCCUUACGCCUAUAAAAGGAAGGUCCAGGGCUCUCGUACGAGAAGGUUGGCCGCGCGGGAGAACGGGCCGACGCACAAGGCUCUCUCUCUCUCUCCCACGCGAACGCUUGUAACCCCCUACUGCAAGCGCAUCCGCCCUAGGCGCAGGACAACACGAAGGCCACAGUUUCCCCUUACUGUUUCUCCCCCCUUUAUGUUCCGUCUCGCGCCGACCCAUCUGGGCUUGGACACGCAGCGACAAUUUACUCGUCGGUCUAGGGACCCCCCGGGGUCGAAACGCCGACAGGGACAGACUGCACCGUUGUCUCAGGUACGAGGCUAACGCCCAGCAAGUCCUUUGCGAGCGUGCUGGCGUCGUCCGUCUGCUUGGGGUUGGCGUGUCGCGGGGAAACGACGCUUGUCUUUGUCUUAGACGCGAGGUCAACGCCCGACGUGUCCCCCGUUGGGGCGCCGACGCCGUCGACACGCUCGACAGCCGACGAGGUGCUGCCUCCUGCUUGGCCAUGCCUGCCUCGCCUCCUCCUCCGUCGGCGGGGAAGGUGACGGGAUAGACCUGGAUGUUGUUCUUUCGCCACGUGGGGAAGACGUCGUCGAUUCCGCCGCCAGCGGGCGGGCUGACGGCCGCCAUUGUCGUUGUCGCGCGGCGGAGGAAGGAGUAUCAUGUCGUAGCUGCCGUCGAGGGACAUGAACUCAAGACUCCCGAAACGGAGCACCGUCCCGGGUUGGAGUGGUUGCUGGAGACUACCCAUCUGGAGCUUGACGGGAAGCUGUUCGUCAACACGCAGCAGGCCCCUACCUGGCGCGCCAACUGUCGGCGUUUCGACCCCGGGGGGUCCCUGGACCGACAAGUAAAUUAUCGCUGCGUGUCCCAGCCCAGAUGGGUCGGCGCGAGACGGAACACAAAGGGGGGAAAACAGUAAGGGGAAACCGUGGCCUUCGUGUUGUCUUGCGCCCAGGGCGGAUGCGCUUGCAGUAGGGGGUUACAAGCGUUCGCGUGGGAGAGAGAGAGAGCCUUGUGCGUCGGCCUGUUCUCCCGCGCGGCCAACCUUCUCGUACGAGAGCCCUGGACCUUCCUUUUAUAGGCGUAAAGAAAGGGACUAGGUGUACAAUGGGGGGUGUAGCAAUGUGCUAACGUGUCUAGCAAAGGGGAGCCAAAGCCCUAUGUACGUGUCGUCGUGGCUGUCGGAGAGGUUUUGGCGCCCUGUUCAUGUGAUGUCGUGGCCGUCGGAGGAGCGCUUGAGCCCCAUGGAAGUACAGUUGUCGGGGCUGUCGGAUCCUUGCUGACGUAUCCUUGCUUCCGUAAGGGGCUGAAAGCCGCCGUCGUCAUGGAGCACGCGGGGUGCCAUCAUUACUUGUUUACCGGGGCGAGCCGGAUGGGACACCGGUCUUGUUCCCCGUAGCCUGAGCUGGCUAGGGGUAGGGUAAUGAUGGCUCCCCCUGUGACGUGGUCGGUCCGAGCCCGGGGUCGGGCGAGGCGGUGACUCCUCCGAGGUCGAGGUUGAGUCUGAGCCCUAGGGUCGGGCGAGGCAAAGUCCAUCGUCCGAUGUCGAGGUUGAGUCCGAGCCCUGGGGUCGGGCGAGGCGGAGUCUGUCAUCCGAGGUCGAGGCUGAGUCCGAGCCCUGGGGUCGGGCGAGGCGGAGUCCGUCGUCCGGCAUCGAGGUUGAGCCCGAGCCCUGGGGUCGGGCGAGGCGGAGUCCGUCGUCCGAGGUCGAGGUUGACUCCGAGCCCUAGGGUCGGGCGAGGAAGAGUCCGUCGUCCAAGGUCGAGGCUGAGUCUGAGCCCUAGGGUCGGGCGAGGCAGAGUCCGUCGUCCGGCGUCGAGGUUGAGCCCGAGCUCUAGGGUCGGGCGAGGCGGAGCUUCCUAUGGCGCCCGAGGCUGGACUUAGUUGCUGUCAGCCUCACUCUGUCGAGUGGCACAGCAGUCGGAGCAGGGCAGGCGACGAUGUUUUCCUGUCAGGUCGGUCAGUGGAGCGGAGAAGUGACUGCGGUCACUUCGGUCCUGUCGACUGAGGAGCGCGUGUCAGGAUAAGGUGUCAGUCGAUCCUUGCAUUAAAUGCUCCUGCGAUACGGUCGGUUGGCGUGGCGAUCUGGCCAAUGUUGCUUCUCCGCGAAGCUUGGGCCUCGGGCGAGCCGAAGGUGCGUCCGUUGCUUGAGGGGACCCUCGGGCGAGACGUGAAUCCUCCUGGGUUGGCUGCCUUUGCCCGAGGCUGGGCUCGGGCGAGGCGGGAUCGUGUCCCUUGAGGGGACAGAGCCUUGACCUGAAUCGCGCCCAUCAGGCCUUUGCAGCUUUGUGCUGAUGGGGGUUACCAGCUGAGAUUAGGAGUCUUGGGGGUACCCCUAAUUAUGGUCCCCGACAUAACUAAAAUAACCCAAAAGAUAGUCAAGGACAAUGUAAAUAGAAAGCUAGUCAAUCCUUAGGUUUCAAUUAUGUAAUGCGAGAAAGUGAAUUAUCAUGUAAAUAGGACAUAAGUAGGUCAAAGGACACUUGCCCUCAUCAAAUAGAUGCUCAGGGUCUUCAAUCUCGUAGAACUCGAAGAGCUUGACCACUUGGUUGUCGAAGCUUGAUUGUCGAUUCCUCAAAGCUCGGAAAUAGAUCAUAUUAUAUUCGCGACAUGCAGCGAAUACGAAUAGGCACAAGCAAACAAAUAUAUACAUGCAUAAGAACAUUACAUCACACAAGGAAAACAUUAUAAAUCAUGCAGUACGAAAUAGAGCUCGCUACUACGGUCACGCAAGGAAAAGAAACACGAUAGUCGAGGCUACGGUCUAUGUCGGCAUGUUUACACUAAACAAGUAUUAAUUAGAAUAUUUAAGUCGACAUACUCGCAUUACUCGACAUUUAUUAAAUGCAACUAGAGCUAUCGUCUAGCUUUAAUUAGCUGACUACACUAACAAUUCUUAGUUAAAUAAGUAAUUUAAAUAACAUUGGCGACUCUAAGCGAGACAAAUUAGCGGAGCGAGACAAAAUACGUAGCGCGUGAAACAGCACAUCGGCACGUGCACGGUACAUGCACAACACGCAUAUGGCGCGUGGGCCGACACGUUACGUGAAAACUAAUAAAUAAAUAGCAUGAUUAAACUAACCAAUUAUUAUUAUUAAUAAAUAAUAUUUCAGUUAAAGUUAAUCAUGGUGGUGUUUAAUUAUAAAUGCGCAAAUCGAUUUCCUAAAUUAGAUUUUAAAAUUGCAACGCUGUUCUAGUAGCCAUCGGUCAACAAACAUUGAAAUAAAUUAAAUAAAAUGUGCAAUAGCAGGGAAAAAUACUUCUAACAUAUAGACAAUUUUAAUAUGAAUCUAACACAACUUGAACGGAUUGAAUCGGGUUUAAAACGCAAAAGUUAUCACUCUUUUAAACUGGACUAAAUUCCUGCAUACGGUUUUGAAAUUUGUGAGGGCGUUUUCGCAAAAUAGCCAUCUUCUUCCUCCCUCCAUCUUCUUCCUAUCAUCUAUGGAAGAGAGAGGGGGAGGGGGAAAGGGGAGGGCCGGCCGGCUGGGCACGGCCGCGAGCGGGCGCGGCACAGGGGCGCGGGCGGGCACGCGCAGGGGGCACGGGUCAGCGCGGGUCGCCGUCGCCGCAGAGGGGGAGGGGGGGCUACGUGUGGGGGGCAGAUCAGGGGGAGGGCGUCGUCGCUCAGUGGAGAGAUAUGGGAGAAGGGGAGAGAGAGGGGCUGCGCGGGGAGGAGAAAAAUGAAGAACCAUGCGACAACAAUGGAGGUUUUUUACCGGGGGAAACUACCUCGCUGGAGCCGAGGAGAAAACCGUCGAUUGACGGAGAUUUGGAGGUCCGAUCGAUGAACCGGAUACGCCUCAACGAAGUCCUCGACGAGACGAACGCAACGGUACCCUCCGAUUCCGCCGCCUACGCACAGAUUGGAAGUAAUUGCUCGCCGGAGUUAGAACCCCUCCGAACUUCGGUGAGCAAUUCCAGGAGCUGGGAAAUGAAUCUGGGAAAACGGUUUUAUGAUUUGGAACGUGCUCGACGAAGAGAAGUCGGUCAUAUAUAUAUAUAUAGUUGGGGUUCGGACGAGAUGAAAAUUUCGGGCCAAAUUCGGAUUUUACUAUUUAUAAAUUUCGGAAAAGCCUAGAAAUCCAUAUUUUAUGCUCAAAAUAUUAUAGAUGCGUCCAAAAAUUCUAAAAAAAAUCCUAGAAAUGUUUUGGCACCUAAUGAACUCAAAAACAUACUUAGAGUUUCUAAAAACAUUUUUAAGUACUUGAAAUAAAUAGAUUUUGGUUUCUGAAAAAUGGAAAAAUAUUCCAAAAAAUAUGAAAUUUUACCGAGAGCUUCUAUAAGAUAUAUUAACAUGUUUCAAACACUUUUUCACUAAGAAACACCAUGCAACAGUAUGAAUGCAACAAUCAAAGCGCCUCUAUGGCUCAUUCCACUAGGUUUACACCAAUAUAAAAUAAAAUAAUUCUCCAUUUUUAGGAAAAACAGAAGGAAAGCAAAGAAAUGAGAGAGUAACAGCUGAAUUUGGUGGAUAUUAGAAAAUAAAUUUUAUACCCCCAAAUUCAGGGUGUUACAGAGCGCCUCCCUUUCUCACUCGCUUGUAACCCCUAUUACGACAUUAAGCAAUAAGGUGUGGGUUGCGCAAGACACCGAAGACUGUAUGUGGGGAUGUUCUGCCCAAACUAGUUUAAAUCUUGUCCCCACUAAGCACACCAUCUAGAUCUAGAAUGAACACAAACAAAUUUACUUGUCGAAGCUAGUUAGAAAAACCGAUAGUUGGCGCGCCAUGUAGGGACCUUGCGUGUUCUCGACGUCUUCUUCU